rnacentral:lncRNA from 1 species
AAAAACAGUGCAUUUAAUUUGAAAAGAAGAGAAACAAUGGCAGAUCAAUUGACAGAUGAUCAGCUGAACAUGCUCAAGACUAAAUUCAAUACCUUCGACCCAGAUGGCACUGGUUAGAUCCCUCUUUCCAUAUGUACAUGUAUAUGAUGUGUGUGUGUGUGUAUCAUGUCAAGUACGUACUGCCAGGGACGAAGGCAAAAUUUCAAACCUUACUGGGCUGAACUUAUCUUGCGAUCUAAUUUUUCAGUUGAGUACACAUAGGCUUAGCCAACACCAAGGAAAAAGAUGAUUAGCAAUCCCACACAUUCUUACCUUAUUAUGUUAAUGUUGUUUAUUGUAAAUAAUGGUAUAGGUAACAUAUGAUAAAUCUCCAGCCAUGGAGGGGCUAAACUUUGCCCCGAACUAUUAUGUUCAGGGAUGAAGCCAGAUAUCUAUAUGGAUAGGGGCAUCCUCAAACAACAAAGUCAAAAAUUGAAAAGCUCAAGAAUUUAUUGAACAAAACACUUAAGUUUUAACCGAUAAGGUUUGUUUUUUGUUUUUUUUUGUUUUUUUUAAUACAAUAUAUUACAAUAUCACUUGACGCUUUCUUAAUUACCAAUACCAUCAAAUAUCUCUUUAUAAAAAGAAUCUGGUAUUACUUAUCCAUUGAUCUCCCAACCAAUUUUUCAAUCAAUUUAAAAAAAAAAUUUAUAGUUGAAACUGCUCUAUAACAUGAGAUUCCUAUAUGCAUUAUGUGCAUUUUUCCCACCCAAAAGAAUGAGUGGGGUCUGAACCCAAGGUGGCUCCGUACAUGAUUAUGUUGAUGUUGUUUAUUUUAUUCUACUAUGAAUCUGAUUCAAGUAAGCACAUAUAAGAAGAGAUUAAUUCAUCUUACUAUUUAAUAAUUCGUCAAUUUUUUUUGUUUUUUCAGGCAUAAUCACUAGGGAUCAGUUGGCCGAUGUGUUGAGAUCGUUAGGGCAAGAUCCCACCGAGGAGGAGUUGGAUCAAUUCGUGCAGCAGCUGGGCAGUGAGGAUGGGAAUAUUCACUGGGAUAAAUUCGUCGAACUCAUGGCCCAGACAAUAUCUGCAUUAGCUGGGCAGUGAGGAUGGGAAUAUUCACUGGGAUUAAUUCGUCACAGUCAGGGCCCAGAUUAUCAACCCCAAGUGACCACUCUCACAUUAUUCUAGUACAAUUGUCAAUUUAAAUACUCGCAUUUUUGUCAAGUUAUUGACGAAAAAUAAUGUGUCAAUAUUUCUAAGAUAUAAAGAUAUUUAUUUCUUUAUAACUAAUGUGUAUAAUAAAAGGGUAAGUUUAUCCUCCUAUAAAGGUUUAAUGCAAUUUUGUAUUCCUCCAUAUUGAAGGAUUAUGAUUCAGCUUAAUUUUACACAAAUAAUCUUUAAGUGAAUAUUGUAAUCAUUUCAUUUUUAGCUUCAGUUAGAAAUUGUACCCGUGCGUUACUGCGGGAUUGAAAAUUGUAUGAAAUGUUAUAUAGCUUGAUUCUUCUCAUAAAACGAAUAUAACAGAAGUUUUUGAUAAUUACAUAAUGGAAACUGGGUACAAAAGUGGCAAAGUAAAUGUCAGUGGUGAGAGAAGCUAUCCUAAUUAUGUCCCUAAUCAUUUUUAUUCAACACGGCCUUGAACAAAGAAGCAAUCAUUUCUACUUUGGUGAUUGAGCAUGAACUUCAGCUCGGUAAUUAGAAACUGAGGGCCAUUUCCUCGAGCUGGCUACCUACAAAAUCUCCAACUUAAAAAUACAUGACAUGAUACAGCAACGAACUUUCUAGGUGACACCAUGUAAAUGUUGCCCAAACUCCUUAGUGUAAUAUUGCGGAAUAGAAGAUGAUUUUAAAACAUUCAGUUUACCCACCAACCCAUUGUCAGUCUUCCUUUCACGUAUAUUGACACACCCUGACCUAAAUCAGGACGUGCUGGCCGUCACUUGAGGGUGACGUAGCCAUGUGCACAGUGCGGAAGCAACAGAGAUAAGGAAUUACGAGUAAACAAAAACCAAAUCAACUAGAGUACUAACUAAGAUAGAGUGCUAGUGCAAGAUUAAGUGUGAAAUACACAACCAGAGUAUAAAUAACCUAAGUGCAAUCAAGCAAGACAAGUGCUAAUUAUACAACACCCAAGUGUGAUCCUACAUUUAUGAUGUUCGGUCAGAAUCACCGUCGAAAUCCCUGCGAUCCACCAUAGCAGUUCUACCUAAAACCUGGAGGGGCACAAAACAGAAGGUGUGAGUGGGCAAAAACAAAGCUUUUCAAAUCAUUUCAUUUCUCAAAAGUUCUAACCCCUCGUCGUAAAACCUGUAUAAUUUCCCAGAAAAUAAUAAUAAUAAGCUGUAUCAGAAAUCAUACUCAAGAUGAAAAUCCAAAGAAGUAUACCAUGCCAUAUCUCAAUGCAAUGCUAUAAGUAAUCCAGGCAAAAUAUAUCAAGGUCAAAUAUCGCAUCAGCCAAAUCCUUCUAACUCAAUCUGCAAGGCUGAGUAUAUAGCUCAUAACCAAUCUCAAUCAUAUCAAAUCAAAUCCUACAUACGAGUCGGAACCACCUAAAAUGGUCUGUAUGACAAGACUAGGUGUAAAAUAAAUAUCCUCUAGUGCUACGAUCACGUGAAGGCUGUGCGAAUAAUCGUGGGUCACCUAUGAGUCGGAACCACCUAAAAUUGUAUGUAUGACAAGCCUGUGCACCUAACUUAGAUCCAAGGUGAGCAUAUGGUGUGGGAGGUGAACAUCAUGUGAAGGAUUGUGCCCUAACUUUGGGUGGGAGCACUAACACGGGGUGCAUGCUUAUGAGCUCUCAAUACAUCACAUCAUAUCUCGCAUAACUGAAGCGAUCUCAUAUCUUUAAUUUAUAAACUUACCUGGCACUUACCUGUGCGUCCAGCACCAAUCAUAAAUAUAUAUGCAACUACUAAUGCAUAAUUAAAAUAGAGAAAUACUUUGCAUGGCAUUUCAAAACGUAUAAUCAUUCAAAUUCAUUUUCUGGGAAAAACUCAAGUAUAUAGGUAUAUACGGAAAACCAAAAGCCCAUUCACUGAUAUGUCGAAGGGUCGUAGCCCCUGAGCCUCGAUUGAUGGUGCUCGUCCUCAAGAUAGGUCUCACCUAUAUGCGAAAUAACUGAAUAAACGUUAUUCAAAGCAUUUACACAAAACUAGGAAAUAACUUCUCAUACAAAGCUCAAAUAGUUCCAAAGCUUUUUGAACUUAAAAAUUAUGGUUUUGUGGUUGUUAGUAGCCCAAAACUGGACCAUACACACCACUCUCGUUGACUUCUCUCUCCUCCCUCUCGGAUUUCUUGCCAUUUCCAUACAACCUGUACCGACAACCCUCAAAACCCUUUCAAACUUCACAAUCUACCACGGUUACAAUCCGUGGUUAUAUUGCCUUUGACAACGGGCAUAGUCUGUAGUAGAAACUGAGACUUUUUAUCACAUCUAGAAUAUUAACGGGCACAGUGUCUGUAGUGGAUUGCAAUUUAUCACGGGGAUUCACCGUGAUAGAUGAGCUUUUUUCUUCUAGUGUAGAUUAGUCUAACACCCAACUCAAACCACAACACUACACCAUAUACUCAACACCCAAGGGUAUUCUAGUCAAUUCAUACCAUCGAAAAAUAUAUUUUGGGACGGGCUGUCACAUAUAUGUCCUUCCCAAAGUUUCCCAUAAUAUGUUCUCAAACUACUACAUCGGAGUAUGUCGUAUCUUUCCAAUUUCUAGAUCAUCUUCUAAAUUCAUGAAAAGAAAAUAGAUACAAAAAUAAACACACUUAAAAGAGGGUAAGUAAACAUUUUAAUGAAGAGGAAAUGCAGAAGUAUAACCAAAUAAGCCACAUUCCAACUUUCACAAUUUAACAUUAGAAAAAUAAUCAUAUAAUCAUGAUUGGAAAGCUCAAAUUUAAAAAUGGUGCAGAAUUAACACUUCAAAAUAUUCAUUGAAGAAACUCAACAAGGGGUAGAAUGUUUCUAAUAUUUAUACUUUAUACCAAAAAUUACUCUUCUGAAAAAACGACAAAACACAAACCGGAACCUGAAAUAUAUAAAAUUCGAGUAAUAGGUCAAACACAGAAAAGUCAUUUAAUGGUGAUUGUUCGACCAAAUUUUGUUAAGGAAUCGCAUGGAUUAUGCAUGUGAUAAUAAGUAUCAUGUAGAGUAAUGUCUGGCCCAUAAUUUCCUAGGACUAGUCUAGUGAGUCUUCCUAUGGUGAACAAAAAGAUGAACCCUAAGCCAAAGCUAGAUGAUUGUAACAGUCAGAUAGUAUACUCACUGGAAUGUUGAACUUCAAUGACUCAGCUAUAUACCAAAUACUUAGACAAAUAUAUAUAUAUAUAUAUAUAUAUAUAUAUAUAUAUAUAUAUAUAUAUUUACUGAAUACAAAUAUAAAAGGGCAAGUUAAAGAGUCCAUGAAUAUCCAUAUUGUGUACCAAGUUUGUAAAAAUAUACUCCAACAUGAUCAGCUCAAAAGAAAGAGAUUGCUUCACUCAAUAUAGUAGAGAAACAAUUUCUUACAUAUUUCAAUAUAUCCAGAAAAAUGGUUCUUACACUGAUUCAUAACCUUAGAUCAUCACUGCAAAGGACCAGUGCAAAUUCGUUCCAUGUAUUACGUGUGUGGAUACAGAGACUAACCCAAAAUUAAGACACUUUACCUGACCACCGACGAAACAAAAGGCUCAAAAAUAAGAUUUGAACUCGGAUUUAAAUGAUGACUACUACCUCUCUCUGAGCUCAAAUGUGUGAACAUGCACUCAUCCAUUUUAACAAAAGAUUAAGAGAUUUAAUAAGAUGUAAUACCUUGUAUAAAUCUGGAUCUAAAAAAGCCAACCCUUCAAUUGUGACCUUCUUCGCUGUCUGCAAGAUUUGAGCUUCACCGGUCUGUUUUGUAAAAGGUGGCCGUAUUUCUAGAGGUUCUGUGCAUUUGGAAAAGCUGUAGAGGUUAAAACAGAACAUUUGUUCAUAAAUUUUGUGAGAAUAGCCCUUCUUUUAUUAUAAGAACAUAUCAUUUUUUUUAAACAAAGUAAACACACUUACACAGAUUUGUAUGAAUUUACUUCUGGAAUAUCUAGACCAAUGAAGAAAAGUGAUGAAGCAAUGGUGUUCAAGACUAUCUUGUCUGUGUGUUGAAAAAUUAAUGAAAAAUUGCAUGUCAAAAAACUGCUAAAUGUUGAAGGCCUAUUGGAUUGAACGAUCUAGGGUUUAGAGACAGAGAGGGGGCCAACACUUAAACAGAAGAGAGAUUGAUUUAAUUGUGAGGUGUGUUUGAUUCACUCCAUUGUGCCUUUAUUUAUAGUAGUAUGAUAGGUAAAAACCUUUCCCUUUAGGUUUACAACAUUUAAUAGGUAAUCAACUCCUAAUAGGAAUAUAAGAUACAUUCCCAAAUCUACUAGGAUUUACACAAUCACAUUAAAUAUGACUGCAACACUCCCCCUUGAGUGUGUAAAUACUCAACAAACCAUUGCAUCAGAUCUUUAGCAGAUAAGGUAGAAUAGUUGAUGAAGUCAUCGGCACAACGGGUGAUCCCGAGUCUCAAAUUUAAUUGAAGUAUGCAUUUGUAGUAAAACUCACAAAACCUCGCUAAGGUAAAACCCAAGGCAUGGGGGAAACCCAUAGAUUAAGGAGGAAAGUGAGAAGUAUGCAUAAUGUCUUUAAACAAACGUCAAACAGGACGAAGGUAGUGAACUCAAUAGAGUAUGAUCAUCCCAUAGUGGGUGCCUCAUUAAAACCUCGUUAGGUAGCAAAAACCUAGUGGGAAAAAUGCUCCUAAUCGUAUGAGAAAGAGUACAUUAAGAUCAUGUAAGUAUACUUCUAGAUACUCCCCCUGAGUUAGACAUAACUUCUAAAUAAGAGAACUACAAGCGAUUCAACUUAGAUAAUUUAUGCAUACCGAUUCCUUGGACGAGCUUUUAAAAUGUAGACUUGGGAAACGACUUGGUGAAGAGAUUGGCCAGGUUGUCCUGGGAACAGAUUUGCUUGACUUUAAUGUUCCGAUGCUGUUACUGCUAGUGUGAGUAUAAGAACUUCAGCGAUAUGUGCUUGGUGUUGUCUCCCUUGAUGUAUCCCUUCUUUAACUGCUCGAUACAUGUUGCAUUGUCUUCAAAGAUCGUCAUAGGAAAGUCAACGACUGAUGUAAGACCACUAGUGCUUCGAAUAUGUUCCAUAACUUCUCUCAGCCAAAAGCACUCACGCGAGGCUUCAUGAAAGGUGAAAAUCUCAGCAUGGUUCGACGAAGUUGCAACUAGCAUUUUCUUGGUAGACCUUCAAGAUAUAGUAGUGUCUCCAACAGUAAAGACAUAACUCAUUUGAGAACGUGCCCUAUGUGGGUAAGAUAGAUAUCCAACAUUUGCGUAACCAUCAAGGCGAGAAUCAAUCUGAGGACCAUAGGGGCGGCAACACUCGAAGAUUUGUGGGUAUAGAACAAGCCCAAAUCCGUUGUACCCUUGAGAUAGCGGAAAAUGUCUUUAACACCAUUCCAGUGCCUGUGUGUGGGCUUAUUUCUGUAUCUUGCCAAAAGAUUAACAGCGAAGGAGAUGUCGGGUCUAGUGUACUGAGCUAAGUACAAUAAAGCCCCAAUUGAACUUAGGCAAGGGACUUCGGGACGGAAGGGAUCUCGUUUAGCAUUUAGAGUCCGAACGACGAUGGGUGUACUCGAAGGCUUUGCUUUAUCCUUAUUAAAACAUCUCAACACCUUUUGGAUGUAGUUCGAUUGAUGUACUAGGAUUCCAUCCGAACAAUGCUCGAUCUCCAGGUCGAGAGAAUAUCGAGUUUUCCUAAGAUCCUUCAUCUCAAAUUCCGAUUUCAAGUGUGCAAUUUCCUCAAGCUCUGCAGGAGUCCCAAUGAGGUUCAUGUCAUCGACAUAAAGUAUAAUGAUUGCAAAUCCAGAAUGUGGCAUCUUUAUGAACACGCAUGGGUAUAAUUCGUUGUUCACAUAACCCUAACUUGUCAAAUAUUCACUUGGACGGUUAUACCACAUCCGCUCGGAUUGUUUCAAUACAUAGACUGAUAUCCUUAACCUAAUUGAGAGAGUGUUUUAAGGUCUAGAACUAUUUGAACUAGCCAAUGGAAGUCCUUCUGGAACUUUCAUGUAUAUUUCCGUAUCUAGAUCCCCAUAAAGAUAUGCGGUUACCACUUCCAUAAGUUGCAUAUUCUUUUUUUCAGAAACUGCCAAACAGGAACGUUAUAACAUCCUUUACGGGGGAAUAUAUCUCCUCGUAAUCAAUUCUAGGGCGCUGAGAGAAGCCUUACUCUACGAGGCGUGCUUUGUGUCGUACUAUUUCAUUCUUCUCAUUACGCUUCCUCACAAAAAUUCACAUGUAGCCAACGAGCUUCACGCGUGGUGGUGUAGGAAUGAUAGGUCCAAAUACCUUAUGUUUUGUGAGCAAAUAGAGUUAGACCUGGAUUGCUUGUUUCCAGUUUAACCAAUUGGUUCUACGUCAGCAUUCAUCGAUGAAACGUGGUUCAAUGUCAUCGUUAAGCAUGAUGUCAGUAGCUACUGAGUACGCGAAUGUAUCGUCGAUGAUCAUCUCAUUCUUAUUCCAAACCUCAUUCAAUACAGCGUAGUGGACCGAAAUCUCACAAUUCUCGGGAAGCCGGCAUGUUUCAUCUGAAGCAUCACCGUAAUCUAGAAUAACCUCAUGCAUUAGAACAGAUGAGUGAGCGAUGGUCGGAUUCAAACUAGGGUCACUAGAUGGUGCCAUUUUCCUCUUCUGGGGUUGUGAAUCAUUUGAACCAAGGGGUCUGCCAUGCUUCAGGGUCGGAGCAGAUGAUUAGUUAGCUGCCAAUGUACCUUGCCGUGUGGAAGGUGCGACCUCGCCACCUUCGGGGACGGUCUGGCCUUCCCAAGCUGAUUAUUGACAUAUGCGGGGUACAUCUAUCCUUGCAUGUGUGUUUACAGCAGGUAUAUGUGAUCUUGCCACCUUUGCUAGAUCAUUAAAAGCAUCCAGAAUGCUUUGAGCAAUGCUCUGAAGAUCUAUAAUUCGUUGCACCUCAGUUUCAGAUUGGGCAAUGCGGGGAUCUAAAUGAGACAUAGUGGAAGCAUACCACGACAAUUUGUGGUUUUCUACGGGAAUGUUAGCACGCUUAUCUCCCCCUAACGAUGGGAAUACUAUCUCAUCAAAGUGACAAUCCGCAAAAUGUUUGGUAAAGAGAUCUCAUGUCAAGGGUUCUAAGUAGCAAACAAUUGAUGGUGAAUCAUAACCGACAUAGAUUCCCAGUUUUCUCUAAAGAGCCAUUUUAGUACGUAGCGGCAACGCUAUUGGCAUAUAAAUGGCGCACCCAAACACGCGUAAAUGCGAGAUGUCAAGCUUUUAUCCAGUGACCAACUGUAACGGUGAAUAUGGUUGAGUAGCAGUGGGCCUCAGGUGGACCAACCAAGUUGUGUGCAAUAUUGCAUAGCCUCAAGCAGAUACCAACAUUUUGGUUCUCAUAACCAAAGUUCAAGCUAUCAAUUGAAGCUGCAUUAUGAAAGCUUUUACCAAGCCGUUUUGGGUGUGAACAUGGGGUAUGGGAUGUUCCACAUCAAUCCCUACUGACAUGAAAUAAUCAUCAAAAGUCUGUGACAAACUCUUCAGCAUUAUUCAAUUGAAUCAACUUAAUCGGAUAAUUAGGGUGGUAAGCCCUUAGCUUAAUGAUUUGAGCUAGGAGUUUAGCAAACGCGGCGUUGCGUGUGGACAACAGGCAAACAUGUGACCAUCGUGUCAAUGCAUCAACCAACACCAUAAAGUAUCUAAAUGGUCCACGUGUUGGCUAGAUAUGUCCACAAAUGUCACCUUGAAUCCUCUGACAAAAUUUAAGGGGGUUGUGAAUGAUCUUUGUAUGUGAGGGUUGAGUAUUCAACUUUCCUGAAGAACACACUUUGCAUGGCGGAACUCUGACAUUGGGAUGUAACUUAUGCCCGUGUGAUGAUUUGAGGAUAUGACGCAUAAUGCCACAUCCAACAUGUCUCAAAUGGUCAUGCCAAAACAACAAAGUGUCCUGGAACUUAGGCAUAGGGCCAGCCACAUUGUGGGCUUCUAUGCCGCGAAUAGUUGUGAUAUACAACCCACUCGGCAGACGUUCUAACUUCUCGUGAAUAUGCUUCUGGCCAUAUUGGUAUGAAGUGAUACAAAGAAAUUCAGAACCAUUAUCUUCAUUGGUUUCAAGAUGAUAUUGAUUAUCUCGAAUAUCUCUAAAACUCAGCAACGUUAUUCAGGAACGUGGAGAAUAGAGUGCCUCCUUAAUGGUCAAAAUUGUACCAUUAGACAACAUGAUACGUGCCUUUUCGUAUCCUUCAAUUAGGUUGGAUGGGCCUAAGAGAGUUGUCAAAUGACCUUUCUUGGGUAUUAAGUUAGUACAAUAGUGUCGUUCACUCAAGAUGAUGUACGUGGUUGCACUUUCUACCAGACAACUAACUUCCCCACUAGACAUACCUAGAAAUAAAUUGAUUAAAUUGGUCACAUGCAUAAAUAUAAGUCCAUUCAUUCAAUUAAGCAAUUUGAGAAAAUAAUAUCCAUUCAAAUAACAAUCCAUGAUUCAAAAUAGCCCAUAAUCUAUCACCACGAUUUCAACUUGUUGAAGAGUAGGGAUGCUUAAGGGAGCGGCCUAAGCCACUGCCCUUAUCAUUUGGUAAAAAGAGAGAAAAAAAUUGGUAUGUUGUAGGUAUAAUUUACUGAACAAUUAUGGAGGCCAUAGGGAGAGAGAAAGGUGCGGCAAUAGUAAAGAAAAGAGAGAUGUGUAAUUGUGGGUGUGUGUUAUUCCAACCCAUUGUGCCUUUAUUUAUAGUAGUAGGGAAGGUUAAUUCCUUACCCUUUAGGAUUAUAAUAUUUAAUAGGUAAUCUACUCCUAAUAGGAAUAUAAGAGAUAUUCCAAGAUAUACUAGGAUUUACACAAUCACAUUCCUAAUCUAAUAGGACCGCAACACUCCCCAUUGAGUGUGUAAAUACUCAAGUAAAUGGCGCAUCAGGUCUUCAGUGAUAAAGUAAGUACAGUUGAUGAAGUCGCCAGCACAAUGAGCAAAUACGAGUCUCAGAUCAACAAAAGAAUGCAUAAAAAGUAAAACUCACAAAAACAUCGUUAUGGUAAAACCCAAGGUGGGAGAAACCCAUAGAUUAAGGAGGAAAGUGAGAAGUUGCAUUAAGUCAAAACUAUACAUCUUUUAGACACAAGUAGAAGAGCUCACAAGUGUAUGAUCAACCCAUGAUGGGUGCCUCGUUAAAACCUAGUUAGGUAGCAAAAACCCAUUGGGAAAAAUAUUCCUAAUCGUAGGGGAAAAGAGUACAUUAAGAUCAAGUGAGUAUACUUUUGGAUACUCCCCCUGAGUUUGACAUAACUUCCAAAUGAGAACUACAAGCAUUGCAUAUGAAUAGUCAGGCAUACCAAUUCCUCGGACAAGCUUCUGGAAGGUUAACAUUGGCAAUGAUGUCAUGUAGAGGUCGACAAGGUUGUUUGGGAUCGGCUUGCAUGACUUCAAUCUCCUAAUGCUUUGCUGAUGUAGAUGUAGACGCAAUAUGUCUUGGUGUUGACUUCGUUGAUGUAUAAUGUCUUGGUCGGGUUGAUACAUGCGGCAUAAUCUUUAUGGAUCAUCGUUGAGACCCAACAAUGGAUGAAAAAUACAGCAAGUACUUCGAAUAUGCUCAACAAGAACUCCUAACCAUGUCUCACUUGUGGAGUAGAGAAGUGAGGUGAGUCUUGGAACGAUUCAAAGAUUUCGCAACUAAGGUCAUAUCGUGGACCUCAAAGAUAUUGCGAUAUCCCUAAUGGUAAAGACAUAACCAUUUGGGGAUUUUGCCUUGUGCAGGUUUAAUAAGUAACCAGUGUCAGCAUAACAAACAAGGCAAGCAUCAGUUCGAGGAUCAGGGGGGUUGGAUCCGCUAGAGAUGCGUUGGGAUUUGCCCUUCUUGUAACUUCAGGGCACGUCUUUAAUACCAAUCAGUGGUUACGUGUAGGCGCGAUGCUGUAUCUUUAUCAAGAUCAACAACGAAGGAGAUGUCCUAUCUAAAUACAAUGAGCUAAGUACAACGAAGGUCAAAGUUGAACUUUAGAUAUGGAAUUUUGGAUUUCAUAACCUCUUUAAAGGUCUCAUUUGCAUAUAACGUAUGGACAGCCAAAGGUAUACUCAAAGGUGACAACUUCAGGGUAGAGUUCGACUGGUAAACCAAAAUACCAUCAGAACAAUGCUUCAACUUUAGGUCAAGGCAUACAUGAGUUUUCCUAAGAUUCUUCAUCUUAAAUUUCGUCUUCAGGUGCAAGGCAUUUUUCUCAAGCUCUUCCGGAGUCUUAGUGAGAUUCGUGUUAACGACAUAAACUGUAACUUUAGCAAUUCAGAAUAAGACUUCAUAGGUUAACACGCAAUGGCAUAAUUCAUCCCUGACUGAUCAAAUAAUCACUUAGACAUGUAUACCACAGCCGUUGGAUUGUAAGUGAACGCCUCAAACAGUUAAGAGAGUGUUUCGUGGUUUUGGAACUAUUUAAACUAGUCUAUGUAAUUCUUCGGGAACUUACAUGUAAAUCUCCGUAUCUAUAUCCCCAUGGAGAAAACACUAACCACAUUUCAUAAUGCUGCCACCAAUCACAUGACAUUUAAGAGAAACCUUGCACCGUAAGGCAUGCAUCAUAUCACACUAUUUCAUUCAUCUCAUAACGCUUCCUUCCGCAUUUGUAACAUAAUGAGGUUACCUUAGGUAGUGUAGGAACAAUAGGUCCAAAACACACUUUGGUAAGGAAUUUGACCUAGAUUGUAACUUUAGUUGUCCAAUCAGUUCUACUUUGCCACUUAAUCAACGGAACAUAGUUCGAUAUCGUCGCUUUUCAUUUAUGUCGGUAGCUACCAUAUAAGUGAAAACAUCAUCGAUGGUAAUCUCAUUUCAAUUCCAUUUUACUUACCCAAACUAGUAUACUGGACCAAGAACUUCAAGUCUCGGGAGUAAUCCAGAUUAAUCUCAUGAGAUGGAAAUGAUUUGAGACAACAAUCGAGUUUAGAUUCAUUGUUGUGCCCUGUCUUCCUUUUCUAGGGAAGUGAAUCCUAUGAACCGAGUAAUUUGUCAUGCUCCAAGCUAAGACAAAUUGAUUAGCUAUCCACUAAUGUAUCGAACCGUCCAACAGGAGCGGCACACUCUCCAAGGAUGUUGACUCGACGUCUGUUAAGUACGUCUAUCCUUGUAGGAAUAUUUGCAGCUGGUAUAUGAUUUAGUCACUUUAGCUAGAUCAGAGGAAUGCGUCUGAAGCAACAUUCUAAAAGCUAGAAUUCAUCGCACUUGCUUAUCACACUUAUGUGGUAUGGGGAUCAAGAUGAGACAUAGUGAGCAACAUCCACGCAAAUUCGUGCCGUUCUAUAGGAACGUUGACGUUCUUAUCUCCCCAUAACGGUAGGAAGACUGUCUUAUUGAAGUGAUAACCCGCAAAUGAGUGGUAAAGAGAUCGAGUGCAAGGGCUCAAAGAGAGCUAGUGUGAAGGAUAAUCAUAAUCGACAAAGAUUCACAUCCUUCGUUGAUGACCUAUAUUAGUACGUUGCGGCGGCAUAACUUGGCACAUGGAAUGCACACCCAAAUGCUUGAAUACAAAAAUCGUCAGGGUCGUUCCUAGUAACGAACUCUAACGUCAUAUAGGUUAGGUGGCAAUAAGCGUCAAGGCGGACCAACAUAAUUGCGUACAAGGUUGCAUAACCCUAGGCAGAAACCAAAAACUUGGUAUGUUUACCAAAAUACGGGCGAUCAUUUAAAUUACGUUGUAUGAUUGCUAGGCAAGGCUAUUUGGGGUGAACAUGGGAAUUCGAUGUUCAAUUAUAAACCCAAAAUACAUGCAAUACUUUAUCGAAAACCGUCGAUAUAAACUCUCCGGCAUUAUCCAGUCUCCCAGACCUUAAGGGAUAAGGAAGGUGGUGAGCCCUUAAUCGGCCAUGAGGUUUAGCAGUAAUGUGUGUGGACAAACAUGUGACCAGUUUGUCGAUUCAUCAACCAAAACCAUAAGUAUUUAUAUGGUCCGCAUUUUGGUUGGAUUAGUCCACAUAUAUUCCCUUGAAUCCACUGUCAAAAGAGAGUUGUUUCGUAUCUUUGAUAGAAAUCAAAUUUCUUAAUGAGCGGGCUUUGGCAAAGUGUGCUUGUAGGCACAAGAUCCUUACUUUGGGUAAGGAGAUGCAUUGUAGCAUCAUUGUUUGACUUGAGUGUCCCAAAAGGUCGUACCAAAACAAGUAAACUGAUCGAAUCACCCGACUCCAGGCCGGCCACAUGUGGUGUGUUUCCAGUUAGGAGACAACUCAUUGGCCUCAAAUCAAAGUUUUGGGCUCAUUUUUUGAAGGUGGUGCAAAGAUAUUUCACUUUAUUUUCUUCAGUGAUUUCAUUUAUGAUUAUUGUCAUCUCAAAUAUCCUUAAAAACUCAACGACAUGGAGAAUUUAAGGUCCCUUAAAUGGUGAUUCAGUAUCGUUCAUACAAUAAGUAGCGUACCAAUGCUUUUAAUCAGGUUGGAUAGACCUGAAGUCGUUGUUAGAGAUGUGAUUUAGGUGUAAAGUUAGUGUGUGUAGUACGCAUUCAUCCAGACAACUAACUUUCCCACAUUCCUACCUAAUCACGUGUUUAAUUGAAUCAGUCACAUGUAUUAGGAAACAUGAUUCAAUUAACUCAUAUUCGAGGACAAUAUCAAUAAGAUUAUUCAUAAAUAAAACAUACACCAAACUUGAAUCCAAGAACAUGGACAAAUGUUCACAAAGUAAAUGGUUUACUAAGGGGAUUUGGCCAACAAGGCCAUCCAUGUCAAAAUUAUUCUUUUCCAAUGAUGUUCGAUGGAGCAAAAUUAGUCUCACAUAUUGACUACUAGAAUGGUAGUUCUUAACGACAUUGGUAGAGGCACGAACAGGUGCAUAACCAAUGAUCUAUUCCAUUGAGAUGGAAGUAGAUUCUGCUGGGUUGAGGUUUGGGAAUAUUAUCCCUUAUUGUUGAAGUUUUAGGUCUUAGGUGCCAAGGAUCACGCUUCGGGCAUGAUGCCACACCUUGACAGGCCCUGAUUCUACCAUAUGUUUGUAGUAGUCAUCAGAUCUGAGAAUUUGGUAAACUUCCACUUUCUACACAGCUGCUUCAAGGGCGAGUUAGAAACAUGGAAGGACGAGAAAAGUAUUAUCUAGUCAAAAUUUGAUCGGAUUUAUAAACAUUAGAAUUGUACUCAUUUAUGGACGUAAUAAUGAUGUGAUUUAGGUAAUGUCUUUCAUGAUUAGACAGUCCGUAGGAGUGAGUCAAAUAGCCAUGGAAUCAUCAUUCGGGAGGUAUUUCCAUUUGUAAUGCUUCGGGCAUAAGUCUUCGAAUGAAGAUCAUGGCGGAGGCUUAUUUAGCUCUUCCUUGCCAUUGUUGGCUUCAAUGGUGUCUUAGCUUCUUGAUAGUCAAGUGGACAUUCACGUCUUGUACUCCACAUAAAGUGGUUUCUAUAAGAAACAUCCAAAUCAGGGAAAUCAAACCUGUGACGGUUCGACAAUCCAUUGAAUUUAGAAGGAACAAGUUUGUGAUUGGUGCUAUGGGAAUGAAUCAUCCAGAAGCAUCAAAGUUAGAACAUUCGGGUUCUAAGAUAUGGUUAAAUGAAAAACGUCUGGUUUUCAUUGGUGUAUUGUUUUAUGAAAACUUCGGGUUUCAAAGGCACUAAAUUUGAAACUACAUGUUCGAUUUAUUUUAUGAACGUUUAGUUCAUAAAAGAGAGGUUCCUGCAGGAACACAUAAUGCAAUAUGCUGAUUUAAGUGUAGUGGAUUUAAGGUUCUCCGGGAACUUAAGUGUGAGUGCUUCGGGACUACGAAAAGAUGUCAAUUGUUCAAAAAAGAGAAAUAAAUUAUUGAAUCGUUAAUGUCCAAAAGUGAUCUUCAGGUCAAUAAUUCUAGAGUCAUUAUUAGAUUAAUCCAGCAGCCUUGCGCUGCUAGCUUUAGGCCUUGUCACGGUGAAGCCUAGCAGUCGCUUUCUAUAGGUUUGGUACAGAACAAGCCCAACAAGUAUAGGCUUGCUGGCUGGUGGGUUGAGGGCUGCAAGCCAUUAGAAGGAAACCCACAUGGUUCUCAUGCACAUACAACAGGCCUAGAGAAAAAAAAGGUGUAGCCUCUGCAUGCUUGGAAGGGCAGUGGGCUCAGCAAGUCAAACCCAGGCCUAGAGCCUGGUUGACACACGCAGCAAAGCUACUGCUGUUUUACGGUGCAGCUAUUUCCUUUUUUUUUUUUUUUUUUUUUUUUUCAAAUUUUUAGGGUUUUCAGAACCCAAAAUAAUCAUACUUCUAUUUUAUUUCGAUUCUUUGACUCACAUAUUCCACAUAGCAAAAAUUGUGUAAUGCAUGAAACAAAUAUAUAUAUAUAUAUAUUGAUAGAAUAUACGAACAUAUAAACAAAGGGGGGUUCAUGUAUGAAACAAAUAUAUAUAUUGAAAAGAAAAUAUAAACAUAGGGGGGGUUCAUGCAUCAUGAGAAAUGUUUUCAUGCUUCAAGGUUGUUUCAAAUAUCUUCCUUUAUUUUAAGCGUACCUGAUUGGCAGAAAACAACAAAAACCUUUGAAUUUGUAGAAUCCUUCUCGGAAAGGCGGAAUUUCAUCUUUAAUGCGUUGUAUCACGUUCAAUAAAAAAAAAAUUAAUAGUAUGAAGAUCAAUUCAAUAAAAUAAUAAAUUAAUCAUAAAAAGAAUGAUUAAAAUGUAAUACUCUCCUGAUUAAGAAUAAACUCUCUUUGGCACAGGGUCAAGAACAUGCUGAUAACGUGUUGUACAUAUAAUUUACUAAACAAUUAUGGAGGCCAUAGAGAGAGAGAAAGGUGCGGAAAUAGUAGUAGGGAAUGUUAAUUCCGUAUCCUUUAGGAUUACAACAUUUAAUAGGUAAUCUACUCCUAAUAGGAAUAUAAGAGAUAUUCGAAGAUAUACGAGGAUUUACACAAUCACAUUCCUAAUCUAAUAGGACUGCAACAAUAUGCAUUAUUAUAAACUACCAUUUUUUUAGGGAACUUUAAUGAAAAACUCUCGGUACUGUUCAUUUUAACGAAAAACCACAUUUUUACACUAAAAAGUUAAUCCUGGUACCAUUCACUUUACCCUUUAUUUGUCCUUAUCGUUAAAACUCAAAGUUUUCAAACCCUUUACAUUAGUUUUCCUUUUUUUUUUCCACAUUCAUAGCAAAACCUCAGCAAUCAUGUUUACAUUUUUAUAGCUGUUAAGUCAAACCCAACUUUUGAAUUAUUUCAAAAUGGGAAAUUUUAUUUAAGCCCAUUUAACCGCUUUUUACACCUAACUAAAAUUUUAAAUGUUAAUUGUCUAUUUUACCCUAUUGCAUAAUUACUAUUAAGUACAAAAUGAAAUUAAUAAUAAAACUCAAAUUUAUCAAUAAACCUAAACACUAUAAUUAAACCCUACGAUCACUCUUUGUUUAUUCUAGGUUCAUAAUUACCCCUUGCCCACAAUCGUUGUUAAGACUUGGAAAGUGAUUAGAGGGGUAGUUUUCAUAAUAAUUUCAAAUGGUGACCGAAGUUUAUGCCAAGGGCUCUAAGUUCUACAAAUCCCAUCCCCUUUGACUCAGCCUAAUCCACCCGCUAAUUAACCCUUUCCUUUCAACUUACUACACAUUUUGCUUCAUUGAUCUUUAAACUCAAAGCUACACAAAGGCAAUCUAGGAUAUAUGACCACGUCUUAUAAUUCCCUACCUUCUCCGCCUAACUUUCGCCUCGGACAGAGUUUUGCUUCGUUCUUUUCCAUAAGUGGACUCCUUGUUCGCCACUUUUAUACUAAGAGUGCGUUUGUUGCACCGGACUAAAUUAGACUAGACUAGCUUCAGGAACUAAGCUGGAUUGACUUGGCAUGGACUAAGUAGUAUAAGAAUAAUGAAGCGUUUGGUACAGUGUUUGACUAACCUAUAGACUAAAUUAUUUUCAUAUACAAAUAAUCUUUUCAUUAUUUUCUAAUUAAUUUAUUAGUAUAUUAUUAUUAUUAAUGUCACUUUUUUUUUGCUGACUACUCUCUUCCCCUCUCUCUACUUUCCUUUUCCUUUUCUUUAUCUUCUUCGCAUCCAGAGAAUUCCUUUCCUUUCUCUUCUUCAACCAGCUUCAAUCCCCGCUCUGCCGUCCUUUUCCUACUUCAAUCUCUCUUGGUUUGACAAAAAUUCCAACUGUUUUGAUCCCUCCAGUCCUAUCCAUAAACCAUUCUUCCUAUUCAUGUUAGAUACCAAAAGACCCUUCGUGCUUGACGAACUUGCACUAGGGGUGGGUUCCGUCUGGCAGCGUUGCGAUUGACGAAGACGAUGAACUCCUAAACCCUAGACCUUUGGAAGUAACCGAAGUGGCUGAUAUCAAAGGUGUUGAUGAUAGGGUCAGAUUCGUGUGGAUUUCACUUGAGGACCAACAAGGCCGUGAUUUUCAUCUUCAUGAUUUUCUAUACACAAGUGUAAUCACAUAGUCUGUACGCUGGUGGGGGAAUUAGGGAAGAAACUAACCCAUUAUUAGGAAAGAAAUGAAGUAGGUGUUGGGAUGUGAAGGAGAGGAAGCAAAGGUCUUAGUAGUACCGACUUUUUCGGGGGCACUCGCUAAGACCUCUUAGUGAGCUACUUAGUCCACACAAGUCUCGUUUAGUACCAUUAAACUUGGCCCAUGAACAGAACAAAUGCUGGACUAGACUAACAACUAGUCCAAUCUAGUCCAGUGAAAGCUAACGAGGCCAAACAAAUGCCCCCUGAUUGUUUUAAUUGAAAGUUCAGUUUCUUAUGGCAUUUGUAAUGUUAAAAUAUGCUCGAAUCCAACACACUAUUGAUGCAUGAAUGAAAUCGUUAAUUAAGCAAACACAAGAAAUUAACAUGCUUUUCUAUUUUAGAAGUUUCAUUUGUAUACAAUUUUCAUUGGUACGUUAUAGGGCUUGUGUUAGUGAGGUGAAAAUUGUGCGAGUUGACACAUUCUCAACAAGUCUAAGUGCACUUAAAACCCGUUAGACGUGACACCAAUUGAAUUCUUAUUGAAGCACUUAAAGCCUCUAUCACUAGAAGCAAACCAAGUAAACUAACUCAAUAGCACAAGUCUAACCGUUAAUUAUGGUACAAGUUAUCUAUGUAGUAGCUUCCACGCUAUAAGAGCGGUACUCCACUCCAUUAGAAAAUUAGGUAAGCACUUACCCGAACGCAACCCGUCACCACUCCCAACAGGUAGACUUCUCCAGUUUUUGUUUAUGUGUGUACUAGCUUUCCCCAUUGGGGUGGUAGCCCUCUCUGGCCUUUUCCCAGUUAUGAUCUCUGAUGUGAAAUUAACUUAACACACAAAUUUAACCCUUUUUUGACAACUGUAGUAUAAGUAUAAGUAGGGAUCGUUCUGGACCGGGGAUUAGGAGGGCUUGCUAAUAACCUCUAAAUUGACUCAAAAACAUAAAAUUAAACUUAAAAAAAAAUACUUAACAAGACUCACAAGACUCAAAGCAAACUUAAAAUACUCAAAACAGCUUAAAACAACUAAAUAAACUUAAACUAGACACUAGGAAUGACUUUGGACAAAAAUUGACUUUUACUUGAAUCAAAACAUUUUAAAAACACAAAUUAAAACAGAUUUUAACUAAUUAGACACACUAAAGUAAAGGGGGAGUGAGUUUUGGACGGAGUUGAAACAAACAAACAAGUAUGAAAAACUAGACAGAUUGUAAAACAAAUUUGAGAAAUAAGAUGAUGGAUGGGAUAGCUAGAGGCUUUUUCUCCACACAUGAUAUGUAUGCAAACAACUCGAUUUCCAGUUACUACUUCAUUGAAUUAUGAACGACAAUGCUCCAAAUUAACUAUGACAUCACUAAUUAACUCUCAGAUUUUCCUUGUUUUAUUGGAUUGGAUGACAUCAUUCGACAACCCAAAACAUUAUUCUAAAGUUCCCUACAUGACAUCAUAAUAGAGAUACAAUCAAAGAUCAUUACGUUUAAUGAAAAUCAUAAGCAUUGACAAAGCACUUGCAACUAUGACAUCAUGUCACUCAUGUUAGGAAUUCAACUUAACGCGAUCGUUUAUAAGCGACCUUCACUACAUGUGAAUAUAAGUUUGUAACGAUUAUGUGAAACUUCCUUACAUUCUAGCAACGGAUUUAUGCAUGCGAAUUAAGUGUCGACCCUUAAUUAACAAAUACAAAUAAGUUAUCAAUCAAAUAGUUAAGCCAAUUGCAUUCACGAUUCAAGAGUUCAUAACUGGAAUUUAUCAAAUUAUAUUGCACACAUAAUCAUGGCUUUGAAAUCACCCCUAGCCAAGAGGGGUUUAGCCACUCAUAUUUACAACAAAACGAAAGGAAAUGAAUUUAAACAUUAGAAACAAAAGAAAGAAAACACCUAAACGCUCCAACGAUCCAAGUUGGACAGCAAGCACGUCCAAGCACUUUCCUUCCCUUCCUUUGCUACGGCACAAGGUGUUGGUGAGUGUUUGAAGGUUUGUUUGUAUGGAGGAAUGGAUGUGUUUGGAUGAAGGUUGUGUUGAAAUGGGAGUGAAUGAUCUAACAAAGUAUGAACUCAAUUUAUGUUACACACACUUCCCUUUAUAGAGGAAGUGCAAGGCAAAGCAUGGGUAAAAUGGAGUGGUGUUGAAAUGAUUCAAAGGUGAAAGUGAAGUAAUGAUGCAAAGCAUGGGUAAAAUGGAGUGGUGUUGAAAUGAUUCAAAGGUGAAAGUGAAGUAAUGAUGCAAAGCAUGGGUAAAAUGGAAUGGUGUUGAAAUGAUUUAAAGGUGAAAGUGAAGUAAUGAUGCAAAGCAUGGGUAAAAUGGAGUGGUGUUGAAAUGAUUCAAAAUGGAGUGGUGUUGAAAUGAUUCAAAGGUGAAAGUGAAGUAAUGAUGCAAAGCAUGGGUAAAAUGGAGUGGUGUUGAAAUGAUUCAAAGGUGAAACUGAAUUGAUGAUUGAUGCAAGAAUUAAACAUGGAUGGAGUGCACGGCAAAGGUUUAUUAUGGUACAAGGAACCCUUAAUUUGUGUCCUAAAAUGCAUGUGAAACCUUCAAUGUUGCUGGAACUUAGGGACAUUUAGGAUUUAGGAAAGAUCAAACCAAAAUAGGAAACCUUGGCUUAACUUUCCUACUUCAAGUAGUAAUCCUCAUCUUUAGGUCUUCAAUUUCAUCCAUUCCUUUAGUUCCAAGCAUGUGAUAUUUAUUCCAAGCCCAAAAUUUCUCCAAAAGGCUCCAAAAUGCACAUUUUUGCAUACUUUGUCCUUAGAACUUGAAAUUGCACAAAAAUGACUUUAAACACUAAAACAACUAAGGAAUAACAACAUAAAUGCAUGAGAACAAGCUAACUCAGUCGCAUAAAUAUGCUCUUAUCAAAUUCCCCCACACUUAGCUUUUGCUAGUCCUCGAGCAAAACAGAAGAAACAAAUGAAUCAAAACAAACAGAACACAACUUAACCUUCCAACAUUUGCCUCAUGGAUUUCCAAUGCACAUGACAUGUUAAAAAUCAUCAUUCCCACAGCUUUUGGUCAUCUUCACACUUGAGCACAUACUUAAUUACAGUCACCACUUACUAGUUUGCAAUUAACCAAUUAAAACAAUAUUUUGAAUGUAGUAACAUGCCUUAGAGAAUUUGCUCAAUUCCUUACAAGAUACUCUCUAUUUUCACAUACAUUUUCUGACUACACACCCUACACUAGUUAUAUGUGAGCAGAAUGAUGUAAACAUGGAAGACUAGUACUCACAUAUGUUAUAACAAAGAAAGCAAUUUCUGGAGUUAAUAAGCAUGUUUAGAUAUGAUCUCAUGAAUGGAAUGCUACCACUUAGAUGUGAGAACCAGUGACACCAUAUGCUCAUACCAAUUUCAAACUCCACGAAUUGAAACACACAACACUCAAGAUUGAAGUCAAGGGUUGUAACGGGGCUUGGGGGGUAAUGGCUAAUAAAGAAAGGAUAGCAAUAAUAAACGUUCUUAAAGCGAUAGCAAGCAAAGCAAUGAAAUAGACACUUGGAAUUCACUUUAGAAUGCAGAAUCAACUUUUAAAUACAAAGGGAAGAUUCAUGCAACACUUAGGGCCGAAUUCAAUGUUUUGGACCCUUUUUUAACAAACUUUUUUCUUUUCACUCUUUUUUUUUUUUUUUUUUUUUUUUUCUACCCAUGCCUUAUUAAGGACUUUGGUACACACACACACACACACACACACACACACACACAAGAAUCACUUCCCCCACACUUGCUUUCUGCAAUACAUUGAUAAAAAAGGAGUUCAUUUUAAGUUAUGCUUUACUAUGCUUCAAGAACAAGGGUAUGGAUGCUCCUAAAACUAGGCUAGGUAAGGAUAGUGUGGAUUAACAAAGAACAUAGGCUUAACAAGGCUCAACGGGGUUAAACUUAAACACAUAAUGAAAUAGGGGCACGAAAAUUUGGCUUUGGUGGUCACUACACAACUUCAUCUUGAAUAUGUGUUAUGCAAAUCAAUAGCAUGCUUUGAAUGAAAUAGGCAUGAGUUCUAGCAUUUGGAACUAAAUGAUGAAACGCCUUCUAAGUAGCAACCAAGCAAAGAAUAAUGAGAUCAUGCAACGACUUUGGAAAACAAUGAUGCACAAAUUAUUAACUCUCCAAAUAAACGUUUAGGCUUAAGUCUCACAAGGUUGUAGCGUUCAUUUGAGUUCCUUCCUUCAAGCAUGUUACAAAACUGAUUUUUCCUUUAUGAUUGCAUGUGAAUUCAUAAAUUAUAACCACAACCAAGCAUACACCAAAGACUGAAUCAAAUUUUCAUCCGUGUUUAUAACUCUCUUUAACAGUCAUGUAAUUAAAAACCAAAUCCUCAUCAUUGUGUUGGAAGGUACCCUAAGACACAAAUAAACACACAAAAACAACUCUUUUUGGGUUUUUCAAAACAAUUUUUCAAAUUUUUAUGAGAUUUUCGGAUUUUUAUGUCAAAACACACUAAAACGCUCCAAAACAGCUUAAAACACUUAAAAACAGCAAGGAAUAACACUAGAAGUAAUGGGUGAUAAACUCCUACGAAUUUCAUGCAAAUCAAUUUGGUUACCCCCCCCCCCACACUUAAAUCAUACAUUGUCCUCAAUGUUUCAAGCAUAAACUCACACAAAAACAAGCAAAGAAACAAACAACGAAUAAACAUGACAAGUUUAGCAAAGUAAAAACCAGACAUAGUAGAGUUUAAGAACGCAAAUCUGGUUUUGGAGAUAGAUGAUCUUGUUGACUUUCCAUAGCUUUGAUCUCGAACUGGUUUGGAAUUCUGAGUGAGGAAUAUCAGAGUUCCUUGGUUGUGCAGUCUGCAUUCUUCUCUGCUUGUUUCUUCUGUAUGGCAGGUAGGCACGAGGUAGAGGUGAUGGUCUGUUUCUUUCUUCAAUCUUUUCGAGUGCCUACCAUUUGCUUUCUUUCUCCUUGUCCCUAGCUGAGGAUGAAUUAGCACAUUGUCUCCACAUGCUUCGAGGUAUCAUUUUCACUUCCUUUAUUUGUUCCCCAAGCAGAAGUGGUAGACGAAGAGGAAGCAUAAGAUGUCGAAGAUGAGUACUCGAGAGCAAGGCUAGGUAAGCAAUCAGGAAGGGAUUCUAGGCAUUCGGUUCCAGAUCGGAAGAUUGAUACCAAGUGCUGGUUGAUUGCUCUCUUUCUCUUUGUCCCACAGAUGAUAACAACGACAAGGAGAAGGAUAGGGAAAAAGCAUGAUAUGAGAUACUCUUGCUUUCAACCUUCAUGAUAUGAAAUACUUUUGCUUUUGAUGGGUUGUUUGCAGAGGUAUCCUAGGGAAUAAGGAACACUGAGUGACUCGAGAGGCUUUGUUGGGAAGGCAUUCUCAGAGAUGAAGAAGGGUUAUGUAUGUCUGCCUUGCAAUGGGGGGUGAAGGUCGACAUUUAUAUGAAUUAAUAACUGGUACUAUUCUUUCACUCUUGUCGGCAACUGUUGGAUGAUUGAAUAGUAAUCUUCACGUGCUUCCUACGUCACCAGAAAUCUUCGACAGAUUGCCCGUAAUUUUCGCAAGGCUGAGUGUGCAUGUGACAGAUGCUGACACGUCUGGAAAAGCAAAUGCGUCUUCGAUAUCUGAAAUCGGCGCUUCGACAAAUUGCCCGUGAUUUCUGCAAGCUGAGUAUGCAUGUGACAGAUGCUAACACGUCUGGAAAAGUAAAUGCCUCUCCGAUUUCUGAGCUUGCCUCUUCGAUUUCUGAGCUCUGUCGAGUGCAGAGGUUGCAUGUGACAAGUGCGGCCAAAUCUAGAAUAGAGGAUGGCCCGUGGUUUCUGAGCAAGCCCAGCUUUUGAGAAAGCUAACGCCUCUUCGAUUUUUGAAUUGGCCUCUUCAAUUUCUGAGCUCGCCUCUUCGAUUUCUGAAAUCUCGUUAAGUGCUGAUUUUUAUAGAGGAUAAGCAGUUCGUUUCUAAGCACACUUGAAUUUCUGCCCAUAAAAACUCCCUUCAUUGCACUUCUUAAGAUCUCGAUUUGUUCAACCUCUUUUUUCUUCAACACCUUUGAAAAUGUUUGGCCCCUUCGACCGUCGUUUUGACUUGAGAAGGCAUGGAUGCCUCUUCACCAAGGUUCAAGUCAAAACGACGGUCGGAGGGUCCAGAUCUUUGAGCAUUGGUGUUCAGCAACAUAUGCCCCUCCGACCGUCGUUUUUAAGAUGCCACAUCUUUUCUUGGUUAACUUAUUCUCUUGCCCUUUUGGGUUUUGAGGUAUUCCCGCUUUCAAUAUAGUGCAUCCCACUACUUGUCUCUAGGUGAAAAAGUCACUUUAUCAUAUUACCAUGAGAGAUAAUAUGACCAUUCAAGUAUAAAGUGUAACUCAUUUUGUCAAACAAUACUGAGUGCCUAUCUCGCAAAAGCAUAGAGAUGGAAAUCAAAUUCUUUAUACAUGAAGGAAAAUAUAAACAAUUUUUAAGUUCCAAGACCUCCCCAAAGGGUAGUUUAAGCAUGUAGGUGCCUUCUUCUUUUUGCAGAGAUUUUAGUGUUGUUCCCAACUUGCACAAUCAUCUCCCUAUUGUGCAGUGUCCUGCUUCUUGUUAGUCCCUGCAAUGAAUUACAGAUAUGUUGAUUAGCGCCUGAAUCAAAUAUCCAGGAAUUGGAGCUUAUUGUGAAAGCAGUCUCUAUGACAGAAAUAGUCCCUUCAAAAGUUCGUGUCAUAAGGCUCGCAAUGAGCACCCUGUAUUUCUUCUUCCAAUGUUCAUUCUUUCCACAAUGAAAGCAUGCUCUUUUGGAUUUUGUUGCCUUUUUCUUAUGCAACCUUUUCCUUGUGAUUGCAUUUUCACUCCCACUGUCUUUUUUGAAAGUUUGUUCAAACUCACAGCACAUGUCAAUCAUCUCGGUAAAAGUAUGAUCGAAUCCAUUCACUUUAUAGUUUACUAUAAACUUAGUGAAAUCAUCCGAGAGAGAUGCAAGGAAAAAGUAUUGGGCCAUUUUCCCAUCGAUGGAAGUUCCUAAACUCUCAAGAUCUUGAAAGAUCCUUUCCAUCUUUUGUCCAUGUUUUUGGACCGAUAUCCCCUUUGCCAUUUUGGCAUUCAAUAGACUACAAACAUUUGAGAAUCGUACGUUACUUGUCUCAAUGUUAUGCAUCUUAUGUAAACUAUCAACCAUGGCACAAGAAGUGUCUAUGUGCUCAUGUAGCUUCUUAAGCUCCUUACUAAGUGAAAUGAGGAUUAAGCAUUUGGCUUGUAAGUCAUCCUCAAGGUGUCUAGUAUAAUUUUGACACUCCUCCUUUGAAGCUAGCUUUGUAGGAGGUACAUGAGGAUGGGAUUGCUUGAGCACAUAUGAUAUGUCAUUCAUCUUUGAGACAUUCUUAAUGUGAUGAUACCAAGCAAGGAAAUGUUGGCCCCUAAGGCCCCUUUUGUCAAGUAUAAUGGUAGGUGUAAUUUUAGGCAUAUCGUUAACUACAUAACAUAACAGAAAUCAUAUUAGAUUGUUGAUUUUAAAACUACUUGAUUGGGUCUUAAAUCAAAUAGUAACCCACUAUUUUUGGCAAAUUCCACAUCCCUCAAUGGAGUCCGAGAGUUAUGUUGAACUCUUAGCGGGGUAUGAGAGGCUCACCAUUACCAAGCCCACCGCAUAAUGAUAUGAUGUUGGUUAGGAACAAUAAUGAUGAGAGAAUAACACUUUAGUCAUUUACAACUCUUGUAAUUACCCAUCUAGUUUGGCCUCUAGAGAAUAAUGCCUCACAAUGAUAUGAUGUUGGCACCAUUGCACUUAGUUAAGUCAUUCCCACCAUGCUAGUUGGUGUAGGGGGUUCAAGAAUAGCCUCACAAUGAUAUGAUGUUAGCCAUCCUCGUUGCUUACCUCACCACAUCAAGUAUGUUCAUAUGGACUACUCCUGAAUGUAAGCACAUACUUUGAACUUCCCCAUGAUAGGGUGAAGCCGUUGUUUGAGUCACAAAUGAUUGGAGCCCACCACGGUGGAAGGCCUACGAAGAGAUGUUCAAAGCAUCUCUCGCUUAUCAACUUAAUAUUCGUUUUGUUGAGGGAGUAGUGUUGGGCUACAUCAAUUUCAUUUUAAUCUUAUUAAAAGAACUUGGGCCUAUCACAACCAUUGGUCCAAGUUUAAAUGAAUUAGUAGUAUAUAAUACUCCCACUAUUUCGAUGAAACAAGGGAGACUAUAUGGAACUACUAAUGAAUGCAUAGCUUCCUCAUAUGGACUGCAUAGUCAUCUUAGGCUUAGGAUGAUUAUGAACCGUUUGAUUUGAUCCAACACGAGCCUUGUGUUGGACCUUGGGUCUAAGGUAGGUAGUUGUUGAUUUUAGUUACACGUUUAAUCUAAUUAAACCGUUAUUUCCUAUUGGGCGUUGGACCCAAGUAUUCCAAUUUGCAUGCAAUUAAACAAAAAGGAAUAAUUGAAAUAUAGAGAAGGGAUUAUGCCCUUUUACAACACAUUGAACUAAUCAAAUUACAUUCAAAUCUAAAUUACUUAACCCAAACAUUCAUAAUGUAAAGCGGCCAAUCACAUAUAGCUCAAUUAUCGAGGCAUUUGGUUCAUAAUCACCAUUUUCUUAAUCAAUCACAUUAACUAAGAAAGCAACUUAAACAAUUGGAUUCAUAUAAUUGAUCUAAAUGGAACUAAAUGAAAUGAAAAUCCAAUUCUCAUUAAAGAAACAAAAUCAUCUUGUUCUCAUCAUAAUUUGGGCCGAAAAUGCAAUGACAACAACUAUUGGGCCACAACUCAAAAACAUAAACUAUUGGGGUCACUUUGUAAAAACAUAAAAGUCAACAACUUCAUGUAAUUACAACUAGAAUCUAAAAAUUUCAACCAUUACAUAAACUUCAUUAAAAGUAAACUUUUGAGUCAAAGUGGAACACACAAAAGUAUCAAAACUUUAUGUAAUUGCAUAAAAUCCCCAAAAAUACCCCCACUAAGGGGUGGCCGGUUUUGGUAGUUGAGUGAUGGUUGGUUUUGUUGAAAAUUCAAAAUUUCAUAAAGUGUGUUGAAAAAGUGGAAGGUAUGGGUUGAAUAGUUGAUUGACAUGGUUGAAAAGCUUGAUUGGUAUGGGUUGUAAGAUGUAGAUGUUUCAAACAAUAAAGACACAAUGAUCCAUCACCAAUCAAUAGCAAACCAAAACUUUAUGAAAAACAAUAAACACAUUGAAUCAAAAAACCAAACCUUUUUGACUUUAUUUAAUGGGUUAAUUGCCCUUUUUUUUUAGUUGUCAUACAACUUAAACAUAAGGGACCUUAUGGACCAAAAACCCAUUUCGACCCCGAGACCCGAAACUAACUUAAAAUCCCAAUACGAACCUUUCGUAUAAUUAAUUAACUAAUUAAUUAAUCUUGACCAUUCUCAAUUAAACCAUUUAAUUGCUUAUCCAUCUCAUUUAUAUUUCUUCACUUUCAUCCUUACUCGGUGUACGAUCCAUUAGGUUCCAAUUAGCGAGGUAGUGGGCGAUUAUUACUCUUAACAAUCGAUUGUGAAUUGAAACUACAUUUCAAUUCUCCCUUUGAUGUAGAUUAGUGUUUGCUAAUCUUCAGGGUUUCCACAAACCAUGAGUGGCACCAACAAUAUGUGAUGGCUACCCAAGCUAAGUAGAAGUGGUUGGAGAACCUAUCCAGUUACAAUUACAAUGCAAUACGGUCAUUCUCUAAUACAAUACUCUUAAUUACAUUGUUUGAGUGAUAGUUUGUUUCAUGUCAAUUAUCCAAUAUGAUACUUCUCUAUAUGAUUCAAUUGAAUAUGAUUUGGAACAAACUUCCUAAAUCAUAUUCGUAUGCUUUGGCCAAAGACACUUGGAUCAUAUCUCAGAUUAUUCUCCCUCCACCAUGGAAUGUUAGAAAUCCUUUGUUGUGCAUUCAUAUGCCUACAUGACUUGAAAGCUUGACCCCAACAAUGUCAUGGAAACUCUCGAUAGAAUGCCUUUGACAUGAUCAAAGAUCAAGGACCUAACCAUUAAACAUCUAUAAUGCCUCAAGUCAAAGGAGUUCUUACAUGACAUGUAUGUUCGAACUCUGUUUUGAUCAUUGUUCAGUGUACUUGAUUACCUUUUGAGCACCUAUGUGUUUGUUUCAGUGUCCAACACUAAAUGGCUUGAGACUAGUCAUACUCACGCUUGAGUUAACAUAACACAUACUAACCUUAGCGGAUUGUCAAUGCCCAAUUGGCAGUUCUAUGGCUAGGAACGUUUUAGGAAUGAACAUAAGAGAAAUGUCUUGUUAAUCUAACUUACUUAGAUCACUUCUCUCUUAGAUUAAAUACAUUCCUUGGAUUCCCUUAUUGCUUAAACACAUAAUACAAUAAAUAGUGAUUAACAAUAAGCUUUGCCCUUCAUUAAACAUAUAAUAGUUUAACACAAUAAGCAUUCCAAAAGCUAUUACAUCAAAUGAGUGGCUUUGUGGGCAUACUUCCAACAGAGAAAGCCUUUGCUAGUCUCUGUGUGAGCCAUUGAAAAUAAUUAUAAGGCUUAGGGGAUUAAUUCAAACUAAAAGAAGGUUUUGAAAGCUAAUUUUGUAGAAAACUCUUGGGUAUGGCACAAAAGACUUAGGUUUCUCAAGCUUCAUAGUUUAAAGAGCUUGCAGAAGUUACAACUGGUGAGUAGUUUUAUUGAGUUACAAGAAAAUGAAGAACCUUGUGAAAGAUGUAUAUUGGGAAAGCAUCACAUAGACGCUUUUGAAACUGGAAAGGCAUGGAAUGCUAGUCAACCUAGUGAAGUUCCUUGAAAUAUAGUAAAAGUUUUUCUCUAUAUAUAAAGCUCCAUAUUAAAAAAAUUAAAUAAAAAAAAUUAAAUAAAUUGACAAAGUAAGGAAAACAAAAUGAAACAUUUUUUUUUAAAUAAUCAAUGUGUAAAUGAAUAGGUUCCGCUGUCACCUUAACAAUCCUAAAUAGUUCUCUCAAUUUACUUAUGAAUUAUCCAUGCAUAUUUUCAAGGUUCGAUUUUCCUAAAAUGUUCUACUACUUCCAACCUAGAACGUAUAUCAAACAUGAAACGUGUCCAGACGUUUGGAUCGAAUGUGAACAUGAUUGACUCAUUAAGCUUUAUGAAAACCCUUUGAAUAACCAUGCAACCCUUAAUACGUGGUGUCCAUCCUAAGUGAAAUUACAAUUAUUAACCACAAGAAGCCAUCACCAAUUUCAGGGAACCUUUGGAUCAAAAUUGCAUCAAAUUACUUUUCUAAACAUGCUAAUGGGCACGAAUCACUAAGACACUUAGAUAGCUUAAACAUAGUGAUAAAUAAUUCAAAACAUACAUGCAUAAUAUCAUAAGUAAAUUGAAAAGAAACUACACGUUCUUUGUAACAUCCCACAUCACCCAAGGGGUGGAUCCUCUAUGCCUUAUAUGUACAUGUCAAUCUCUUCCUAGCACGAGGCAUUUUGGGAGCUCACUAGCUUCCGGUUCUGUAGGAACUCCGAAGUUAAGCGAGAAAAGGGCCAGAGCAUUUCAAGGAUGGGUGACCUACUGGAAAGUUCUGCUCACGUGAGUUUUCAGAAACAAAACCGUGAGGAUGUGGUCGGGGCACAAGGCGGACAAUAUCGUGCUAUGGUGAAGUCAAGCCCGGGAUGUGGUGUUCCAGUGAAAUUUCAUUAAGGUCCGCCACUUGAAUAGCAUAGAAAUCGAUGAUCCGACAGUUGGAUUGUCACUAAACCUGAAUAUAUUAUAGUACGUAAUAUUUUAGGAUUAUAGGAACUUACGGAUCAGGAAUCUGACGCGCAGAUCUUCUCGAAUUGGAUUUGUAAGUUCAUAAAAUAAAACGUCGACCGCCACUUGGUUUUGGCAAUUGGCGGAGAUCCAACCGUUGGAUCAUAAUGAAACUUUAGUAUGAUGUUUUAGAAGCAUAAUGUGGAUAUUUAGAUGUUACAGAUCGGAAAUCUGAGUUAUGGAUUUUCCGAAUUGAGUUACUUAGGAUUGUGGACCCUACCGUCGAUCUUUGAUCGACGGUUGAAUUUUGGUCAAUGGUUACAAAUCUUUCUAGAACAUCCUUAGGGGAUCUGUUUUAUGUAAGUUACAUGUUCUAUCAAUAAGGAUUCUGAGAUGUGGUUUGAUAAUUGUUCUAGUCGCCGAUCGUUCGUGACGCCUCGAUGUUUAUGCUAGGAAGUUGUAGCGCAGACUCCAGGUGAGUAGGCUUUUGGUUAUAUAUAUAUAUAUAUAUACGUAUAUAUGCUUUACAUUUUCCAAAAAACUAUUUUGAAACGAGCUUAUUCUUUUAAAUGCCAUGUCAUGCUUGCAUUUCAUUCAUUAUACGCAUUAGUAUGUAUAUGCAAACUAUUGUAUCACGAUGCGAAGGCCAGGUAAGUUUCAGGUGUGUACUGUAUGAUGUUAGUAGUUGCAUUGGUUAUCGUUAUACGUAGAGGCAUGUAGAGCUCAUUAUCCUGCACCUCGGUGUUAGUGCUCCCGCCUGUGGCCAGGGCACAAUCAUUCAUGUGAUCGUAGCACUUGAGCGUACUUAUUUACACCCAGCCUUGUCGUACAGACCACAAUCGGUAGUUCCGACUUGUGUGAAGGCAUAUUUGAUGAGCUAUAGGUUCAGCCGUAUAGGUCACGUUAUGUGACUCCGGCUGGCAUAUAAUUUCUAUUGAUUUAUUUCACCUGGCUUAUUUAUUUCAUUGCUGAGAUACUUGACAUGGCAUAUACUUGGUUUUCACUACUCUCAAGCAUGAUUUCUAAAUACGUAUGUAUUAUUAUUUUUUGGGAAAUUAUACGGGUUUUACGAGGGGAUCGUCUAUGCCUUAUAUCUACAUGCUCAUCUCUUCCUAGCACAAGGCAUUUUGGGAGCUCAAUGGGUUUAGAUUCCGUAGGAACUCCGAAGUUAAAUGAGUUCGCACGAGAGCAAUCCCAAGAUGGGUGACCCACUAGGAAGUUCUCGUGUGAGUUCCCAGAAACAAAACCAUGAGGGCGUGGUCGGGGCCCAAAGCGGACAAUAUUGUGCUACGGUGGAGUCGAGCUUGGGAUGUGGUGAGGGCCCGGGUUGGGAUGCGACAUUCUUACUAAGCCUCUUGGCCUCGCCCCAGCCAAAGAAUUUAGUUACAAACAAUCAUAAAACAAAAUAUUAUUAAGAACAUGGAUAAGAAGCACCUUGUCAAAUAAAUUUGAAUCAUAAAAGCUCUCUAAGCUGGAUUCUCCAAAUUAGUGCAUAGAGAACCCUAAUGGUUAAAUAGCCUUAUUUAUACUACUACAUAAUAAAAUGCUACUUAGAAAAGGUCUUAGAAUAAAACUAGAAACCAUAAUAAAAUAAUAAACAAUUUCCUAUUUAAAUUGAUAUUCGAACUGUAUAGAAACUCAAACUUUUGACCGACCAAAUCAACUUCGAUUUAGUCCCAAAAUGUCUCUUUUUAAAUCGUAAGACAUCUCCAAAAUAUCCUCGGAAGGAACCUUUUUCAAAAAAUACCAUUUUGACCUCCAAAUACCCAAAAUGUCCAAAAAAGUCAAUCUGGGAAAGCUGCGCUCUGGGCCUUUAUUUUAUUGCCAUGGUCAAACGGCUUGGAAUUAAAUUCUGGAAAUUGAUAAAAUCAUUUUGAAAGACUCAUGAACCUACUCCAACUAGAAUUACUCCAAAAUUCUUUCGUUUGAUCACUUUAUGCUCAAAAUAGAUUCACAUGUCAUGUAAUGGAACAAUAGAACAAGUAUCAAAAUUCAACCAAAAUAACCAAUAAAUUAUGACUAAGAAUAGAAUAAAAUAUCAAGUAUAAUAUCAACUCAUCAGUCAAACUGUUUGACGGAUCUAUUUGAAGAAUUUGAUAGGUACACAACGUUUACAAGAGCAAUUGCAACAAUGUUGCUGCUGCUAAAGUCUAGAAAAUUUAAGUAGAAGUCGUCCACAAUAUCAUGAGCAUACAUUCUCUUCUUCAAACCUCAAGAAAUAUGUUGAUGGGCCUUUGUAGAUUUGAUCAUUUGGACUCAUGAAGUGGGGCUAAAGGAAUCUCUUCGGUAUAGCUUCAACUAGGGAAGGGGGCUCUCAUUGAAACUAAGCCCUAUUCUUAGUUUGAGAAAAAAACAAUCUAACAGAGAGGAGAAUGAUCAUAGUGCACAAAUUUAGUUUUCAGCUUAAAUGGCUUCUCCAGGUGGGAGUUCUUCAGGUUAGUGCACUACAAUCUUUAUAUGAAUCAAUAUUUUGAGUUUUUGCUAGGUUGUGAUUCUUGUAACUGAAUCUAGAUUGUGGUUUUAAUGUUUAUAUGUGGCAUUAGAGCCAUAAGUUUAAGUUCUUAAAUUCAAUCUACAAAAAUCAGAAGAAUCAAACAUACAAAAUAAAAUAAAAUUCUUCAGUCAUGAGGUUUCGAAACUGGUUCUAGGUUUUUUAUCUGGACAAUAGGGGUUUUAGCGAAAUGUUGUGUUUUAAUAUAAAAGGAUUAUUUAAAAUUUUGAUAGUUGGAACUCGAAAUUCGUUAUGCUUUGGGAUUUUCUGGGUUGGCGAAAACUUUUUCCUCUUCUUCGGUUUUGUGUUUUGGGCAAUCUGAGGGUCUUUCGAAAACUACUCGACUUGUUGAAUAUUCAAUAUCUAUCAAAAUUUCUUUGGCUGCCAGGUGUCGAUACACAUCAAUUAAAAGGUAUGUGAUCUGAAACCUACAUUGGAAACAUGAAGUUCUUGUUUAUUUAUUGCUUGAUUUAUGUAAUGAUUCUUAAUUCUAUUAGUAAUAAUAGAUCAAUAUAAGUGAUAUCAUACUUAAUUUUGAAUAAAACUUGGACAAUAGGAUUUUUACCAAAAUGAUGCGUUUUAAUAUAAAAGGAUUAUUUAAAAUUUUGAUCGUUGGAACUCAAAAUUUGUUAUGCUUUGGGAUUUUGUGGGUUCGGGAAAACUUUUUCCUCUUCUUCGGUUUAGUGUUUUGGGCAAUCUGAGGGUUUUUCGAAAACGACUCAACUUGUUGAAUAUUCGAUAUCUACCCAAAUUUCUUUUGCUGCCAAGUGUCGAUACACAUCAAUUAAAAGGUAUGUGAUCUAAAAGCUAGAUUGGAAACAUGAAGUUCUUGUUUACUUAUUGCUUGAUUUAUGUAAUGAUUCUUAAUUCUAUCAGUAAUAAUAGAUCAAUAUAAGUGAUAUCAUACAUAAUUUUGAAUAAAACUUGGAAUAAUGAAAGUUAUCUAAUCCUGUAAGUAGACAAUCGUUCGAAUUUUUAUGAGAUUAUUGCUUGUUCUUAAAUUAUCAAUAUUUGUGAACUGUGAACAGUUUUGUAGGGAACAAAUAUCUUCUUUUGGGAGAAAUGAUUGUUCAUGAUUACAUAGCUUUUAGUACUCAGCUUAUCAUGAAACUUUUCAUCCUAUAUGUAAUCAACUAUUUGUUGUUAAGAUUGUGUGUAUGGAUAUUAGUUUGGAUAUGGUGGUGUGCAAUAGACUAAGAAUUGAAAUUAGGACUUUAAAAGGUUUAAAUUGUGAUUUCAUUGUUCUUUAGUGUCUGCAAUAUUGAUGAAGACCUUAAAUUUAGCCAACAUUCCAAUGCUCACUGGUGGGAACAAUUAUAAGAAGUGGAGGAGGGAUAUCAAUUUGUUAUUGACUCUUAAUGAGUUUGAAUAGUAAUUGACAACCCUAAGCCAUUUAUCAUUCAUCAAUUCACCUGGGCUGAGAAUUCAGAUCAUGAGAGAUGGACAAGGGCUAAUAAGGUUGCACUCUCUAUGUUGGAAAGUGGCAUGACUAACACAAUCAGAGAAGGAAUCAAGAAACCUAAAUUGAUUGUGGACUACUAGAAAGCAAUAGAGAAAACGUUUAAAGAGUCAGAGAAGACUGAAGUAAGUCAAUAUCUGUCCUUCCUUACAACAUACAAGAUUGUGGGUACUGGAUUUAUCAGGGAUUAGAUCAUGAAGAUGAUAGAUGCCACAGAAAAGCUAAAUUCCAUGGAUGUGAAUAUUGGUGAGAAGCAAUUGGUCUUUAUGAUUCUCCAAGCACUUCCUUCUAAGUACAAACACUAAAAGUAUCCUAUAGUACACAAGAUAAGAGUUGGGAUAUUGAUGAAUUGAUUGCAUGAUGUAUGCAAGAAGAAACUCGAUAUAAGCAAAAGAAGGGCAAAGAGAUUGAGGAAGUCAAUUUUGUGCAACCCAGGAAGGAGAAGUAAACUUGGAACAAUGGAAGCUCUUCUAGUAAUGGGGAGGAGAGUAAAUUGGCAGGUACACUGAGUCUGGGCAACAAAAGGGCCUUUUGCACUCUAUUUGGAGAAGAAUGGAAUAGUAGCACAAUACACAACACCUGGAACACCUCAAUAGAAUGGAGUCUCAGAGAGAAGGAAUAGGUCUCUCAUUGGCAUGGUUAGAAGAACGAUGACAAGAUCCAAGCUGCAAGUUAUAUACUGAAUAAUGUUCCAAGCAAAGCUGUUUCUUCAACAUCAUUUGAUUAAUGGCACGGCAAAGUACCUAAUUUUGGGUAUAUUCAUGUUUGGGGUUGCAAAGCUGAAGUCAGGUUUUGCAAUCCUAGUGAAAGAAAACUAGAUCCAAGAACACAAUCUUUUUACUUUAUUGGUUACCUUAAAGAGUCAAAAGGAUAUAGAUUUUAUAUUCCUUAAGGUCACACUCGAAUUCAAGAGGCACACAAGGCUAUGUUCUUAGAAGAUCAAGAUAUCUUAGACUUAUGUAGGGAAAAUUUUGUUUUUGAAGAGAUUGAUUAGACACAAGAACAUCCUCUACAAGUUGACUACAAUCCAAUCUUGUUGUUCCAUCAUCCAAUGUCCACUUGCAUAGAAGAUUUGACUGCUGAAAUGGAUUCUGAUGUUGGCAACACUAUGGAAAAUGAGCAGUUUGCUACAAUCAUAGAUACUGUCACAUAAUUGAAUUAACAAGAACCAAUGGAAGUGCCACUUCAAUUUGAGCCAAGAAAUCAACUAGAAUUUGAAAAACAACAGUUGUCAGUGACUAUGCUCGUUUACAAGAAGCUGAACUUAAUAUAGGUGAUGUUGAUGACCCACUUACAUACACUCAGGCCAUAGAGAGUUCUUAAUCAUUCUUAUGGCAAAAUACCAUGAAGGUUGAAUUGGAUUCAAUGUUCAAAAACAAUGUUUGGACAUUGGUGGAAUCUAAGUCUCAUAUUUAGCCUAUAGCUUGCAAGUGGGUGUAUAAAACUAAAAGAGAUGCUCUUGGUGGAAUUGAUAGAUACAAAGCAAGACUUGUUGUCAAAGGGUUUACUCAGAGAGAAGGCAUCGAUUACAAUGAUACUUUCUCACUGAUUUCUUCUAAAGAUUCAAUGAGGGUUGUUAUGUCUUUGGCUAUACAUUUUGAUUUGGAGCUACAUCAAAUGGAUGUGAAGAUAGCUUUUCUCAAUGGAGACUUAGAAGAGUAUUUAUAUGAAGCAACCAACUAGAUUUGUUGAAAGAGGGAAAAAACAAUAUUGUAUGCAAGCUUAAUAAAUCCAUAUAUGGCUUAAAACAGGCUUCAAGGCAAUGGUAAUUAAAGUUCGAUCAAAUUGUUUCUUCACAAGGUUUUGUAAAAAUCAAAUUAGAUGACUGCAUAUACAUCAAGUUUGCUGGAUAAAAGUUCAUUUUUCUAAUGCUUUAUGUUGAUGAUAUUCUUCUUGCUAGUUCAUGUCAACAGUUGCUCCAAAGUACCAAAAGAAUGCUGAGUGAGAAUUUUGAGAUGAAGGACCUUGGUGAAGUUUACAAUGUGCUGGGAAUCGAAAUUGUUCGUGAUAGACAAAUGAGACUUCUUGGCUUAUCUCAGAAAGGCUAUAUUAACGGAGUGCUACUCAGGUUUAAUAUGGAAUGUUGUAACAAUGUUCAAGUACCAAUUAACAAGGGAGAUAAGUUUUCAAGAGAUCAGUGCCCAAAGACUGAUUUAGAAGUGAAGAAGAUGAAGUCUAAAUGUUAUGCUUCCUUGGUUGGAAGUCUUAAGUAUGCAACUAUUUGUACAAGACUAGAUAUUGCCAUUAUUGUAGGCAUGCUAGGUAGGUUUCAAUCAAAUACAAGAGAAGCACAUUGGGUAGCUGCUAAAAAGGGUUUGAGAUAGCUGCUGAGAACCAAGGAUUAUAUGUUGGUUUAUGAAAUCAGUGAUUCUUUGGAACUUGUGUGAUACACUGACUCAGAUUUGACAAGAGAUGUGGAUGAUAGAAAGUUUGCAUGGGGUUUUAUCAUGCAAUGGAGGUGCAGUCUCUUGGAAAAGUUCUCAUUGUGGUUUUAAUGUUUACACGUACACCACUACGGAGCAAACAAAUACAAGACCAAUUGAAGACGUGCAAAGUGAAGUACUCUCAAGGCAAUUAACGGUGGGUUUAUUGAGAAUACAAAGGGUUAUUUUAUACUAGUUUGUUGUAGGCCAGUUUCCUAUCCUAAAAACAAACAAAGUCCUAAAUAGGCUAGGAAAAUUUUAAUUCAAAGCUUUUCAAGCCAUGAUAGUAAUAUAGCUUUAAUCCAAAAGAGAAAGGGAGAAAAAAAAAGGCCAGUUGUUAUAAACUUUGUAUUUAAGUAUGAUUGUGUAAAUCAUAUAUUAGAUUUGAUACUAGUUAUUCUUCCUUAUUAGGACUUGUAUUCCUUGGAGGAGAAUGAUUCUUCCCUCCCUUAUUACUAUAAAUAAAGGCAUUGCGUAUGGGGAAUAAAACAUCAUCCUACAAAUACAUACCUCUCCUUAUUUUCUCUCUCUCAGUCGUGCCCUUUUUCUCCCUUGUCAGAUUAAAAUAAGCCACAACACGUUAUCAAUACGCUCCUACCGCUGCGCUUAGGAAUUUGACGUGGAAGUUUUCUGCAUCAAACCAGUUCAUCAAUAUCAUCACACAAUCAGGUUCUUCGAACCCAAACCCGUUCAUCAAUUAUGGAUAUUUUUGCAGCCCUGAUAGCAUGAACAUUCACCAUAAUGCAAGACCCAACUUUACGUUUUUCGAAUUUUAGAUUCUACACAAAUUGUGUAUGCAUUAUAUCUAUAAUUGUUGAAUAAUUGAAUUAUGUAUUUAAUAUACAUGAAAUUAUAUUGAAUUAUAAUAUGGAAAUCAAGAAAAAUUUGAAAAAAAAUCUAGGGUUUGUCGAACCCCAACCUGAGCUUAUGCGAGCCUUUUAAACUGCGAUAAGCUGGAGCAAAACCCCCCAUGCUCCAUCGGAGAAGACGAUGCCAUUUUUGGCAUCGAACCCACAACCCACUACUCCCUGCAAUCAGCCACGGCCUCCCUGCCAUCUUCCAUGAGAAAUCAUGACCUAUAGUCAUGUUUUUUGGACCCAACCAUUGACUGGAUCAAAUAUUUCAAAACCCUGAAACACACUUUAAAUUUGGCUGAGGUGUUCACUCUAUGGUUUGAAGCAAUUCGAAAGAAUGUGGUAUAACCGUCUGAGUGAGUAUUUGACUAUCAGGGAUAUGUGAACAACGAACUAUGCCCUUGCGUGUUCAUUUAGAAGUCAUAUUCUGGUAUUGUGAGUCAUGCGGUUUAUGUUUACGACAUGAACCUCGUCGGAACUCCUAAAGAGCUCGAGAUAACUGUCGCACACUUUAAGUGAGAAUUUGAGAUGAAAGAUCUAGGAAAGACUCGAUAAUGUCUCGGUCUCGAGAUAGAGCACCGUUUAGAUGGAAUCUUAGUACAUCAAUCAAACUACACCCAAAAGGUGUUGUGCCGCUUUAACGAGGAUAAAGUGAAGCCUUCGAGUACUCCUUUGGUCGUUUAAUCGCUAGAUGCAAAAACGAGAUCCCUUAUGUCUGAAUAAGGAUGAUGAAGAGAUUUUGGAACCCGAAGUUCCUUGUCUAAGUGUGGUAGGUGCUUUAUUGUACUUAGCUCAAUGCACUAAACCCGGCAUCUCCUUCGCUGUUAAUGUUUUGACAUGAUGCAUGCACCUAUGCACAAACACUAGGUUGGUGAUAAAGACAUCUUCUGUUACCUUAAGGGUACUACGAAUCUGGGCCUGUUUUAUCCCUAUGGAUCCUCGAGUGAGGCCACACCCCCUUACCACAAGUCAAUUCUCGUCUUGUUCGUUAUGCCGACGCAUGAUACUUAUUUGAUCGGCAUAAGGCGUACUCUCAAGCCGGUUUCAUCUUUACCGUUGGAGGCACCACAAUAUCUUGAAGGUCAACUAAACAGAUGUUAGUUGCCACUUUGUCUAACCAUGCUGAAAUUCUUACCUUACAUGAAGCAGUGUGGGAAUGCUUCUGGCUAAGAGCAGUUGUGGGCCAUAUUCGAAGUUCCUGCAAUCUUUACCCCAUUGUUCAUGUCUCGACGACGAUUUAUGAAGAUAACGUAGCAUGUAUCAAACAGCUCAAGAAAGGUUACAUCAAAGGAGACAACACCAAGCACAUUGCGCUGAAGUUUUUCUUCUCACAUCAACAACAAGAACAUCAAAAGAUUAAAGUCACACAAUCCGUUCACAAAAUAAUCUGACCGAUCUCUUCACCAAAUCACUACUGAAGGCGAUGUUUCAAAAGCUUGUUCAAGGAAUAGUUAUGUGUUAACUUUCUGAGUUGUAACAUUGUUAGUUCUCUUUGGAAUUAUGUGAAACUCAGGGGGAGUAUCCUGAAGUGUACCUGCUUGAUCUUAAUGUACUUUUUUUCCCUACGAUUAGGAGCAUUUUUUCCUUUGGAUUUUUGCUACCUAACAAGGUUUUGGCGAGACACUCAUCUUGGGUUGACCAUAUCCCUAAUGAUGUCCCGUAAACGUGUCAUUUGACUUUGCAUUUCUCACGCAUGUUUCAUUAGACUAGGGGUUUUGUCCUUACCCAGGUUUUACCAUAGCUAUUGAAUUUUUUGUGACACUUAGUUCCAUUUGCAAGUUCUUACUUUACAUUGAGACUAGCGUGUUCCCAAAAUUAGUGUCGAUGAGUCAACUUUUUUAACUCUAUUUGAUGCCGAAUCUACUUGAGUAUUUAUACACUCAAGGGGGAGUGUUAUAAACAUUGUAUUUACGGGUGAUUAUGUUAAUCCUAGAUUAGAUUUUAUAUUAGUUAUUCUUCCCUGUUAGGACUUGUAUCCCUUGGAGGAGAAUGAAUCUUCCCUCCCUUAUUACUAUAAAUAAAGCAACUGCGUAGGGGGAAUAACACAUCCUCUACACAAUCCUACAAACACAUCUCUCUCCUUUCUCUCUCUCUCUCUUCUGUGCGCCCCCUCUCUCCCUUGUCAGAUUAAAAUAAGCUACAACAAAUGUUUCCUUUUUUUGUCUUCUAACUUUAUAUAUACAAAGGAUGUGCUCUUAUUAUCUUCCGCCAGAAAAACCGAGUCAAAUUCCAAGUGUUGCAUUUUCAGUAGUCAUUUGAGAAAUUAAAACAAAUAAGAGUAGUAAAAAGCAGCAGAGCAACGAGAUUUCCUGCUAUCCACCAAAAGAACCAACUGCAUGCACUUUAAAUAGCUCCAUUUCGUUCAGAGCUUCCAUAGAGUAAAAGAAAAACAGUGCAUCUAAUUUGAAAAAAGGAGAAACAAUGGCAGAUCAAUUGACAGAUGAUCAACUGAACAUGCUCAAGACUAAAUUCAAUGCCUUCGACCCGGAUGGCACUGGUUAGAUCCCUCUUUCCAUAUAUUCAUGUAUAUGAUGUGUGUGUGUGUGUGUAUCAUGUCAAGUACGUACUGCCAGGGACGAAGGCAAAAUUUCAAACUUGACUGGGCUGAACUUAUCUUGCGAUCUAAUUUUUCAGUUGAGUACACAUUGGCUUAGCCAACACCAAGGUAAAAGAUGAUUAGCAAUCCCACACAUUCUUACCUUAUUAUGUUAAUGUUGUUUACCGUAAAUAAUGGUAUAGGUAACAGAUGAUAAAUCUCCAGUCAUGGAGGGGCUGAACUUAGCCCCGAACUAUUAUGUUCAGGGACAAAGCCAGAUAUCUAUAUGGAUGGGGUCAUCCUCAAACAAUAAAGUGAAAAAUUGAAAAGCUCAAGAAUUUAUUAAACAAAAUACUUAUGUACUAACCGAUAAGGUUUGUAUACAAUAUAUUACAAUAUCACACAACGUGUGCAUUUUCUUAAUUACCAAUACCAUCAAAUAUCUCUUUAUAAAAAUAAUCUGUUAUUACUCAUCCAUUUAUCUCCCAACCAAUUUUUCAAUCAAUUUUUUCAAAAAUUUUAUUGCUGAAACUGCUCUACAACAUGAGAUUAUGCAUUAUGUGCAUUUUUCCCAUCCAAAAAAAUGAGUGGGGUCUGAACCCAAGGUGGCUCCGUGCGUGAUUAUGUUAAUGUCUUCUAUUUUAUUCUACUAUGUUGGGGUUUGAAUCUGAUUCAAGUAAGCACAAGAUAUUGAUUCAUCUUACUGUUUCAUAAUUUGCCAAUUUUUUUUUUUUUUUUGGUUUUUCAGGCAUAAUCACUAGGGAUCAGCUGGCCGAUGUGUUGAGAUCGUUAGGGCAAGAUCCCACCGAGGAGGAGUUGGAUCAAUUUGUGCAGCAGCUAGGCAGUGAGGAUGGGAAUAUUCACUGGGAUAAAUUCGUCGAACUCAUGGCCCAGACAAUUUCUGCAUUAGCUGGGCAGUGAGGAUGGGAAUAUUCACUGGGAUAAAUUCGUCACAGUCAUGGCCCAGAUUAUCAACCCCAAGUGACCACUCUCACAUUAUUCUAGUACUAUUGUCAAUUUAAAUACUCGCAUUUUGGUCAAGUUAUUGACGAAAAUAAUGUGUCAUUUCUAAGAUAUAAAGAUAUUUAUUUCUUUAUAACUAAUGUGUAUAAUAAAAGGGUAAGUUUAUCCUCCUAUAAAGGUUUAAUGCAAUUUUGUAUUUCUCCAUAUUGAAUUUUAUACAAAUAAUGUUUAAGUGAAUAUUGUGAUCAUUUCAUUUUUAGCUUCAAUUUUCACAUUUUGUGCUUGGGAUUAUGACGAACAUAUAUGGGGGAAUUGAGCGAUGAACACAAUUAGGUGUUUAGUAAAAUGUAUUUGUAAAAGCACUUCUAGUAUAAAAAGUUGUGACAACCUUAUAAACCUAUUAAGUUGCAGAUGAGAUUACUGGGGCCCCUAAAAAUGUCAUAUGUUCUUACCUUUUCUUUCAAUUAAUCGACAAUUGUCAUCCAUGAAUAGAUAAGCUCAGGACCUCUUCCAACAAAAUCAAGGCCAGACACAAUCAGACUGAAUAAUAUAUUGGUGUGUAAUGUGCUUACUUAUGUUAAGUAUUUGAUAUGGGAUUUCAUAGUACGGUAGUCUUUUAAGUUUUUAGUUCAUCAAUACACAUACAAUAUUAUGUAGUGUUAAAUCAUCUCGCUAAAUGAAUCUUGUAAAGAUUUCAAACAAUUGACAAAAAAACAGAAUGAAACAACUAGAUCACUCCCGCUCCCAGUAAUCUAGCUUGGUAGAUGCACAUGCGUACAUAAACAUCCAAGUUUGUGUUGGAUUUAAAUAGACAUUGGUUUUACGGUCUAGUGGAAUUCCUCUACACUUGUAAGUGAGAGGUUAUAGGCUCAAUUCUCAUCAAAUGUGAAUUUGAACCAUAUUAUUGCUAGCUUAUUGUGAGGCUAAGUCUUCCCUUUUAGUGUAGAUAACAUCGUUUUGUUAAAAAAAAAAAAAAGAUUUUGGUUUUAAUCAAAGACUUGAGAAGGAAGAAAUCCUACAUUCAGUUUAAAAUUAAGUCUCUCAUGGCCAGUUUUUGUUUUGUUGUGUUGUGUUGUGGUUCGGUGGUCUCAUAGGACAAGUGUAUGCACCAGAUUACUGUUUUAAAUCAAAGGGCUUAUAUUGCCCUUAAGUAGUUGGAACUUGUGUGGUGAGGGACAAUUAGGAUAAGGUUGUAUGGAGGCAUCCAGUGUUGAUGAAAUAUGGAAAUAUAUAUGAUGUGAUGCAACGAUUAGCACCUCCACAUUCCUUCUAAAAUUCUUUUGUUCUUCCAAAUCUUGUAGAUGGCGAAUUCGAUACCAAAUUAGGUUGCCCAUUGUGUGGCUUUCCCGAACUCCCCGUCCUCUUAGUGUAAACUAUUAUCGUUAUACUUAAAAAAAAAAUAUUAUUUUGUUCUUAUUCUUCGAAUCACGGAAAUACAUCACACAAAAUACAAACCAACAUUUCAAGAAUUUAUCAUGGCCUCAGAGCUGAUCAAACAAGAUUGGACGUUUCGUGUUUGAAUAUCUGAAAGCAAAAAGGAGGAAACAAACCCGGAUUUCGAAGAACUAUAGCUGUCGAUUCAAGGUCUCACAUGGCUACUUCUAGCGGUGGAGAAGAUUUGAGGGCUCCUAUCUUCAAUGGGUCCAACUACGAUUUUUGGUCCAUCAAAUGAAGACCAUAUUCAAAUCACACGAUUUGUGGAAGUUGGUGGACAAGGGCUUUGGAAACUCAGAAACGGAACAUGAGUCCAGAGAUGAAGAACAAUUGUCUAUGAAAAGGAUUUUAGUUGAAUAUUAGAGUGUGCAACGAAUAAGACCAACAAGAAUAAUAGAAUAUUAUUAAAUAAACAAGAAUGCCGAAACGGCUACAAAAAACCUAAGAGACUACAUUGUGAAUGACUUAUUAUUCUACAGAGUUACAAAGUACCAUAUAUAUAGAAAACUAACAUAACCCUAAUAGGCAGGGAAACGAAACCCUAAUACUAACGGGCUAAGCCCAAAAUACCAAACAUUAAAAUAAAUCUAAAUAAUAAUAUUUUCCAACACCCCCCGUCAAACUCAUGGCGGUACACGACAUGAGUUUGCCAACAAGCAGAUGUGGAUGCAAGCCUCCAAAUUCCAAUGCUAAUGUCAAUGCCGAUGCCGAUGCCGAUUUCCAAUGCCAAAUUCCAAUACCAUGCCCAAUGCCAAAUUCCAAUACCAUGCCCAAUGCCAAAUUCCAAUACCAUACCCAAUGCAAGAAUACCCUAGCAACAAAACCUCAAAACAACCAAUUUUUUUUUUUUCCUUCCUUUUUCCCCCCCUUUUUUUUUCCUUCCUUCUUCCUUCCUUUUUUUUUUCUUCUGUGCGAACCAACCAGCAACAUCAGCCUUUCUUUUUUUUUUUUUUCUUCGCAGGUGUACGGUUGUGGAUGGAUCCAGAUGCAAGGUGGGGCUGGGGAAUGCAGAAAUCUUAGUGCGAUGGAGCAUUUUCAAAUUUGGGUGUGAGACAAAUUCACCAAAUUCUUUUUUUACAAAAACAUAAUUUUUUUUUCCUUUCUUGAAGACUGCCAAGGGCAAACUGAAAACCAAACCAGAAAACGUAAAAAAUCUACGGAUGGAAACUGGAAAGAAAUAAAACUAAUACGAACAAACAGAAGCAGAUUAGAUCUCGAAGAAUCAAACCUGCUCUGAUACCAAGUUGAAUAUCAGAGUGCGCAACGAAUAAGACUAACAAGAAUAAUAGAAUAUUAUUAAAUAAACAAGAAUGCCGAAACGGCUACAAAAAACCUAAGAGACUACAUUGUGAAUGACUUAUUAUUCUAUAGAGUUACAAAGUACCAUAUAUAUAGAAAACUAACAUAACCCUAAUAGGCAGGGAAACGAAACCUUACUACUGACAGGCUAAACCCAAAAUAUCAAACAUUAAAAUAAAUCUAAAUAAUAAUAUUUUCCAACAUUUUCAAGUUAAGUGAAUGAAGCCAGAGAUGCAAAAGCUCUUGGUAUCAUUCAAGGAGUAGUCUCAGAUGAGAUUUUUCCCCGAAUCUCAAACCUGGAAACCUUCAAGGUUACGUGGCAUGUUCUACAACAAGAAUUCCGCGUUGACAAAAAGAUUAGAUCAAUCAACAAACUAUGUUUAAGGAAAGAUUUUGAGUAUACUAGAAUGAAUGAUGGUGAAACUCUAUCCUCUUACUUGACAAGAAUCUUGAUAUUGUGAACCAAAUGAAAACCUAUGGUGAGGAACUGUCAAGCCAAAGAUUAGUGUAGAAGAUUCUUAUUAGUCUGCCUAAAUCUUAUGAUUCCAUUGCAUCCAUUAUAUAGGAAACUAGGUACCUUGAUACUAUUGAGGAUCAUGAGGUGUUUGGAAUAUUAAAGGGCUAUGAGCAGAGAUUGCAUAGGCACUCAAAAAACUUGGCUGAGAAAGCCUUUGCUAGUCUUGGUGUGAGCCAUUGAAAGUAAUUAUAAGGGUCAGGGGAGCAAUUCAAACUAAAAGAAGGUUUGGAAAGGAAAAGGAAAGAAAUGGGAUAACAAGUUCACUCUACAGACAAAACCAGAAACAUGUGGUGUUUCUACAAACACCAAGUGUACGAUUUGUGAUAAACUACACUAUGGUGUCUCUUGGUUCAAGGGAAAACCUAAAUGUACCAAUUGUGACAGGUUUGAGCUUCUAGAAAAAGAUUGCAAUCCAAGAGGAAUCCAAGUUGUGAACUAUGCACAUAGGGCAAAAGAAGAAGUAAAUGUCUUCUAUGCUUGUAGCGUGACAAUACUAGACAAGAAGACGGGAACUUGGUAUAUUGAUAGUGAGUGCAGCAAUCAUAUGACAACACAUGAAUCACGUCAACUCAACAUUGACAGAAGCUUCAUUUGUAAAGUUAAAAUGAGAAAUGGAAAAUUGUUGAGACUCCUAGAAAAAUGAACUUUUGCCAUAAAACCUAACGGUUGAAAAAGGUUUAUCAAGGAUAUAAUACUUGUUCCAAGACUUGAUGAAAACCUCCCCAAUGUAGGACAAAUGAUUAUACAUGGUUAUUUCCUACUCUUUGGAGACAAUAUGGUGGAAACCUUUGAUGAUGGAAACUCGCAGAAUCUGUUGACACAAGUGGCGAUGACUUGAAAUAGAAACUUUAACCUUAUGUUAGACUAUCAUGACUCAAUUGCUUUGAAAGCUAAUAUUAUAGAAAACUCUUGGGUAUGGCACCAAUGACUUGGGUUUCUCAAGCUUCACAGUUUAAAGAGCUUGCAGAAGUUACAACUGGUGAGUAGUUUUUUGAGUUGCAAGAAAAUGAAGAACCUUGUGAAAGAUGUAUACUGGGAAAACAUCACAGAGACGCUUUUGAAACUGGAAAGGCAUGGAAUGCUAGUCAACCUCUAUAGCUCAUACACACUGAUGUGUGCGGUCCAAUGAAAACAUCAACACCAAGUGGAAAUAGGUAAUCCUGUUAUUCAUUGAUGAUUGCACAAGGAUGGAAUGGGUGUAUCUCAUGAGGAACAAGAAUGAAGUCUUCACUAUUUUCAAGAAGUGUAAGGCAAUGGUUGAGUUACAAAGUGGUCUUAAGAUCAAAAGGCUAAGGAGUGAUAGAGGAAAUGAAUACACUUCACUAGAAUUCAAGGAGUUUUGUUAAGAAUUGGGAUUACAAAAGUAGUUAGUAGUUGCCUAUACACCACAACAAAAUGGUGUAGUUGAAAGGAAAAAAAGGAAUGUGGUUGAAAAGGCCAAGUCCAUGUUACAUGACAAGAAAAUGCCACUUUCCUUUUGGGGUGUACAAGAAAAUGGCCAUUUGGAUCUCAUCCAAAUCCUCUUUUUGAGGAUCCUAGAGAUCCUCAUAUCCUACUCAUUCAUCAUACAUCGUGCGGCCAAAAAUCAUUUUGAAAUUUUUUAUUUGAAAUUAAACACAAACAGUACCAAACAAAAGUUGUCCGCACGAUGUACGAUGAACAUAUAGGAUAUGAGGAUCUUGGGAUCCUCACAAGAAAGAUCCAGAGAGGAUCCAAAUCCCAUGUUGAAAAGGUUGAUAAGAUAUUUCAUAUAUAAUCGCCCUACUAUUAGGACAAAGGUGUUCUUGACAUUCCCUCAUUGGCUAUCUGUUAGCCUGAAGGUGACCAUUUCAAUCCACAAACUUCCUGUUGGUGACCCGCAUAGGUUCCAACAACGGGGGAAUCUCAGUCGUACAUCACCGUUAAUAAUUCUACUGUUCAAUCCUCAUGUAGUUAAGAUGUGCUUAUUCUGGGCCAAGGAACCUACUCUUGUUUGGUGCCAGCUUCUAUGUUAUUCAUUUAGUUGGGAUUAAAUCCCAUAACUAGACAUAAGAAUUGUUCAAACCAACGACAAUAUGCUGUUCAUCAAGAGCCUAGCUGAUGCGUGUAAUUGGACCCUCUUCGUCAUUGGUAGGAUUUUUACCAUCUACAAAAGUAGGGUUAAAAACACUUAAAAAUACAUGCAAGAGAACAAGGUAAUUGUAGUAUAAACGAGUAAAACAAGAUCGUUCUCCACAUAGAUUAUUUAAAACAAUUUAUGUAAAACCAAAUCUUAAUUAAUUAUUUAAAACAAAGUUUUGAAAAAAAAAUUGAUAUUGUUACUUAAGAUAUUAAAAAGAGUAAAGAUUACACAUAGAGUAUACUUUUAAUACUUAAUUAUAUAUUGACACAACAUUUUUUAAACAUUUCAAGGAGAGGCAAAAGUUUAUACAUGUGAAAAAUGACAUCAUUGCCUUUUUUUUCUCUAGAGUGUAAGUUACAAUAUUACCCUUUAUAGUGGAAAAGUCUUUCUCACACUAAUAUCUCUUCAACCGUUGCUCUUUCUCUCUUCAAGAAAUAUUGGUUCCAUUUAAUUAUUCAAAUGAACUUAUGGAUCUACUACCCUUACCCAGUUUACCUUCCCAUUCCCAUUCCUAGUUGGACAAUUAAAGUUCCUAUCCAGUUUUAAUUAUUUGUUAGACGGGUAUAAUUCCCUUAUUUUUUCCCUUUUCAAGUUCAAUGUGCCUUGAAAUUAGAUUGAAGGAUGUUCUUGCUGCUUUAUAGUAUAUGAUAUUCAAAUCAAACACGAUUUAUCACAGAUAACCUUCUAUUGACCAAUUUAAGAUGAGUUUCAAAUCAAACAAAUUCUGAAUUAGAAGACCUUUGCCUUGCUUCUCUCCCCCAAAAUUCAAUUGUUUUAUUUCAACCUCUGUUAAUGAAAAAAAUUCUAUCAAAAAUUCGAAUUUGUAAAGUGAAAAAAAUUAUACAAGAAUUGGAUUUUGCAAAUGGAAAUUUAUCAUACACACCUACGACUUAAUGAACCAAAAGACGAAUUAGUGAAAUUUUGUAAACAUUGUCAUUUAUAAAAACGAAUGGAACUGAUUCUGCAAAAAUGGUCAAAAACGGUUUGAACUGUUGCAAAAAUUGUCAAAGUUGGGUUUUGAUUAUGCAAAAAUGGUCGAAGAUGGGCACUAGUUCUACAAAAAGGAUCAAGGAUGAGUUGAAUUGAUUAUGCAAAAAUGAUCGAGGACGACUUGAAUUGAUUCAGCAGAAAUGUUGAAUUGGACGGGUUGAAUUGAUUCUACAAAAACGGUCGACAACAGGAUGAACUGAUUCUGCAAAAAUGUUGAACCAAUUCUGCAAAAAUGGUUAAGGACGAGUUGAAUUAGUUUAGCAAAAAUUGUCGAGGACGAGUUGAACUAAUUUUGCAAAAAUUGUCGAAGACGGGUUGAACUGAUUUUGUAAAAAGGGUCAAAGAUGAGUUGAACCAAUUCUGCAACAAUGCUCAAGGAAGGGUUGAACUGAUUUUGCAAAAAUGGUCAAGGACGGGUUGAAUUUAUUAUGUAAAAACAGUCGAAGAUAGGUUAAACUGAUUCUGCAAAAACGGUCGAGGACUAAUUGAACUAAUUCUAUAAAAAUGAUUGACGGCGGAUUGAACUAAUUUUGCAAAAAUGGACGAGGAUAGGUUGAAUUGAUUAUGCAAAAAUGGUCGAUGAAUGAUUGAACUGAUUCUGCAAAAAUGGUGUAGGAUGGGUUGAACUGAUUCUAGUAAUAAAGGAUACAAACUGAUUUUGCAUAUAGUUUCAAAACUGAUUCUACAGAAAUAGUUAAGGAUGGGUUGAGCUUAUGACACAAUAAUUUUGUUGAAGUUGUGAAGGGUGAGUUCUAUUAACAGCCAUAAAGCCUUAGGGGUCCAAUUUUUGGGCUGGGCUUUAUUUGUUUUCAUGUUUUUGUCUUUCUUUGACAUGUUUAAUGACACAGCUCGACCCAGAAUGUCCACUAGGACUCUGCUUCGAGUUGUGCUGGCCGACACCCAAAACAUUCUAACAACUCACGCGCCCUCACACGCCGGCUAAGGCACGACCACACGCGCCAUCACACACAGGCACGUGCCUGGCACACCAAACAGAAUUUUCCCUAACAACCGUGAGGGCGUGGUUGGGGCCAAAAGCAGACAAUAUCGUGCUACGGUAGAGUCGUACCCGGGAUGUGGUAGGGGCCCAGGCCGGGAUGUGGCAGUUAAAAACUAGUGAAGUUCCUUGAAAUAUAGUAAAAGUUUUUCUCUAUAUAUAAAGCUCCUUAUUAAAAACGAAUUUAAAAUAAAAACAAUUAAAUAAAUUGCCAAAGUAAGGAAAACAAAAUGAAACAUUUAAAAAAAAAAUCAAUUUGUAAAUGAAUAGGUUCCCCUGCCACCUGAACAAUCCUGCAUAGUUCUCUCAAUUUACUUAUGAAUUAUCCAUGCAUAUCUUCAAGGUUUGAUUUUCCUAAAAUGUUAUACUAACUCCAACCUAGAACGUAUAUCAAAUAUGCAAUGCGUCCAGACGUUUGGAUCGAAAGUGAACUUGAAUGACUCGUUAAGCUUUAUGAAAACCCUUUGAACAACCAUGCAAUCCUUAAUAUGUGGUGUUCAUCCUAAGUAAAAUUACAAUUAUUAACCACAAGAGGCCAUCACAAAUUUCAGGGAACCUUCAGACCAAAAUUGCAUCAAAUUACUUUUCUAAACAUCCUAAUGAGUGCGAAUCACUUAGACACUUGGAUAACUUAAACACAUUGAUUAUUAAUUCAAAACGUACAUCCAUAAUAUCAUAAGUAAAUUGAAAAGAAAUUACAUGAUCAUGGCCUCGGGCUAGCCAAAGAAAUUAGUUACGAACAAUCAUAAAACAUAAUAUUAUUAAGAACAUGGAUAAGAAGCACCUUGUAAAAUAAGUUUGAAUCGUAAAAGCUCCCUAAGCGGAAUUCUCCAAAUUAGUGCGUAGAGAACCCUAAUGGCUAAAUAACCUUAUUUAUACUACUACAUAAUAAAAUCCUACCUAGAAAAGGUCUUAGAAUAAAGCUAGGAAACAUAAUAAAAUAAUAAACUAGCAAAUAAAAGGUUUCCUAUUUAAAUUGAUAUUCGAACUGUAGAGAAAAUCAAACUUUUGACCAACCAAAUCAACUUUGAUUUAUUCCCAAAAGGUCUCUUUUGAAAGUGUAAGACAUCUCCAAAAAAUUCUCAGAAGGAACCUUCUUCAAAAAAUGCCAUUUUGACCUCCAAAUAUCCAAAAUGUCCAAAAACGUCAACCUGGGAAAGCUGUGCGCUGGGCCUUUAUUUUAUUGCCACGGUCAAACGGCUUGGAAUUAAAUUCUGGAAUUUGAUAAAAUCAUUUUGAAAGACUCAUGAACCUACUCCAAUUAGAAUUACUCCAAAAUUUUUUCGUUUGAUCAUUUUAUGGUCAAAAUAUAUUCACAUGUUAUGUAAUUGAAAUAUAGAACAAGUAUGAAAAUUCAACCAUAAUAACCAAUAAACUAUGACUAAGAAUAGGGUAAAAUAUAAAGUAUAAUAUCGACUCAUUAGUCAUCAACUAUGGUGAGCUUUUGGACAAACCUGUUCGAAGAAUUGGAUAGGCACACAAUGUUUACAAGAGCAAUUGCAACAAUGUUGCUGUUGCUCGAGUCUAGUAAAUUUAAGUAGAAGUCGUCCACAAUAUCAUGAGCAUACAUUCUCUUCUCCAAACCUCAAGAAAUAUGUCGAUGGGGCUUGGUAGAUUUGAUCAUUUGGACUCAUGAAAAGGGGCUAAAGGAAUCUCUUCGGAAUAACUUCAACUGGGGAAGGGAGCUCUCAUUGAAACUAAGCCCUAUUCUUAGGUUAAGCAAAAGACAAUCUAACAGAAAGGAGAAGGAUCACAGUGCACAAAUUUAGUUUUCAGCAUACAUGGGUUCUUCGAGUGGGAGUUCUUCAGGUUAGUGCACUACAAUCUUUAUAUGAAUCAAGGUUUUGAGUUUUGCUAGGUUGUGAUUCUUGUAACUUAAUGUAGAUUGUGGUUUUAAUGUUUAUAUGUGGUAUUAGAGCCAUAAGUUUAAGUUCUUAAAUUCAAUCUACAAAAAUCAGAAUAAUCAUGCAUAUAAAAUAAAAUAAAAUAAAAUCGUUCAAUCAUUAGGUUUCGAAACUGGUUCUGGGUUUUUUAUUUGGACAAUAGGAUUUUUACCGAAAUGAUGCGUUUUAAUAUAAAAGGAUUAUUUAAAAUUGUGAUCAUUGGAACUCAAAAUUUGUUAUGCUUUGGGAUUUUGUGGGUUCGGGAAAACCUUUUCCUUUUCUUCGGUUUAGUGUUUUGGGCAAUCUGAGGGUUUUUCGAAAACUACUCGACUUGUUGAAUAUUCGAUAUCUAUCCAAAUUUCUUUUGCUGCCAGGUGUCGAUACACAUCAAUUAAAAGGUAUGUGAUCUAAAAGCUAGAUUGGAAACAUGAAGUUCUUGUUUACUUAUUGCUUGAUUUAUGUAAUGAUUCUUAAUUCUAUCAGUAAUAAUAGAUCAAUAUAAGUGAUAUCAUACUUAAUUUUGCAUAAAACUUGGAAAAUGCAAGUUAUCUAAUCUUGUAAGUAGAUAAUGGUUUGAAUUUUCAUAAGAUUAUUGCUUGUUCUUAAAUUAUCAAUAUUUGUCAACCGUGAACUGUUUUGUAUGGAACAAAUCUCUUCUUUUGGGAUAGAUGAUUGAUCAUGAUUUCAUAGCUUUUAGUACUCAGUUUAUCAUGAAACUUUUCAUCCUAUAUGUGCUUAUCAACUAUUUGUUGUUAAGAUUGUGUGUAUGGAUAUUAGUUUGGAUAUGGUGGUGUGCAAUAGACUAAGAAUUGAAAUUAGGACUCUAAUAGGUUUAAAUUCUGAUUUCAUUGUUCUUUAGUCUCUGCAAUAUCGACAAAGACAUUAAAUUUAGCCAGCAUUCCAAUUCUCACUGGUAGGAACAAUUACAAGAAGUGGAUGAGGGAUAUCAAUUUGUUAUUAAUUCUCAAUGAGUUUGAUAUAGUAAUUGACAACCCUAAGCCAGUUAACAUUGAUCAAAGUACCAAGGCUGAGAAGUAGGAUCAUGAGAGAUACACAAGGGCUAAUAAGGUUGCACUCUCUAUGUCGGAAAAUGGGAUGAUUGACAAUCAGAGAAGGAAUCAAGAAACCUAAAUUAAUUGUGGACUACUUGAAAGCAAUAGAGAAGAAGUUUAAAGAGUUAGAGAAGGCUGAAGUGAGUCAAUACAAGUCCAUGCUUACAACCUACAAGAUUGAGGAGGCUACUGGAUCUAUCAGGACUCAAAUCAUGAAGAUGAUAGAUGCCACAAAAAAAGCUAAAUUCCAUGGAUAUGAAUAUUGGUGAGAAGCAACCGGUCUUUAUGAUUCUCCAAGCACUCCCUUCUAAGUACAGACAACUAAAAGUAUGCUACAGUAAACAAGAUAAGAGUUGGGAUAUUGAUGAACUGAUUGCACAAUGUAUGCAAGAAGAAACUCGAUAGAAGCAAAAGAAGGGCAAAUAGAUUGAGGAAGUCAAUUUUGUGCAACACAGAAAGAAGAAGAAAACUUUCAACUAUGGAGGCUCUUCAUGUAAUGGGGAGGAAAGUACACUGGCAGGUACACUGAGUCAGGGCAACAAAAGGGGUAUUUUGCACUCUAUUUGAUGAAGAAUGGAACAGUAGCACAAUACACAACACCUGAAACAACUCAAUAGAAUGGAGUCUCAGAAAGAAGGAAGAUGUCUCUCAUUGACAUGGUUAGAAGAAUGAUGACAAGAUCCAAGCCAUCAGGGUUGUUAUUGGGAGAAGCUUUGAAAACUGCAAAUUAUAUACUAAAUAACGUUCCAAGAAAAGUUGUUUCUUCAACAACAUUUGAUUUAUGGCAUGGUAGAGUACCUAAUUUUAGGUAUUUUCAUGUUUGGGGUUGCAAAGCUGAAGCUAGGUUCUGCAAUCCUAGUGAAAGAAAACUAGAUCCAAGAACACAAUCCUUUUAGUUUAUUGGUUACCCUGAGAAGUCAAAAGGAUAUAGAUUCUAUAUUCCUUAAGGUCACACUCGAAUUCAAGAGACACAAAAUGCUGUGUUCUUAGAAGAUCAAGAUAUCUCAGACUUAUGUAGGGAAAAUUUUAUUUUUGAAGAGAUGGACCAGAUUCAUAAACAUCCUUUACAAGUUGACUACAAUCCAGUCUUGUUGUUUCCUCAGCCAAUGUCCACUUGCAUAAAAGAUUGACUGGUGAAAUGGAUUCUGAUCUUGGCAACACUAUGGAAAAUAAGCAAUCUGCUACAAUCAUAGAUACUGUCACAUAAUUGAAUUAAUAAGGACCAAUGGAAGUGCCACCUCAAUUUGAGCUAAGAAAUCAGCUAGAAUUCGAAAAACAAUAGUUGUCAAUGACUAUGUUUGUUUACAAGAAGUUGAAUCUAAUAUUGGUGAUGUUGAUGACUCGCUUACAUACGCUCAGGCCAUAGAGAGUUGUGAAUCAGUCUUAUGGCAAAAUACAAUGAAGGAUGAAUUGGAUUCAAUGUUCAAAAACAAUGUUUAGACAUUGGUGGAAUCUAAUUCUCAUAUUAAGCCUAUAGUUGGCAAGUGGGUGUAUAAAACUAAGAGAGAUGCUCUUGGUGGAAUUGAUAGAUACAAAGCAAGACUAGUUGUCAAAGGAUUUACUCAGAGAGAAGGCAUCGAUUACAAUGAUACUUUCUCACUGAUUUCUUCUAAAGAUUCAAUGAGGGUUGUUUUGUCCUUGGCUGUACAAUUUGAUUUGGAGCUACAUCAAAUGGAUGUGAAGACAGCUUUUCUCAACGGAGACUUAGAAGAGUAUUUAUAUGAAGCAACCAACUGCAUUUGUUGAAAGAGGGAAAAAUAUGGUAUGCAAGCUUAAUAAAUCCAUAUAUGGCUUAAAACAAGCUUCAAGGCAAUGGUAUUUAAAGUUUGAUCAAAUUGUUUCUUCACAAGGUUUUGUAAAAAUCAAAUUAGAUGACUGCAUAUACAUCAAGUUUAUCGGAUAAAAGUUCAUUUUUCUGGUGCUUUAUGUUAAUGAUAUUCUUCUUGCUAGUUCAUGUCAACAGUUGCUGUAAAGUACCAAAAGAAUGUUAAGUGAGAAUUUUUAGAUGAUGGACCUUGGUGAAGCUCACAAUGUGCUAGGAAUCGAAAUUGUUCAUGAUAGACAAAGGAGACUUCUUGGCUUAUCUCAGAAAGACUAUAUUGAUAGAGUGAUACUCAGGUUCAAUAUUGAAAGUUGUAACAAUGGUCAAGUACCAAUUAACAAGGGAGAUAAGUUUUCAAGAGAUCAUGCCCAAAGACUGAUUUAGAAGUGAAGAAGAUACAGUCUAAACCUUAUGCUUCCCUGGUUGGAAGUCUUUUGUAUGCAACUAUUUGUACAAGACUAGAUAUUGGCAUGAUUGUAGGCAUGUUAGGUAGGUUUCAAUCAAAUACAGGAAAAACACAUUAGGUAGCUGCUAACAAGGUUUUGAGAUAGCUGCAGAGAACCAAGGACUAUAUGUUGGUUUAUGGAAAAAGUGAUUAUCUGGAACUUGUGGGAUACCCUUACUCGGAUUCGACAAGAGAUAUGGAUGAUAAAUAGUCUACAUGGGAUUAUAUCUUCAUGCAAUAGAGGUGCAGUCUUAUGGAAAAGUGCAAAACAAAUUGUCAUUGCUACAUCUACUAUGGAGGCUGAAUUUGUAGCUUGUAUUUAAGUGUGAUUGUGUAAAUCCUAUAUUAGAUUUGAUACUAGUUAUUCUUCCCUACUAGGACUUGAAUUCCUUGGAGGAGAAUGAUAAUGAUUCUUCCCUCCCUUAUUACUAUAAAUAACGACACUGCAUGGGGGGAAUAAAACAUCUCCCUACAAACACAUACCUCUCCCUAUUUUCUCUCUCUCAGUCGUGCCCCUUCUCUCCCUUGUCAGAUUAAAAUAAGCCACAACACGUUAUCAACAUGCUCCUACCGCUGCGCUUAGGAAUUUGACAUGGAAGUUUUCUGCAUCAAACCAGUUCAUCAAUAUUAUCACACAAUCAGGUUCUUCAAACACAAACCCGUUCAUCAAUUAUGGAUAUUUUUCCAGCCCUGAUAGCAUGAACAUUCACCAUAAUGCAUUACCCAACUUUACGGUUUUCAAAUUUUAGAUUCUAUAUAAAUUGUGUAUGCAUUAUAUCUAUAAUUGUUGAAUUAUGUGAAUUGAUUUUGCCAUGAAUUGGAUCAUAUAUAUAUAUAUAUAUAUAUAUAUAUAUAUAUAUAUAUAUAUAUAUAUAUCCAUGCAUUGAAUUAUAUAUUGAAUAUACAUGAAAUUAUAUUGAAUUAUAAUAUGGAAAUCAAGAAAAAAUUGAAAAAAAUUUCUAGGGUUUGUCGAAACCCAACCUAAGCUUACGCGAGCCUUUUGAGCCACGAUAAGCUGGAGCAAAAACCCCAUGCUCCAACUGAGAAGAUGAUGCCAUUUUUGGCAUCAAACACACAACCCAGAGCUGCUUGCAAUUGACCACGACCACCGUGCUGUCUUCCCUAGGAAAUCACAACAUGCAGCUGUGUUUUUGGGACCCAACCAUAGUAGGUAACAAUGGGUUUCUUAAUUAAUUCGAUGAACAUCGUUGAAUUUUUUAAGGAUUCUACAAAUCCACACGACUUCUCAAACCGCCUCCCCUAAUGUCGACAUUUAAUUUUCUGUCCAAAAUUAGGGUUACAGUCGAACCCCAGUGCAUCGCCAUGCCGUGACCCACCAAGGGAAGUCGCCUGAAGCGGAGCCGAAGAUUUUUCCAAUUCGAAUCCCACACCCAAUGCCGCUGAGGUGUUUUGGGUUUCUCGACCCAAGCCCUAGUGGGCCUUGGACCCUCUGGCCUACUUCGCUCAUAACCCACACUUUAAUUUUGGCCUAAAGUCCAAAUAAUUAAUUCAAUUAUAAUUCUAGACCUGAAGAUCUAUUUACAUAUUUUCUUGCUGCAUAUUUAUGUAUAUAUAUUUGUGUUUGUCUAUAGGAACAUAUGAACCUCAAGUUUAUAAUUAUUUCAAAACCCGAACUUUCUAGAAACAUGCCAUCUUUGAAAACCUGAAGUUUUCAUUAAAAACAUCGCCCAUGAAAAGCCAAAGUUUUUUCAUGUAAAUUUAAACCAAUAAAUGUCUAUUAGAACCUCAAUGUCCUACUCCUAUGUGAAUGGAUGGGUUUUUCACCAUUACACUAUCCCCAUUCUUGUCUAUUUAUUUUGUGAUAGGGACAUGUUGAAUUGGAAUAAACUCAACUUUACAACUUUAAAGGUCUCUGGAAGAAACUAACUCAAGUGGGUCCAAAAUGUAAGACUCCACCUCACCGCAAAGAAUUUGCUUCUUGCCAUUAAAGAUGAGAUGGACAACCCGGUUGGCGAAGUUAAAAAGGCCACUGCCAUGAUCUUCAUCUGAAGACACAUUCAUGAUGCACUGCAAAUCGAGUACCUUGUUGAAGAAGAUCCGCUAACAUUUUGGGUUGCUUUGGUUGAUCACUUUGAUCUCCAAAAGGAAAUCUUCUUGCCUAAAGUAAGACAUGACUGGCAGCAUCUACGCUUGAAGGACUUUAAGUCCGUGAAUGAGAUUAAUUAUGAAGUUUAUCGAAUCCGAACACUUCUCAAGUUCUGUAACGAGAACUUGACCGAAGAGGAUCUCCUGGAGAAGACCUAUUCAACCUAUUCGCCACCAAAAUUUUCCAGGAACAAUAAUAUAGCGCUCAAAAGUUCACCAAGUUUUCAGAUUUGGUCUCUGUUUUACUUCCACCUAAUGGCCAAACCCUGCCUUGUUUUAUGGUUUAACUUUGAACAAUUUUUCCUUUAGGUUUGGAUUAUUUAUUGGUGAUUUCUUUUUGGAUAUUAAGUUUUGUAUUUACCAUCAUUGAAUAUUUAAAUUAUUUUGAAUGGAUACUUGUUUUAGAACUUUUAUGCAUGUGACCGAUUCAAAUUCAUUUUUAUUUGUAGGUAUGCAUAGUGGGAAAGUUAGUUGUCUGGCAGAUAGUGCAAUCACACUCAACCUGUUCACCAUUUUACAUGAACGCAUCUAUUUCACUAACUUCAUACCUAAGAAUGCACCUCUGACAACUCUCUCAAGCUUAUCCAACCUGAUCGAAGGAUACAGUAAGGCAUGUACAAUGUUGUCCAAUGGUAUAAUCUCGACCAUUGAUGAGGCACUCUGUUCUCCACGUUCUGAAUGAAUGUUGUUGAGUUUCAAGGACAUUAGAGAUAAUAAUUACCAUGCUGAAACCUAUGUAGAAAAUGGAGUUGAAUUUCUAUGCAUCACUUUCUACAAAUAUAUCCAAAAGCAUAUUCUAGAGAAUAUGGUGCAUAUCUUGAGCGGUCUAUAUACUACAACCAUACGCCUUAUAAAGAGCCACUAUGUGGUUGUCCCUACCUCACGGAUCGCGCACAAAAUUACACCUUGGCAUGAUCGUCUGAGACACCCUGGACGACUAACGAUGCGCCGUAUCCUCAAAUCAUCACACAUGCAUCCACUAACUUGAAGUUUAGGUUUGAUUCAAGGAAUCGCAUGUCAAACCUGCUCCAUGGGAAAGCUUAUUAUUAAGUCUUCAUAUGAAAAGAUUCAUGCGAAUCUUCCUACUUUUCUACAAAGGAUUCAAAGGGAUAUUUGUGCCAAGCUCUUGAUUGUUGCUUGGGGUCAUGCAAUAUUGCACAUAGCCAUGUUGAUCCGCCUGAGGCAUGUUGCGACCCAACCAUAUAACGCCAUUUAGUUAGUUAUUGGAUACGAAUCCAACAUAUCGCAUUUGCGCAUUUUUAGUUGUGUGGUGUAUGUGCCUAUUUCGCCGCCCUUACGUAAAAAAUGGGGCUUCAGCGAAGGAUGGGAAUCUAUGUCGGAUAUGAUUCUCCUUCAAUUAUACAUUACUUAGAACCUUUGAUAGACGAUCUAUUUAUAGCUCGUUACGUGGAUUGUCACUUUUAUGAGACCGUCUUCCCGUCGUUAGGGGGAGAUAAGAACAUCACCGUUCCUGAAUAAUGACGCUAUUCGUGUACAACUCUCACUUUGUCUUAUUUAGUUCCCCGCACUACUUAAUUUGAAACUAAAGUGCAUGGCAUAUUAGAUCUCUAGAGCAUAGCUUAGAGGACACCAAAUGCUUUCACAGAUUUAGCGUGAGUGACAAGAUCAUAUAUUCCAGCUACGAAUGUGCCUAUAAAGAUGGAUGUACCCAAUGUACGAUGGACUUCCGUCCUAGAGGCCUGGGACGCCAAUUUGGCCGAUCCACGUACAUUAGCGGCUAGCCAAUCUUCUGCCCUUACACAAAAGCCUGGGACGCCAAUUUGGCCGAUCCACGUUCAGAAGUGUAAUGAGAAGAAUGAAAUUGUGCGUUUCAAAGCUCGUCUUGUUGUGCAAGGCUUCUCACAAUGCCUCGGGAUUGAUUAACAAAACUUAUUCACCCAUUAUGGAUGUGAUUACUUUUUGCUACCUUAUCAGUUUGAUAGUUUCCGAAAAACUGAUUAUGCAGCUGAUGGAUGUAGUAACUGCAUAUCUCAAUGAGGAUCUUGGUACGAAAAUUUAUAUGAAAGUUCCCAAAUGACUUACAUUGACUGGAUCAAAUAUUUCAAAACCCUGAAACACACUCUCAAUUUGGCUGAGGCGUUCACACUACGGUUUAAAGCAAUCCAAAAUAAUGUGGUAUAAUCAUCUGAGUGAGUAUUUGACUAUCAAGGAUAUGUGUACAACGAACUAUCCCCUUGCAUGUUCAUUAAGAAGUCACAUUUCGGUUUUGCGAGUCAUGCAGUUUAUGUCGACGACAUGAACCUUGUCGGAACUCCUAAAGAGCUCGAGAGAACUGUCGCACACUUUAAGUCAGAAUUUGAGAUGAAAUAUCUAGCAAAGACUCGAUAAUGUCUCGGUCUCGAGAUAGAGAACCAUUCAGAUGGAAUCUUAGUACAUCAAUCAAACUACACCCAGAAGGUGUUGUGCCGCUUUAACAAGGAUAAAGUGAAGCCUUCGAGUACUCCUUUGGCCGUUCGAUCAUUAGAUGCAAAACGAGAUCCCUUCUGUCAGAAGGUGGAUGAUGAAGAGAUUUCGGAACCCAAAGUUCCUUAUCUAAGUGCGGUAGGCGCUUUAUUGUACUUAGCUCAAUGCACUAGACCUGACAUCUCCUUCGCUGUUAAUGUUUUGACAAGAUACAGAAAUGCACCGACGCACAGAUACUAGACAGGUGUUAAAGACAUCUUUUGUUACCUUAAGGGUACUACAGAUCUGGGUCUGUUUUAUCCCUAUGGAUCCACGAGUGAGGCCACACCUCCUUACCAUGAGUCAAUUCCAGUCUUGUUCGUUACGCCGACGCAUGAUAUUUAUAUGAUCGGCUUUAGGCAUUCUCUCAAAUGGGUUUUGUCUUUACCAUUGGAGGCACCACGAUAUCUUGACGGUCAACUAAACAGAUGAUAGUUGCCACUUUGUUUAACCAUGCUGAAGUUCUAACCUUACACGAAGCAACUCGGGAAUGCUUCUGCCUAAGAGCAGUUAUGGGCCAUAUUCGAAGCUCUUGCAAUCUUUAUCCCGUCAUUCAUAUCCCGACGACAAUUUAUGAAGAUAACGUAGCAUGCAUCAAUAGCUCAAGAAAUGUUACAUUAAAGGAGACAACACCAAGCACAUUGCGCUGAAGUUCUUCUUCUCACAUCAACAACAAGAACAUCAAAAGAUUAAAGUCACACAAUCCGUUCACAAGAUAAUCUGACCAAUCUCUUCACCAAAUCACUACUGAAGGUGAUGUUUCAAAAGCUUGUUCAAGGAAUUGGCAUGCAUUAACUUUCUGAGUUGUAAUAUUGCUAGUUCUCUUUGGAAUUAUGUGAAACUCAGAGGAAGUAUCCUAAAGUGUACUUGCUUGAUCUUAAUGUACUCUUUUGCCUACGAUUAUGAGCAUUUUUUCCUUUGGGUUUUUGCAACGUAACAAGGUUUUGGCGAGGCACGCAUUUUGGGUUGACCAUAUCCCUGAUGAUGUCUCGUAAACAUUUCAUUUGACUUUGCAUUUCUCACGCAUUUUUCAUUAGACUAGGGGUUUUAUCCUUACCUAGGUUUUACCAUAGCCAUUGAGUUUUUUGUGAGACUUAAUUCCAUUUGCAAGUUCUUACUUUACAUUGAGAUUAGCGUGUUCCCAUAAUUAGUGUCGACGAGUCGACUUUUUUAACUCUAUAUGAUGCCGAAUCUACUUGAGUAUUUACACACUCAAGGGGGAGUGUUAUAAACAUUGUAUUUAAGGGUGAUUAUGUAAAUCCUAGAUAAGAUUUGAUACUAGUUAUUCUUCCCUAUUAGGACUUGUAUCCCUUGGUGGAGAAUGAAUCUUCCCCCCCCCUUAUUACUAUAAAUAAAGGCACUGCAUAGGGGGAAUAACACAUCCUCUAUGCAACCCUACAAACACAUCUCUCUCCUUACUCUCUCUCUCUCUCUCCCAUGCGCCCCCUCUCGUCCUUGUCAAAUUAAAAUAAGCUACGACAAAUAUUUCACUUUUUAUGUCUUCUAACUUUAUAUAUAUAAAGUAUGUGCUCUUAUUAUCUUCCGCCAGAAAAACCGAGUCAAAUUCCAAGUGUUGCAUUUUCACAAGUCAUUUGAGAAAUUAAAACAAAUAAGAGUAGUAAAAAGUAGCAGGGCAACGAGAUUUCCUGCCAUCCACCAAAAGAACCAACUGCUCGAACUUUAACUAGCUCCGUUUCGUUCAGAGGUUCCAUAGAGUAAAAGAAAAACAGUGCAUUUAAUUUGAAAAGAAGAGAAACAAGGGCAGAUCAAUUGACAGAUGAUCAACUGAACAUACUCAAGAUCCCACCGAGGAGGAGUUGGAUCAAUUUGUGCAGCAGCUGGGCAGUGAGGAUGGGAAUAUUCACUGGGAUAAAUUCGUCUAACUCAUGGCCCAGACAAUUUCUGCAUUAGCAGGGCAGUGAGGAUGAGAAUAUUCUCUGGGAUAAAUUCGUCAGUCAUAGCCCAGAUUAUCAACCCCAAGUGACCACUCUCACAUUAUUCUAGUACAAUUGUCAAUUUAAAUACUCGCAUUUUUGUCAAGUUAUUGACGAAAAUAAUGUGUCAAUAUGUAUAAGAUAUAAAUAUAUUUAUUUCUUGAUAACUAAUGUGUAUAAUAAAAGGGUAAGUUUAUCCUCCUAUAAAGGUUUAAUGCAAUUUUGUAUUCCUCCUUAUUGAAGGAUUAUGAUUCAGCUUAAUUGUACACUAAUAAUGUUUUAAGUGAAUAUUGUGAUCAUUUCAUUUUUAGCUUCAAUUUUCAUAUUGUGCUUGGGAUUAUGACGAACAUAUAUGGAGAAUUGAGCGAUGAACACAAUUAGGUGUUUAGUAAAAUGUAUUUGUAAAAGCGCUUUUAGUAUAAAAAGUUGUGACAAUCUUAUAAACCUAUCAAGUUGCAGAUGAUACUACUGGGCCCCCUAAAAAUGUCAUAUGUUCUUACCUUUUCUUUCAAUUAAUCGACAAUUGUUAUCCAUGAAUGGAUAAGCUCAGGACCUCCUCCAACAAAAUCGAGACAAAAUCGAGGCGAGACUCACUCAGACUGAAUAAUAUACUAGUGUGUAAUGUGCUUACUUAUGUUAAGUAUUUGAUAUGGGAUUUCAUAGUACGUAGUCUUUUAAGUUUUUAAUUCAUCACUAAACUUACAAUAUUAUGUAGUAUUAAAUCAUCUCACUCGAUUAAAUAAACGAAUCUUGUAAAGAUUUCAAACAAUUGACAAAAAACAGAAUGAAACAACUAAAGCACUCCCGCUCCCAGUAAUCUAGCUUGGUAGAUGCCCAUGCGUACAUAAACAUCCAAGUUUGCGUUGGAUUUAAAUAGACAUUGGUUUUACCACUUAGUACUAUGGUUUAGUGGAAUUCCUUUACACUUGUAAGUGAGAGUUCUUAGGUUCGAUUUUCAUCAAAGGUGAAUUUGAUCCAUAUUAUUGCUAGCACAUUGUAACGCUAAGUCCCCCUUUUAGUGCAAAUAAUAUCGUUUUGUUAAAAAAUAAAAAAAUAAAAAAAAUUUGGUUUUAAUCAAAGACUUGAGAAGGAAGAAAUCCUAUAGUCAAUUUAAAAUUAAGUCUCUCAUGGCUUGUUAUUGUUUUGCUGUGUUGUGGUUUGGUGAUCUCAUAGGACAAGUGUAUGUAGCUUAUUACUGUUUUAAAUCAAAGGGCUUAUAUGGCCCUUAAGUAGUUGGAACUUGUGUGGUGAAGGACAAUUAGGAUGAGCUUGUAUGGAGGCAUCCAGCGUUGAUGAAAUAUGAAAAUAUAUGUGAUGUGUUGCAGCGAUUAGCACCUCCACAUUCCUUCUAAAAUUCUUUUGUUCUUCCCACUUAGUACUACGGUCUAGUGGUAUUUCUCUUCACUUGUAAGUGAAAGGUCUUAGGUUCAAAUCUCGCAGAUGGUGAAUUCGAUACCAAAUUAGGUUGCCCAUUGUGUGACUUUCUCGAACUCCCCAUCCCCUUAGUAUAAAAUAUAUCGUUGUACUUAAAAAAAAAAUUAUUUUGCUCUUGUUCUUCGAAUCACGGAAAUACAUCACACAAAAUACAAACAAACAUUUCAAUAAUUUAUCAUGGGCUCAGAGUUGAUCAAACAAGAUUGGGCGUUUCGUGUUCGAAUCUCUGAAACCAAAAAGGAGGAAACAAACCCAGAUUUCAAAGAACUAUAGUUGUCGAUUCAAGGUCUCACAUGGCUACUUCUAGCGGUGGAGGAGAUUUCAGGGCUCCUAUCUUUAAUGGGUCCAACUACAAAUUUUGGUCCAUCAAAUGAAGAUCAUAUUCAAAUCACACGAUUUCUGGAAGUUGGUGGACAAGGGUUUUGGAAACUCAGAAACGGAACAUGAUUCCAAAGAUGAAGAACAAUUGUCUAUGAAAAGGAUUUUCAAGUUAAGUGAAUGAAACCAGAGAUGCAAAAGAUCUUGGUAUCAUUCAAGGAGCAGUCUCAUAUGAGAUUUUUCCUCGAAUCUCAAACAUGGAGACCUCCAAGGUUGUGUGGCAUGUUCUACAACAAGAAUUCCGCGGUGACAAAAAGGUUAGAUCAAUCAACCUACAAUGUUUAAGGAGAGAUUUUGAGUAUACUAGAAUGAAUGAUAUUGUGAACCAAAUGAAAACCUAUGGUGAGGAAAUGUUAAGCCAAAGAUUAGUGCAGAAGAUUCUUAUUAGUCUGCCUAAAUCUUCUGAUUCCAUUGCAUCCAUUAUAUAGGAAACUAGGUACGUUGAUACUAUUAAGGUUCAUGAGGUGAUUGGAAUAUUGAAGGGCUAUGAGCAGAGAUUGCAUGGGCACUCAAAAAACUUGGCUGAGAAAGCCUUUGCUAGUCUUGGUGUGAGCCAUUGAAAAUAAUUAUAAGGCUCAUGGGAGCAAUUCAAACUAAAAGAAGGUUUGGAAAGGAGAAGGCAAGAAGUGGGAUAACAAGUUCACUCUACAGACAAAACAAGAAACAUAUGGUGUUUCUACCAACACCAAGUGUACGAUUUGUGAUAAAAUACACUAUGGUGUCUCUUGGUUCAAGGGAAAACCUAAAUGUACCAAGUUUGACAGGUUUGAGCUUUUGGCAAAAGAUUGCAAUCCAAGAAGAAUCCAAGUUGUGAACUAUACACAUAAGGCAAAAGAAUAAGUAAAUGUCUUCUAUGCUUGUAGAGUGACAAUACUGGACAAGAAGACGGGAACUUGGUAUAUUGAUAGUGAGUGCAGCAAUCAUAUGACAGCACAUGAAUCAUAACGUAGGCAAUGUUCUUCGACGGAUCUGCACGAGCAGACGGAGUGGGGACAGGAGUAGUAUUUAUGUCACCACAAAGACAAGUACUACCCUAUUCCUUCUAAUUAAGCGAGUUGUGCUCCAACAACGUUGCUGAGUACCAAGCACUGAUUAUUGGACUCCAAAUGGUGAUAGACAUGGAAAUCACAACGCUAGAAGUGUAUGGCGACUCCAAGCUCAUAAUCAAUCAACUCUUGACUGAAUAUGAAGUGAGGAAAGAUGAUCUCAUCCCAUACUUCUGGCUAGCAACUGAACUGCUACAAUAGUUUGAGGCUAUGACGCUAGAACAUGUGUCAAGAAAAGAAAAUCAAAUGGCGAACGGUCUUGUUAACUUAGCCUCAAGUAUGGCGCUAGGAAAAGACGAAGCUGCAGACGUGCCAGUUUGCCAAAGAUGGUACAUCAUCUCAAUACUUCCAGUCGACACUGAAGAGUGGAAACAGUCAAUGAUCGACUACUUGGAGCAUGGAAAGCUUCCGAACGAUCAUAGACACCACUCUAAAAUACUUUGACGAGCACCUCGCUUCCUUUGCUACAAAGGAACACUCUACCGACGCUAUUUUGAAGGGUACUUCUAAGAUGCCUAGGUAAGGAAGAAGUCAAUCAAGCCAUGGAAGAAGCACACUCAAAAGAAUGGAUUACUACUGGCCAAGAAUGGUGAAUGAUUGCCUGGAGUACGCCAAAAGGUGCUAAGGCUGCCAAUUCCGUGCCAACUUCAUACAUCAACCGCCUGAACCAUUACACCUUACAGUUGCUUCAUGGUCGUUUAAUGCAUGGGGAUUGGACAUCGUAGAACCAAUCACACCUAAGUCAUCUGUAGGAUAAGCCUACAUCUUAGUUGCAACGGACUACUUCUCUAAGUGGGCUGAAGCCGUACCGCUAAGGGAAGUCAAGUAGGAAACUGUCAUUCGUUUCAUCAAGGAGCAUAUCAUCCAUCGAUAUGGUGUGCCUUGACACAUCAUCAUUGAUAAUGAAAAACAGUUGUCCAACCGACUCAUGGAUGAGCUCUGUUAGAAGGCCGACCAUUCAUCGCUACUGCCCAGACACAUAUUGAUGUGGAAUCUUUAACCUUAAGAGGAGAUUCAGUUGUAUUCAAACUCUUUGAAGCUAUCAAGCGUCCUCUUCAACCUGAAGAGUGUUUUUGUGUUGAUGUUUUGGAUGGGAUUGUGCAUGCAAACUUUGCCUCACGAUCGUCUAACGAUGAGCUGUUAACUUGCCUCACCAACCAUGAUGCUUCUUUAUCUAUGUAAGAAAAUGUGGUGGACUUCAUUGUUGCAUUAGAUAGUGCACCAAUUCAUAAACCAAAGUGGCGACAUGUUUAUGAAAGCCUUGGAGUGCCUACGCAGCCUCUUCUUCCUUCAAGUAAGCAAGCUCCGAAGUUAGAGCUCAAGCUACUGCCAAGCCACCUCAAGUAUGCUCAUCUCGGGGUGAACGAAACCUUGCCUGUUAUUAUUGCUACUGAUCUUAGUGACACAGAGGAAGAGAAAUUACUGAGAGUUCUUCGCAAGUAUCAAGAUGCUUUGGGGAGGACACUCGCUGACAUUAAGGGCAUUAGUCUAGCUUUAUGCAUGCAUAGAAUUUUUAUGGAGGCUAGGACUAAACCAAUUGUUGAAGCUCAAAGAUAUCUAAAUCUGAUCAUGAAGAAAGUUUUAAGAGUUAAGGUGAUGAAGUUACUCGAUGCAGGUAUCAUUUAUCCAAUCUCGGAUAGCAAAUAGGUGAGCCCGACUUAGGUGGUUCCAAAGAAAACUAGUAUUACUGUGGUGAAAAAUGAUAACAACGAGCUUGUGCCUACAAGGAUGACCACUGGAUGGCGAAUGUGUUUUGACUAUAGAAACUCAAUGACACCACCAGAAAGGAUCAUUUUCCACUGCAAUUCAUUGAUUAGAUGCUUGACAGACUACCCGAUCAUUCUUUCUAUUGUUUCUUAGAUGGUUAUUCAGGGCACAACCAAAUUCCAAUUACCCCUGAGGAUCAAGAGAAGACAACGUUUACAUGCCCUUUUGGUACAUUUGCAUACAAACGAAUGCCAUUUGGAUUGUGUAAUGCCUCUGCCACUUUCCAACGAUGCAUGAUGAGUAUUUUUUUUCCGGAAUGGUUGAAAAUAUUGUUGAGGUUUUUAUGGAUGACUUUUGUGUCUUCGGUGAUUCUUUUGAUAUAUGUUUGGAUAACUUAUCUUUGGUUUUGGAAAGGUGCAGUGAGACGAAUCUUGUGUUAAAUUGGGAGAAAUGUCAUUUUAUGGUUAAGCAUGGCAUUGUGCUAGGACACCUAAUUUCAAGCAAAGGAAUAGAGGUCGACAAGGCCAAGAUUGAGGUGAUAACCAAUCUGCCACACACCCACUUCAGUGAAGAGUGUGAGAUCUUUCUUGGGACAUGCGGGUUUCUAUCGAAGAUUCAUCAAGGAUUUUUCCAAAAUCAGUCAUCCUCUUGGUAAUUUACUUGCUAAAGAUGCUACUUUUGAUUUUGAUGCAGCUUGUCAUGAAACUUUCAACAAAUUGAAGGAUCUUCUCACAUCAGCCCUAAUUAUAAUAGCUCUGAAUUGGACCUUUUCUUUUGAGCUCAUGUGCAAUGAUUCUGAUUACGCUAUGGGUGCUGUCCUUGGUCAGCGAAGUGACAAGCUCCCCCAUGUUAUAUAUUAUGCCAGCCGCACUUUGCAUGAUGCUCAGCUGAAUUAUGCCACUACGGAAAAAUAAUUACUUGUAGUGGUAUUUGCUCUUGAAAAGUUUUGAUCGUACUUAAUUAGUGCUAAACCCAUUGUGUAUUCGGAUCAUUCUACUCUGAAGUACUUACUGUCUAAAAAAGAGGCUAAACCACGAUUGAUUCGAUGGGUCGUUCUCUUGCAAGAGUUUGAUUUGGAGAUCCGAGAUAAAAAGGGACGUGAAAAUGUUGUGGCAAAUCAUCUCUCAAGAUUAGUAAAUGCAAGCACUGAUGGAGCAGAUUCAUUGCCCCUACAAGAAAGCUUUCUAGACAAGCAAUUUCUAGUGGUUACUCAUCAAGUACCAUGGUAUGCUGACAUUGCAAAUUAUUUGGCAUCUGAAGAAAUACCAUCAGAUCAUUCGUCAGUGUGUCCCCUGUAAAACACUACUUUUGGGAUAAGCCAUACCUUUUCAAGCAUUGCCAAGAUCAAAUCAUUCGUCGGUGUGUCCCCUUAGAAGAACAAGAAAGCAUUUUGAAGUUUGCUCACCAAUAUGCAUGUGGUGGUCAUUUUAGACCAAGAAGGACUGCAUCCAAGAUCUUAUAGAGUGGUUUCAUUUGGCCAUCUUUAUUCAAAGAUGCAUACCUAAGGUGCCAGGCUUAUGAUAAGUGUUAAAGAGUUGGCAAUCUUUCUUAGAGAAAUGAGAUGCCCCAACAAAGUAUUUUGGUGAUCAAACUAUUUGAUGUGUGGGGUAUAGAUUUCAUGGGACCUUUCUCUUCUUCACAUGGCAAUCUUUACAUCUUGAUGGCGGUUGAUUAUGUCUCAAAGUGGGUGGAGGCAAUAGCUUCUCCAACAUGCAAAAAUUAUGCGGUGUUAGGUUUCUUGCAGAAUACUAUUUUUCCCUAAUUUGGAGUACCUCGUGCUAUCAUCAGUGACGAAGGUACGCAUUUCUUAAACCGCACCAUAGCUGGCCUUUGUGCCAAGUACCAUAUUCACCAUCACAUAGCCACCCCAUACCAUCCACAGACAUUUGGACAAGUUGAAGUAUCUAAUCGUGAGCUCAAGAGGAUUCUUGAGAAAACUGUAAGUUCAUCUCGAAAAGAUCAGAGUUUAAAGCUUAUUGAUGCUUUGUAGGCGUAUAGGAUAGCUUAUAAGACACCAAUUGGGAUGUCUCUUUUUUGUUUAGUGUGGGAAAGCUUGCCAUCUGCCUAUGGAACUUGAGCACAAGGCAUAUUGGGCUAUUAAGCACCUUAAUUGUGACUACCAGGCAACGGGAGAGAAGCGGAAGCUGCAGUUGAAUGAACUGGAAGAAAUAAGGAAUGAUGCUUAUGAGAAUGCAAAGAUUUACAAGGAUAUGACCAAGAAAUUUCAUGAUGCUCACAUCCUUCGUAAAGAGUUCCAUCCGGGUCAGAAGGUUUUACUUUUUAAUCCAAGACUGAAACUAUUCCCAAGAAAGCUCCAAUCACGUUGGAAUGGUCCAUAUCGUGUUGUACAAGUCCAUCUUCAUGGGGCUGUGGAUAUCCAAAACAUGCAAACUAGUUUUGUCUUCAAAGUUAAUGGGCAUCGCUUGAAGUUAUACAAGGAGUCUCCAUAUGAUCUUGUCAAGGAUUCCAUCACUUUGAAGGAACCUGUUAUUUGAAUCAAACUGCCAACAUGAUGUCUAGCUCUAGACAUUAACUAAAGUGCUUCUUGGGAGGCAACCCAAGCUUUCUAUCUUUCAUCUUUAGUUUGAAUAAUUUUAAAUGUUCUUGUUCUGUUUUUCUCCUGUUUUCUGGUCUGUGUGUUAGGUCCUACUUUUGGUCUCCUGAUGCAGGUAAUACUUCUGCAGUCUCUACCACAACUUCUAGCAAAGUUUCUUAAUCCCACAGGUUACUCACACAUCUAUUAUGGAUAAUGAGAUGUGUUGAAGCAAGUUUGGGGGUCUUUUGGAAUUACACCAUGGAACCAAAAUGCAUUUUUACUGCUGCUACCUCGCCAACACAAAUUGGUGUGUUCUUUCCUUUUCUUUAUUUAUCUUUAUUUCAUUUUGUGUUUCUUUCCUUCCAUUUUUAUUUCUCAUUGUUCAAAAUUCCUCUCAUUAUCAUUGGGGACAGUGCUAGAACUAAGUUUGGGGGUGGAAAUACAUAUUUCGUUUGUUUACUUCGUAUAAAAAUAAAAAUAAAAUAUUUCUUGCAUUUUUGUUGUUGUUUGUAGCUACUUCUCAAUUCAAUGAUGAGAUUUGAUCUUAAUUUUCUUCUUACUUUUGAGAUGUCUAAGCAUAGCAAUAGUUCUUUUCAUUUUCUUUGUGUUAACCAUACUUUCUAGCAAACAUCCUUGAAAAAUAAAUGUGCCUAAUCUUGUCAAUGUGAAACUUGAGCAUGAUUUAACGUUUAAUAUGUGAGUCAUGUGAGAUUUUGUAAACCUUGUAAUCUUUUGAGCCUUUACAUGAUUGAACCAUUAUACUUCAGUCACAUUUAUUGUUGUGUGUUUGAUCUCGUUUUUACAUGUAUCUCUAGAACUUGCUUUAUACUUCUCGAUUCAUUUAUCAAUUCAUGUAAUAACUUGGAAGUGAUAUAGGCCAUCUUUGGAUCAUUUGAAUCUUUCAUGCCUACCUAUAUGCUAUGUUUAUCCAUAGUAGCCCGUUGAGCCGUUAACUAAACUAUUUCUUUGUUAGCCAUAUCUCUUUACCGAGCUCCAAUAUUGGAGUUGAGCCCAAACACAGAAAUCGAUUCUGUAUUGUUUUAAGAGUAUUACAUGGGUUGUGCUUUUGGGGGUUUCGUUUAUGUAGAAAAAUGGAUGGAGCAUGUAUAUUACAAUGAAAUGUGAAUUUGAUGGGUGAUGUAGCUUUGCAGAUUUGUGCAAUGUCUCUUUCAAUAUAAAAAACAAAAAAAAUAAAAAAAAUAAAAAAUUGGAGAAUGUUGAUUUGUUGAAGAUGUGCCUGCAGAAGCUUACUCUUAUUCCUAAGUUUCAGUGAUAUCAUAAGUACAUUUUGUGAUUGCAGAGUGAUCGGAUGAUAUUUAUAUAUAUUUUUACUUCGAAUUCACUCGUCUUUUCUUAGUUAGUUCCUUAUAUUUUUGAGCUAUUUACGUUAUUUUGUGUUUAUAGGAUUUGUUAUGCAAAGAAAAUAAAAAUAGAACAAGUGAAAUUUUAUGUAAUAAAUUCGUCAAAACUGUCUGUGUAGAUCAGCUUUUAAAUAAAAUUAAAAAAAAAUAUAUAUAUAAUAAUAAUAACAAGUCAUGAUGAUGUUUGAAACAUCAUCAUGAUUCAUGUUUUGUAGAAGAAGAAAGGAACGGCAAAGAAGAAAAGAAAAAGAAAGAAAAGAAAAAGAAAGGAAAAGGAAAAGAAGGAAAAGGAAAAGAAGAAAAAAAAAAUAUAAACAAGCAGAAAAAGGGAGAGAGAAGCAGCAAGCAGACAGCUGCCUUGCGGCAGCAGAAAGAGGAUAGAGAGAAGUGGGAGCGGGAAAAGUCAGUGGAAAGCAGGAGAGACAGCUGGGAGCGCAGUAGGCGCAGAGAAUGUGGUGGACAGCAACAGAAAAAAAUAAAAUAGAAAAAAAAGAAAUAAGGAGGAGGUCAGGAGCAUGAGGAUAUAGACGGGAUUGGCAGAAGAGACGCAAGGAUUGGGCGGUCUUGGAGCGAGAGAAGGGAGCUGCCCUUUGGGCAGCUCGCAGAGACGCAGGAAGAGGACCGAGAGGAGAGUGUUGCCAUUGGGCAGCUUGAGGAAGGGAAGUCAGUGGCGAGGAGGACAGGAGGUCAGCAUGAAAAUGCAGUUCAGAGUCCAUGCAGUUCAGAGUCCAAGCAGCAGAUCCUUUCUUUCGGUUUAAUCUUUCCAAACUCCUAUUUUAUUUUUGUUUUAAUAAUGUGUAAUUAAUUUUAUUUUGGCUAGAGGUUAAUUCGAAACCAUGAAUAUAUUUGUAAUAUGAAUUGAUUACCUUCGGUUGUGAUUUCAUAAGUUGUGAUUUCAAUUUACUUAUCCGUUCGUAUAAAAACUGAUUUGUGUAUGUUGGUUGAGAGUGCACGCUUAAUUUACAUGCAUGAAUUUGAUGCUAGAAUAUAAGUGAAUUUCACCUAAUCGUUAUGAACUUAUUUUCACAAAGUAGUAAAGGUUGCUAGUCACAAUCACGUUAAGUAAAAUUCUUGGCAAGAGUAUCAUGCUUUUCAUAGUUACGAAUGCCUCGUCAAUGCUUAUAGUUUUCACAAAGUUUAAUGAUCUUUGAUUGUAUCGCUAUUGUGCUUUUCACGUAGGGGACUUUUGAAGAAUGUUUUGAAUUGUUGUAUGCGUUUUUCCGUCCAAUUCAAUAACUUAAGGAAAACUUGAAGAUUAAAAAAGUGCUGUUCACGGUUAAUCUGGAGUAUUGAGAUUCACAAUUUAUUGAAAGAACAACUGAAAAUCAAUUUAGGUUGCAUAUGUGUCAUGUGUGGAGAAGAACCCUCUAGCUAGUCCGUCAUUUAUCAUUUUACCUUAAUUUUAUGUUUUUAUCAAUUCUGUAAUUUAAUUAAGUUUAAUUUACUUUUCAUCAAAACCAAACACCCAUCCAUUAUUAAAUUAUAUUAUUUAGUUAGUUUGCUUUAUUGUUAGUCUUUUAAUUUAAUUUCCGUCCAUUUCAGUUCUUAGUGUCUAAUCAGAUCAUUUUCAUUAUUUUGAGUCAUCCUAAGUGUGUUUCGAGUUAUUAGAGUUUUUAGCCUAGUUUUGUAUCAUUGAGUCUUGUUUAAUAUUUUUAAAUUAAUUUAGAAUAGAUUAGCAAUCCCUCCUAAUCCCCGGCCUAGAACGAUACCCUACUUACAUCUAUACUACAAUUGUCAAAAAGAGGGUUUAAUUUGUGUGUCAAGUAAUUUUCGCAUCACAGAGUAUAAAUUUCCUUUCGAAGUUGAAUUUGGGGAGUAACAGGUGCUCAUGGUUUUAUUAUUUUGCUUUCAAUUUGAGGUGGUGUGAUAUCGAGGUGUUGGAAAACUACUAAAGUGUACUUUCUCAAAUUUUUUGAUUUCCACAUCCUUUCUUUCAUGAGCCUAUCUCCUUUAACCCCAUUACAACCGUAAUAAAGUCCUAUUGAUCCAAGGCAUUACCUAAAUAUUAAGCUAGGUGGACAAACAAGCAUAUGGCGGCAUGUACAAUGAGAUCACUUAAGUGAAACACAUCAACCAAAACUUAUGAGUGAAUGAGCGUAUGUCUUGUGAGAAGCUCACAAGUUUGCAUAUGAUGAUUUAAGGGAGCUUGGAAUUGCAUUGACAUGACUAGUUCACACAUGACAUUUCAAGCUUUUGUCUGAAGGAAAUUUGGUUAUCUAUUGGAUGAUGUUUUGAGCUCUUGUUGUUUAGUUCUUGGCUGUUUGUUUCAUGGUUGGCACUUAUCUCUGAGAUCGAAAUUGAGAAGUUCACUACUAAGUUGUUGAGUCAAGUCUUAGUUGAGUAGUUUUGUUUUGUUUUGUUUUGCUAGAGGACUAGAAAAAUAUUAAGUUUGGGGGUAUUUUGAUGAACCAAUAUUUAUUCUAUAUUUCCCCAUUUUCUAUUUCUUUUCUUGUCUAGUUUAGUUGGAAGCUUUAAGUUUGUGUGAUAGUUUUGCCAUUUUGUGUUUUUAAGAGCAGCAGGAUCAAGUUUGAUGGAAAAGUAUGCAAACAGUGAAAGUUUUGAGCGAUUCCAAUUGAUGUUGAUUCACAAGAGAUUGAAGCUGAUUCCCAGCCAAUUGUUCCGAAUUUAAGAAUGAAGAAAGCAGACGUGUCAAGCUUUCUAAGGACAUCUCUCAUUCAUUGAAAUCUAAGGACUUUUGGUCUACCAAACGUUAUGGCCAAUUCUGCCCACUCUAGCUAAUAAAAUAAGAAAGUAAAUGCACCUUGAACUUUGCUUUGUCAUUAAUACUUGGCAGAAAAUUAGUUUUUAAUUCCACUCAUUAGACUUUGGAGCAAAGAAAAAGCCCAGAGGAAAAAGUGGAGAGAACAACUGCCCACUCCAUUAACUAAUAAAAUCAGGCAACGCACGGCAACAAAGGAGUGGGUAGAAGACGGAAAAACGGAUGGGAGUUUUCUAUGAGUAUGUAGAGCACGACAGAGGGAGUGGGAUAGCAGGAGAAGUGGAAUGGGGACAAAAACAGAGGGAUGGCAGAGAGCAAAAAAGAGGAAAAAGGGAAAAAGGUGCCGCAACUCAAAAGGGAGAAAAGGAAAAGAAGAUGCAGGCUCCUCUCUUCAAGGGGAAGAUGAUCAAUGAGCUCCUCUUGUAAAAAAAGGGUUGUUUUCUUUCUUUGAUUUUUAAUGGAUAAUUCCUUAUGUAUUAAAAUAAGUAUGUGUGACUAAUUUCUUUUUUGCUAGAGUGAGGCCAUGAGCCUCAACAUGAUUACGUAGAUUUCUCUUUCAAUUGCUUAAGUGUUGUUACAUGCCUGCUUUGAUGUUUUCAAUCACUAAAUUAAACUAUCUAUGUGUCUUGAUGCUUGAUCACCAUUAGGAUGCUUAGAAAAGUCAUCGGAUGCAAUUUUGAACGAAUGUCACGUUAAAAUUGGUUAUGCUUCUUGUGAUUGAGGAUUGUAAUUUCGCCUAAGGUAAAUAUCAUACUUUUAGGGAUUACAUGGUUUAACAAAAGCAUUUUCACCAAGAUUAAUGAAUCACUCAUGUUUAUAUUUAAUACAAAUGUCAUGGAUAAAUUGCAUGUAGUGGCAUGCCUUAUAGCUUGAAUGUCACAAGUAAAACAUACACAAGGAAAACCCAACCUUCAAAGCAUGUGUGUUUUCAAUUACUUAAGCAAUUGGAAGAGCUACGUAGGAGUGUUGUUGGUAAAUGUUGAACUCUAGCUCCUUGUCAAUCUAAGUUUCUUCAAUUAUUUGUAUUAUCUUGAGUUUCUAGAUUUACUUGCUUUGUUUAGUUGGAUCACUAUUCCUAUAAGGCCAAUUCCCAUUUUAGAUAUUUGUUUAAGUCACGUACAGUAGUAUUUAGUUUCAUCGAAUUAGUGUAGUUCUUAGAGUUAACUAAGUUAAAUACACAAAAACUCGUAAAUUGUUUAUAUCAGUCCCUGAGGAGAUUGACCUUGCUUGAGCCAUUCUAUGCUACAAACACUUGUUCUCUUGCAAGAAAUUUCUAUGGUUUAACCCAUGUGAGUUCAAUUCAAAAAACAUGUGAAAAUGUAUUGUGACAAUAAUUCAGCAAUGUUCUUUUUUUUUUUUCUUUUUUUUUUUGCCAAGAACCUAUGUUGCUUACUGAUCCACUGACUAAAGCAUUGCCUAUUGGAGAAUUUAAACGACAUAUUUCUCAUAUGGGAGUGCUAGAGUAUUUUGAUCGGUGGGCGUAGUCCAUCAUCUUUCAAUGGCUUGGGAUUGCAGUUAUAAGACAACAACUGUAGUCCUAAUGAAGCUAAGGUUAGUUUCUUUUAUAGCUAGUGUUUGGGCUUAAACUUAAACUUUGGGCUUAGAAGGGAGUUGGCCCAAAAAGAGAAGGAAAAGCCGAAAGGGCCUUUCCCGACUAGGUGUAGAUCAUUUGCACCACUUGCUCACCUACCCAAGGGCCAAGUGGUAUAGACCAGCCAGCUAAUCAGCCCAAAAGUACUUUAUGAUGGCAGUACAAGUAAAUAGCUGAUGAGUCACUAUCCUUCAAACUGCAUUCGGGCAAGAUUAUUGCUACAAGAGGCCAAGCCAAGGUGGCUAUAAAAGGAGAAAGAGAAGUCAGAAUCAAGGACACUCAAACAAACAAACAAAAGCACAAAGUCUGCUCAAAGCCAGAUUUGCCUUCAAAACGAAGCUGCAGUCAGCCUAAGCCUUUAUCCCUUUCGGGACAAACCCUUUGUAAUAGCUCUGCUACCCUGUUCAACGCCUGCUGUAGUAUUGAUUUUCUUUCUGCAAACUCACCUCCCAACCCCUUUUCUAAGCUUUCAAACCUUCUGUUAACCCACAAAGAUAGGAAGUUGCAAGACGAUCAGCCUUGCCCGACCUUCUUUGUUUUUGUCUUUUCAUUCAUUAGCCUAGCAAUAUGUUGUAUACUUCAAGUUGUAUCCAAGUUAUUUCUAGUAAUAUGGCUAUUAAAAGACUCUUUCAGCGCUUGAAUCCGAUUUGAAUAUGUCUUCACAGUUCGAGUCAGAUCUAAGUUCUAAGCCCUCGGUCAUAUAAGAUUUGAUCACCCUAAAAAGUCAUUGGCCUCAAGGCAUAAAAAAGAACCUGAUGUGGACUUAACCCAUCCACGACAAGCUUUGAUAAACAAGAAGUCCGAAGUUACUCGGGGCGCAAGUAAUCGACCUGCAACUUAGUUUUAUUUCUGUUAUAUUAUGAUGACCAUAUAAUGUUCGAGUACGGGAUGAAUUCUGAUGGGAAGCCUCAAGGCCUAUUCAAGGCCCCACAAAGGCACCUAUUUGGAUUCAUCCUAUUUCUCGGGCAAGAACAUCGAGUACGGGAUGAAUUCUGAUGGGAAGCCUCAAGGCCUAUUCAAGGCCCCACAAAGGCACCUAUUUGGAUUCAUCCUAUUUCUUGGGCAAGAACAUUGAGUACAGAAGGGGUUCUGAUGGGAAGCCUCAAGGCCUAUUCAAGGCCCCACAAAGGCACCUAUUUGGAUUCAUUAUGCUCUUUGAACUCAGGUAAUCAGAAGUAUGAUGGUUAUAAGACUCAUAUAACCAACAAAAGGAACCUUAUGUGUUUGAGUACUAAGUUAGUUAUUUAUGGGAAGCCUCAAGGCCUACACCUAAGGCCCCCACAAAGGCACUUGUCAAUAACUGAUCGGAUCAUAUUUAUAUAUAUUUUUACUUCGAAUUCACUCGUCUUUUCUUGGUUAGUUCCUUAUAUUUUUGAGCUAUUUAUGUUAUUUUUGUGUUUAUAGGAUUUGUUAUGCAAAGAAAAUAAAAAUAGCAUAAAUGAGUUUUAAAUAAUAAACAGAAAGAAUAUUGAUUUUAUUUUUGGAUUGGGUUUUAUUUUGGUUUAUUUUAUAUGCAUUGAAUUGAUUGUUUCAUAGAAUAUUGGUUUUGGAUUUGUUACUUGAAUUUGUUCUUAAUUCCCAAACUGCUACUAAUUUAGAGUUUAUGAUACAAAUCAAUUUUGUAUUAUAUUGUGAAAGGAGAAUCCAAGAAGGUAGGCUGCCAGCGGAAGAAAAGUAAAAGGUCAGAAAAGAAAAAUAGGGAGACAGCUGGGGGAAUAAUUUUGGAACAAGAGGAGAGAUAGAAGGGAUUGAUGCGGGCCCUUGCAGGUGGAAAGCUGUGAAGACCGACAGAAUUGAGGGCAGCGAAGCAGCCAGGAGAAAAAGGAAAAUAAAAUAAGGGAAUCCAAGAGAGAAAAACGUGCAGGACUGAUGAAGUAAAUAAAAAAGAGAGGAAAUGGGCGCGGAAAAAGGCAGCUGCCUUUGGGCAGCGCUAAGAAUAGAAUAGAAAAAUAAAAGGAAGGCUGUCUGGCAGCCUUGAUGGACGGAGGGAAUAAAAUACGAGUGAGAAGUGGGAAAUAAAAGGAAAGAAAAGCCAGGAGAGAGGGGGGGAGACGGAAAGAUAAGGCGGUCUGGGGAGCGAGAGAAGGGAGCUGCCCUUUGGGCAGCUCGCAGAGACGCAGGAAGAGGACCGAGAGGAGAGUGCUGCCAUUGGGCAGCUUGAGGAAGGGAAGUCAGUGGCGAGGAGGACAGGAGGUCAGCAUGAAAAUGCAGUUCAGAGUCCAUGCAGUUCAGAGUCCAAGCAGCAGAUCCUUUCUUUCGGUUUAAUCUUUCCAAACUCCUAUUUUAUUUUUGUUUUAAUAAUGUGUAAUUAAUUUUAUUUUGGCUAGAGGUUAAUUCGAAACCAUGAAUAUAUUUGUAAUAUGAAUUGAUUACCUUCGGUUGUGAUUUCAUAAGUUGUGAUUUCAAUUUACUUAUCCGUUCGUAUAAAAACUGAUUUGUGUAUGUUGGUUGAGAGUGCACGCUUAAUUUACAUGCAUGAAUUUGAUGCUAGAAUAUAAGUGAAUUUCACCUAAUCGUUAUGAACUUAUUUUCACAAGUAGUAAAGGUUGCUAGUCACAAUCACGUUAAGUAAAUUCUUGGCAAGAGUAUCAUGCUUUUCAUAGUUACGAAUGCCUCGUCAAUGCUUAUAGUUUUCGCAAAGUCUAAUGAUCUUUGAUUGUAUCUCUAUUGUGCUUUUCACGUAGGGGACUUUUGAAGAAUGUUUUGAAUUGUUGUAUGCGUUUUUCCGUCCAAUUCAAUAACUUAAGGAAAACUUGAAGAUUAAAAAAGUGCUGUUCACGGUUAAUCUGGAGUAUUGAGAUUCACAAUUUAUUGAAAGAACAACUGAAAAUCAAUUUAGGUUGCUUAUGUGUCAUGUGUGGAGAAGAACCCUCUAGCUAGUCCGUCAUUUAUCAUUUUACCUUAAUUUUAUGUUUUUGUCAAUUCUGUAAUUUAUUUAAGUUUAAUUUACUUUUCAUCAAAACCAAACACCCCCCCAUUAUUAAAUUAUAUUAUUUAGUUAAUUUUCAUUGUUUUUAGUCUUUUAAUUCAAUUUCCGUCCAUUUCAAUUCCUAGUGUCUAAUUUAAUUGUUUUCAUUAUUUUGAGUCAUUUUAAGUGUGUUUCGAGUUAUUAGAGUUUUUAGCCUAAUUUUGUGUCCUUGAGUCUUAUUUAAUAUUUUUAAAUUAAUUUAGAAUAGAUUAGCAAUCCCUCCUAAUCCCCGGCCUAGAACGAUACCCUACUUACAUCUAUACUACAAUUGUCAAAAAGAGGGUUUAAUUUGUGUGUCAAGUAAUUUUGCGCAUCAAUAACUAACAUAGUCUCUCGAAUAUAUAUAAUUAAAACUCAAACAUCCGUUCUACAUCUGCCAUGCUGAAGAUGGUAGUGGCACACCUGAGCAAUUCAAAGUUAAUCUUGAUCGUGAGCCUCAAGGCCUACACCCAAGGCCUCACAAAGGCACCUUUUGAAAGUUAACUAUGUCCUUCUCUUUUAGCCUUGCCCGACAAGCCCGCCAGUAAAACAGAAGCCCGACAGAAAGCAUCAACCGGCGCCAACCUCUCGGGGAGCUGUGUGCUCGUCGGCCAGGAAGCAUUCCCCACGGAAAUUCCCGCCUCGAACAUAGUUUUGGCACGCUCGGUAGGAUUCUUUGAUCAAAGCAAUAUGUCAAAAGGAUCAGAAGAUUUCCAAAUUGCUUUAUUGCACAUGCUACAAAGACUAGAGAAUGCUUCUGCAGGCUCCAAAAAAGAAGAUGACCCGGUUCUAAGACCACCUAUCCCUAUGUCUUUACCUCAUCUUGGGGAGAAAGAUGAUAAAGAAAAGAAGGGGCUUAAAACCAAUCAACUAGAAGAAGUUACGGUGACGGAUAAACAUACGGAUCCCUUCUCAGAGGCCCCUAUAAAUAUGAUCAGUAUGGCCUGGGCAGAGAAGGGAACAGAGAAGGUCACAGGAGAAGAAGAAAGAAGACUGGUUGACAAACCCAUAGAGGGGGGAUUAACUUGCUUGAAUAUCCAAAAGCCGCCAUAUUCAAAGGAAGGGUGCUAUGCAGUAAGUGCCAAUGCGAGUGUGAACUCGAAAUACCGCUCGCGAGAGCCCUUAUAGAUCAUGAACUGCUCAGGAGGAAUGAAGAACAAAAGAGAAAAGAGGCACAAGAGAAAGCUCGGCGGCCUGCAGGAAGAGAUACCUCCUGAAGUGUCUUUCAGCGGUUAGGAGGCGAUUCCCAACCAAGGGCUUUAUCAGAAAUAUUUCAUGACCAUGAAGUUUCUGAGGAGGCAGAGGAUAAAGAUGCCAAGAAGCCAAAAGAGAGAAGUGUAGGGCACUCUCAGUACGGCCAUAUAGGAAGAGAGGUCAGGAGGAAUGACAGGAUAACAAACCCCGUCACAAAAGAUAAUCCUGCCCGCCUCGGGCAAAAAUGGUAUGUGGUCAGGAAGAAUGGACAGCCCGUUAAGCAAAUGGGUGCCUCUAUGGUAAGAAGGGUUCAGAGGCAACACAAAGCCUACAUGAAUUCCUUGAAAACCCCAACGAUGUCGGAAGCUUCCAAAAAUCAAAAGUUAGAGAAAACGUCAUCUGGGGGGAGCAGUCAGCUCCGCUGGAGAAGUAAGAAGGAGGUGGAAAAGGUGAAGGAAAUCAUGUGCCACAAAGCCUACACCCUGGGAAAUAUAGAAUCUUGAGGAGAGCUCAAGAAGAUAUGGUUAUGGUGCCGACUCCCGGAUGGAAGGCAGAGCAACCUAUUUGUUUUGGAACUAUCUCCCUUGAGAAAAAACAACCUUCUCUAUCAUUAGAGGAUCCCUUUGGGGAAGUUCCAAAACAAACACCAUGUUCAGAUGUGAAUCAGCUAGAGGGGGCACCAGAACCAUUGCUUCCACCAGAUGCUAUGGCAUGGUUGGAUGAGUUCAUAGACCAGAUUAGGAGCAAAAAAGAGGAACUGCCAGAGCCUAGCAACUUUCAUAUAAACAUGGCGUAUGUGUUCUAUCUGCUAUGUUUGUUGCCCAACCUAAUCAACCCGCCGCCAUGGAAGGAGAUUAUGUAACAACUGAGCCAAUGAUGGCUCAUGUUAAUAUGGAGAUAGCAGAAGAAUGAGAGUCAGGAAAAGCUGCAUCAUCUGAAGCAUCCAAAGAGGGUCCUUUAAGGAUCUACACAGACAAAAUGGUGUUCAGUCGCCCAAACAUUUCACUUGCCAAUCAUCUAAAGCCCAUAUAUGUAACAGCUCAUUUGGAAGGAGUGCCCUUAAAAAGGAUUUUGAUUGAUGGAGGGGCAGCUGUUAAUGUAUUACCAGCCAAGCAGAUGAAAAAGUUGGGGAGAGGAACAGAGGAUCUUAUUCCUACAGACCUCACAGUUUCUAGUUUCUCGGGCGCUAUCACCAAGACUCUUGGGAUAUUGCCUUUGGAAGUAGAUCUGGGGUCUAAACAGAUCAUGCUGGCGUUCUUUGUGGUGGACUACACCUCCACCUAUGGAGCCUUACUUGGAAGAGAUUGGAUCCACCAAAGUCUUGCUGUACCCUCCACCCUACAUCAACAAGUGGCUGUGUAUCAUGAGGCAAGCGCAGAAGGGCCAGACUUUUGGGAGAUGGUAGAGGCCGAAUCACGGCCAUUUCUUCCCACAACCAAUAUAGCGGAAGCAAGUUUCUACAAUCCCAACAUAGGAAUCUUGAAGUGUUUGGGAGCAGAUGAGAACGGCCGCCCUACCAAGGUGACGGCCCAAAAGCUCCUAGAACAAGGGAUGCUCCUUACUAGAGAGGAGUGGGACAGACCUUAUAUCAUCCAAACACCCCUACACCAUCAAUGAUAGAACAAAAAAGGAAAGAUCAGGUAAUGGCAGUCAGAUCCUUGAUUAAACGACUGUUGGUGUAUGGGAAAGGAAGAAGACAAGAAAAUGAGCUCUUAGACAGAGAAGAGCAAGAAUGGCAGGUGGGAGCUAUAACCAGCCAGGAUGAAAGCAACGAGGAAUCUUGUCAAGAAGAAUUGGAAAGGGCUAUUCAAAUGGCCGAGUGUAUAUAUGACCUAGAUGAGCCAGAUGACUUGCCCGAGAGCCUGGAGCUAGUCGAAUUUUUGUGUGCAGAACCUGAUAAGCCACCACCGGAGGUCCAAGAUCCUUUCGAAGUUAUUGAGCUAGGAACAAAGGAUGACCCAAGACCAAUACAAAUCAAUGGUUUAUUGGAGAGUGAGGAUCGGGCACAAAUUAUCUGUCUCUUGCAAGAAUUCAGAGAUUGUUUUGCUUGGCAUUACACUGAGAUGCCGGGUUUAGAUGCAACCUUGGUGGAACACAGAGUGCCCAUCAAGGAAGGAUAUAAGCCGGUUAAGCAAGCACCACGAAGGAUGUCGAAGGAGAUAGAAGAGAAGGUCAAAUAAGAGAUUGAGAGGCUCGUAAAAGCUGGAUUUAUCAGGCCAGCCAAAUAUGUGGAGUGGUUAGCCAACAUUGUACCCAUUUUAAAAGCCGUAACAAAAGCGGUACGAUGUUGUGUUGACUACAGGAAUAUUAAUGGUGCUACACUUAAAGAUGAGUAUCCCAUGCCCAUGGCAGAUCUAUCCAUAGAUGCAGUGGCAAAACACAAAGUCUUAUCUUUUAUGGAUGGAAAUGCAGGUAUAAUCAGAUAAAGAUGGCCUCGGAGGAUAUACAUAAAACAGCUUUUAGGUGCCCUGGGCAUGUGGGGGCAUAUGAAUAUCUGGUCAUGCCCUUUGGGCUCAAGAAUGCUGGUGCAACCUACCAAAGGGCGAUGAAUGCCAUCUUUCAUGAUCUGAUUGGCCAUAAUAUGGAGGUGUAUAUUGAUGACAUCGUGGUGAAAUCCAAGACGGAAGAACAGCAUCUGAUAGACCUCAGGCAGGCAUUAACAAGAAUAAGGAUCCACAAAUUGAAGAUGAAUCCAAAGAAGUGUGCGUUUGGAGUGAAAGCGGGCAAUUUCUUGGGAUUCCUGGUUCAUCAAAGAGGGGUAGAAGUGGACAAAAAUAAAGCUUGGGCAAUAAUGGAGUCGCCUUCACCACCAACAAAGUGCAACUUCAGAGGUUGCCGGGCAAAAUUAAUUUCUUAAGAAGAUUCAUUGCCAAUCUAGCAGGCAAGAUCCAGCCGCUAACUUCUUUGUUAAGAUUGAAGGAUAAGGAGAAUUUUGAGUAGGGACCACCGCACCAAGAGGCUUUCGAUGGUAUCAAAGCUUAUUUGACUUCCUCGCUAGUAUUGAUACCACCUCAGAGGGGAAAACCCUUAAAGCUAUAUAUCUCCGCUUCAGAUAAAUCAAUUGGGAGUUUGCUGGCUCAGAAUAAUGAAGGCGGGAAAGAGCAAGCAGUGUACUACCUCAGUAGAAUUCUGACCGAGGUAGAAACAAGGUAUUCCCCAGUAGAGAGAUUGUGCUUAGCUCUGUAUUUUACUGCCAAUAAGCUGAGGCAUUCAUGUUACCUUGUCACGUGCACAUCAGCGCCAAGACAGAUGUGAUAAAGUACAUGUUGUCAAAGCCAAUGUUAACAGGAAGGAUUGGGAAGUGGAUUCUAGCAUUAUCAGAAUUCAGCUUCCAGUAUGUCCCCGAAAGGGCAAUAAAAGGCCAAGCAAUUGCUGACUUCUUGGCAGAGCAUCAAGAAUCUCGAGAUGAGAUAAUCAAUAUACCGGGAACCCUGGAAGUUACUAAUGUUUGGAUCCCGCCAGGCAAAGGGAUCUUAGGCAAAGAGGAGUGGAUCCAGCAGGAGAUAAGAAGAGUGGCUGGUUUAUGGAUUACUCCUUGGAAGCUGUAUUUCGAUGGUUCUUAUACUCAGAAGGCUUCAGGAGCUGGGAUUGUGAUUAUCAACCCUCAAGGGAUUUAUCAUUAUUACUCAUUUCUCUUGGAUUAUCAAGGGAAUACCAACAAUUGGGCAGAGUAUGAGGCCUUAAUAAUUGGUUUGGAAAUCUUGAUAGAUCUGGGGGUAAUGGAAGUUGAGGUGUUUGGUGAUUCAGAAUUGGUAAUAAACCAGCUAAAUGGGGAGUUCAAGUGCAGACAUAUCACCACGGCCGGAUACUAUUUGGCGGCCACACAAUUGUUGAGUUAUUGGGAUUCUGAUAUAUCGGUGAGUCAUGUUCCCAGGGGAGCCAACCUAGCAGCUAAUGAGAUGGCGUAAUUGGCCUCAGGCAUGCCAAUACAGAAAAGAAGAUAUAGGUUGGAUGUCGAGAUUCAAAGGAGAAAUCUUCUUUUUAUCCUGGAAAGGGGAUUCAGCCUGGAUGUAAUGGUUCAGGAAACUGAGAUAGAAGAUUGGAGAUCGCCCAUCAUCCAUCAUUUGAAAGAUCCCUCUUCACCCACCAGCAAAAAGAAUAGACAGCAAGUAACUAAGUAUGUCUUAUGGGCAAAAGACCUACUAAGGAAGACUCCAGACGGGUUAUUAUUGAAAUGCUUAGGCCAAGAGGAGUCCAUGAGAAUGAUGGCCGAAGUACAUGAAGGAGUAUGUGGAGCACAUCAGGCGGGGACAAAGAUGAGGUGGUUACUUAGGCGAUAUGGUUAUUUUUAGCCCGACAUGGAAAAAGAUUGUAAGUCCUAUGCCCGAGGGUGUGAGGAAUGUCAAAGGCACGGUCAUCUCCAACAUGUACCCUCUAUGCCUUUAAAUCCAAUAUUGAAGCCCUGGCCCUUCAGAGGACGGCAAUGGACUUCAUCGGGCAGAUUUACCCGGCUUCUAGCAAGGGGCACACUUUUAUCAUUGUAGCAACGGAUUACUUUACAAAUGGGUGGAGGCCUCGGCGAUAAAAACCAUAACCUCAGCUGCGAUCAAAAAUUUUAUUGAGACCAAGAUUCUGCAUAGAUUUGGGGUGCCCGAAACCAUCGUGACAGAUUGAGGGCCAUCUUUUAUUUCAAAAGAAGUUGAAGAAUUUGCAAGCAAAUACAAAAUAAAGAUGAUCUGGUCCAGUCCUUACUACCCGCAAUCAAAUGGCCAGGCAGAAUCAAGCAACAAGAUUUUGGUAAACAUUAUCAAAAGAAUGGUGAUAGAUAGUCCGGAAAAAUGGCAUGAAAAGCUGGGGAAUACUUUGUGGGCAUACAGAACUUCCAAGAGGGCAGGUACAUGGACAACUCCUUAUGCUCUAACCUUUGGGCAAGAUGCAGUGCUUCCCAUGCAGAUCAAUGUGAGUUCUGUCAGAAUUCAAAAUCAGUUUGGGUUACACAGCGAAGAAUACAUCGAAGCCAUGUGUCAAGGGAUUGAAGACUUAGAUGUAGCCCGAAUUGAAGCUCUGAACCAGAUUCAGGAAGGAAAGAGAGUUGUUGCCCGAGUGUAUAACAAAAGGGUGAAAGCAAAAUCUUACAAGGAAGGAGAUUUGGUGUGGAAGACAGUUCUUCCUCUAGGAGCUCAGCUUAGGGGCUUUGGAAAGUGGAGCCCGACGUGGGAAGGUCCUUUCAUAUUUAGUCAAGUAUUAGAUAAAGGGGGAUAUUACUUGGCGGACCUCGAAGGGAAUUGGCAGAAACAUCCCAUUAAUGUUAAAUUCUUAAAAAGGUAUUGUCCUACAUUAUGGGAUGUUAGGGAUUGUUACAUCGAAGAGGAUGCAAAGUAAAGCAGGUUUCGGGAUGCUAAAGUAUAGUGUAUAUUCAUCAAUCAUUCAAGAAGACAGAAAGACACAAGAUUGUUAAGAUAUUGUUUAUUUCAUUUUCGACAAACUGGUGAAGUUUACAACAAAUUCAAUUCAAUCCCCGAUGUACUACGUACGACUCUUUCCAGGUGCAAUGACGUCUCAACUGGUUUUCUGGUAUCUUCAUGGGUAGAAUCCGGUCAGGUGAUCAGGUUGUACGGCCAAGACGCGCCUGGUAGAGGAUCCUCAGGCAGAGUCAUCACCAUAUACGAUGGUGAAGCCUGACUUAUCAUGGCGACGAGCGGGAAGGUAAGUCUUCAUGGGAGCAUCACCUGACCAAGGGUAUUGGAGAUAGCGGGGUGCCUGACCAAGGGUGUUGGGGAUAUUGGUUAUUUGAUGAAAACUCUUUUUCUCACGAAAAUGGAGUUUUAGGAAACCCCAUUUGAAUCUUGAAGAGCUCAUUUCUCAGUCUUGGGGAGAAAAACUAAGAAGGCAAAAAUACUCAGGGUUAAUUGAAGCGAAGGUUGAAGGAAUUUGGUUGACUGAGCAAAAGGCAAAAUCAAACCUGAAUUUAUAGAAACCUAGAGGGUAACCCAAAGGUCGUGAGAAGAGCAAGAGAUGCAUGGUCGUAGGCCUCCUGUCCAGAAAAACACAAGUUUUAAGAGCGGGUAUACAAGCAUGCGGAUAUUCAAUCAAUAUUGGCGCCAGGAAUUCCAGUCUGAAUAUUGAUUGAAGGGGGCACUGUUUGGGCUUAAACUUAAACUUUGGGCUUAGAAAGGAGUUGGCCCAAAAAGAGAAGGAAAAGCCCAAAGCUCAGCCCAGACCUAGAAAGCAGAAAGGGCCUUUCCCGACUAGGUGCAGAUCAUUUGCACCACUUGCUCACCUACCCAAGGGCCAAGUGGUAUAGACCAGCCAGCUAAUCAGCCCAAAAGUACUUUAUGAUGGCAGUACAAGUAAAUAGCUGAUGAGUCACUAUCCUUCAAACUGCAUUCUGGCAAGAUUAUUGCUACAAGAGGCCAAGCUAAGGUGGCUAUAAAAGGAGAAAGAGAAGUCAGAAUCAAGGACACUCAAACAAACAAACAAAAGCACAAACUCUGCUCAAAGUCAGAUUUGCCUUCAAAAUGAAGCUAUAGUCAGCCCAAGCCUUCAUCCCUUUCGGGACAAACACUUUGUAAUAGCUCUGCUACCCUGUUUAACGCCUGCUGUAGUAUCGAUUUUCUUUCUGCAAACUCACCUCCCAACCCUUUUUCUAGGCUUUCAAACCUUCUAUUAACCCACAAAGAUAGGAAGUUGCAAGACGAUCAGCCUUGCCCGACCUUCUUUGUUUUUGUCUUUUCAUUCAUUAGCCUAGCAAUAUGUUGUAUACUUCAAGUUGUAUCCAAGUUAUUUCUAGUAAUAUGGCUAUGAAAAGACUCUUUCAGCGCUUGAAUCCGAUUUGAAUAUGUCUUCACAGUUCGAGUCAGAUCUAAGUUCUAAGCCGUCGGGCAUAUAAGAUUUGAUCACCCUAAAAAGUCCUUGGCCUCAAGGCAUAAAAAAGAACCUGAUGUGGAUAUAACCCAUCCACGACAAGCUUUGAUAAACAAGAAGUCCGAAGUUACUUGGGGCGCAAGUAAUCGACCUGCAACUUAGUUUUAUUUCUGUUAUAUUAUGAUGACCAUAUAACGUUCGAGUACGGGAUGAAUUCUGAUGGGAAGCCUCAAGGCCUAUUCAAGGCCCCACAAAGGCACUUAUUUGGAUUCAUCCUAUUUCUCGGGCAAGAACAUCGAGUAUGAGAUGAAUUCUGAUGGGAAGCCUCAAGGCCUAUUCAAGGCCCCAAAAAGGCACCUAUUUGGAUUCAUCCUAUUUCUCGGGCAAGAACAUUGAGUACAGAAGGGGUUCUGAUGGGAAGCCUCAAGGCCUAUUCAAGGCCCCACAAAGGCACCUAUUUGGAUUCAUUCUACUCUUUGAACUCAGGUAAUCAGAAGUAUGAUGGUUAUAAGACUCAUAUAACCAAUAAAAGGAACCUUAUGUGUUUGACUACUAAGUUAGUUAUUUAUGGGAAGCCUCAAGGCCUACACCUAAGGCCCCACAAAGGCACCUGUCAAUAACUAAUAUAGUCUCUCGAAUAUAUAUAAUUAAAACUCAAACAUCCGUUCUACAUCUGCCAUGCUGAAGAUGGUAGUGGCACACCUGAGCAAUUCAAAGUUAAUCUUGAUCGUGAGCCUCAAGGCCUACACCUAAGGCCUCACAAAGGCACCUUUCAAAGUUAACUCUGUCCUUCUCUUUCAGCUUUGCCCGACAAGCCUUGCUCGACAGGCUUUGCCCGACAAGCCCGCCAGUAAAACAGAAGCCCGACAGAAAGCAUCAACCGGCGCCAACCUCUCGAGGAGCUGUGUGCUCGUCGGCCAGGAAGCAUUCCCCACGGAAAUUCCCGCCACGAACAGCUAGUUUGUUCAUUUUAUGUUUCAAUAAAUGUCUCGAGGCUCAUUACUUCAAACUUUUGAGGUUUUGUGGUUUUGGAUGACAAAUUAGGUAGUAAGUUAGAUUCCAUUGAUGCGUUCAAAAUUGUUUCUCUAUUUUAAAGUUUUAGUUAUGAAUUGGUCUUUUUGAUAAGUAAUUAAUGUGUUGCUCUCUUCGGUUAUUAAUAUUUGGAUCUUUUGAAAAGUGGGAGCAAGAUUGUUGGUUGAGUAAAUCAUAUCAGUUUGAAUCAUGAGUUAUAAUUGCAGAUUGGAUACAUGUGAACUUUGAAUCAAUACUACAUUUUGUUUGUUGUUCAUGAUUCCUAGUUUCUGUAUUUUGAAAUGUAAUGGUGCAUUGAUCAUGAUUUGGGUUCUUGAAUAAGGUUAAGUGAUCACUCCUUAUACUUGGUGGAGCAAUGUUUGAAAUUGAUCUCAUGCUCAAGUGGGAGAACGUAAAAGUAUGGACAUGAGAUUGGAUACUUUUGGCAUUGUCUGCUGGAAUUCAAUUUAGACUUGGCAAGCUAAGGGUUCAGUGAUUGCUUUGAAACUGAUAUGUGAUGGAAACACACAAGUUGUUUUCAAUAUGGAUUAUAAUAGGGAGUCCUCAUUGUGGUUUUAAUGUUUAUAAGUACACCACUACGGAGCAAACAACCACAAGAACAAUGAAGACGUGCGAAGCGAAGUACUCCUCAUGGCAAUUAGCGGUGGGUUUAUUGAGAAUACAAAGUCUUAUUUUAUACUAGUUUGUUGUAGGCUAGUUUCCUAUCCUAACAAACGAAUAGGCCAGGAAAAUUUUAAGUCAAAGCUUUUCAAGCCAGGAUAGGAAUAUAGCUUUAAUCCUAAAGAGAAAGGGAGAAAAAAAAAGGCUAGUUGUUAUAAACUUUGUAUUUAAGUGUGAUUGUGUAAAUCUUAUAAUAGAUUUGAUACUAGUUAUUCUUCUCUAUUAGGACUUGUAGUCCUUGGAGGAGAAUGAUUCCUUAUUACUAUAAAUAAAGGCACCGUGUAGGGGAAUAAUGCAUUCUCUACACAAUCCUACAAACACAUACCUCUCCUUAUUUUCUCCCUCUGCCGUGCCCCUUAUCUCCCUUGUCAGAUUAAAAUAAGCCACAACACAUUAUCAACACACUCCUACUACCGUGCUUAAGAAUUUGAUGUGGAAGUUUUCUACAUCAAACCAAUUCAUCAAUAUCAUCACGCAAUCAGGUUCUUCGAAUCCAAAUCCAAACCUGUUCAUCAAUUAUGGAUAUUUUUGUAGCCCUGAUAGCAUGAACAUUCACCAUAAUGUGUAAUAUCCCGAAAAUCUUAGGUGGUGAUUAAGAGUGGGUUACUUGUGACCAUUGUUAGAAAAAUAAAUUUGCAUUAUUUGAGGCUUGUAUAAAUUGCCCUUUAGUCCAUUAAAUGAUCUUUUACUAUUGAGACUAACCCUUGGAUAGAAAAGAGAGAAAAAAGAGAAAAAAAAAAAAAGAAAAAAAAAGAUGCUUGCGUUAUUAAGUAUGGAGAAAAAGGGAAGGGGCUUUCUACAAACCCUCUUUCUUGCUGCUAUCUUCUCCAACCGAGAGUGAGAGGACCUUUUUAGUUCUUUUGGUUGCCAAAUUCUCAAGGAAGAAGAAUUUAAUAUCCGGUUGUCAUGCUUGUGAAGAUUAGGACAAGUGAGGAUCCUCCUUUGUCUCCAUUAGAGGUAUCUAUUUCUUACUUUUGAAAUCUAAUUGUUAUUUGGUUUGUUAACCCAUGAUUAAGAUUGGGUGGGAGUAGGGAAAUUUAAAGUAUCUUAUUUCAUGUUAGUUUUAAAGUUGAGUACCAAGUGUUUGGUUAAAGGCCCCAAUUAACCUAGAAUUAGGGUUUGUCGUUUGGCCUUUUGUACAAGCAUAGUGUAAUUUUGUCUUACUUAUAGGUAAGGAAGAGAAGGACAAGAUGACUACUGAGCAAGUCGAUGAACACCAUUGGAGUUGAAUAUCAACAAAUCUUGUUGAGGUAGGGGAAUUUCAACCAUAAAAAUAUUUAGAUUUUCCAUUCUUACUUGAUAAAGAAUUGUUGGCAUUUGAGCACUAUUUCCACCUUACUUUAAAUGUUUAGAAAAAGUGAAGCAAAUGUUUCUCUAUGGUUUGGUUUCUAAUGAUUUUAAUUUUCUUCCUACAACUUUGGUGAGUUUAAAGUAAUUUCGAAGACCUGUCAAGAUUUCGUUUUUAACGUGCAUGCCUUUUAUGUUACUCAUUAUGAGAUUUUGAAGUAUGUUGAGAUGAAUGUUUGAUUUUGAAAGUAGAUGGAAAGUAGUAUAAUACCUGGGCAAUGAAAACCAUGUAUUUAUGAUCACUUGUUUUUUUUUUUUUUGCUUGUAUAAAUUGCACUCAUGUGCACUUUCAUCAAAUGACAUGAACAUGUGUUUUCUUGUAUGCAAGAAGCCUUGAAGUUCUUUUGUGAACUCUUUAUGAUCUGGUGACUUGAUGCUACUGAAAUUUGGUUUUUUUAUAUAUAUUUUUAGUGAAACGGCAACAUGCCUGUUUUAGAUUUAAAUUUUUCUAAACUUCCCGAACUUGAAAAUCCUUGAAAUUUUAACAUAACUUCGUUUUAGGUGUCUACUUUGAAUCUGGGAAUUUUCAUACUUUUUGGUUAAGCGAGUUAUUUUCGGUGAAUUUUACGGUACAGGUCAUUUCUGCAAUUUGUAUUACCACAAUAAGUCUUUAACUUUAUUUCUUUGAGUUACCUUUGUAGUUGGUGUAAUUUAAUUGUUGAGUUUAAAUUUUCAUUGACUAAAUCUUAAGCUAAUAUUUGUUUUACACCCUUAAAGAACCACUUGUUCUAUUUAUUUCUCUUAACCUCACACCUCAAGUUGUGGGGUGUGACAUAAUGGAUGACCCAACUUUACGUUUUUCGAAUUUUAGAUUUUACAUAAAUUAUGUAUGCAUUGUAUCUAUAAUUGUUGAAUUAUGUGAAUGGAUAUUACCUUGAAUUGGAUCAUAUAUAUGUCCAUGCAUUGAAUUAUAUAUUGAAUAUACAAGAAAUUAUAUUGAAUUAUAAUUUGGAAAUCAAGAAAAAAUUGAAAAACAAUUCUAGGGUUUGUCGAACCCAAACCUGAGCUUAUGUGAGCCUUUUGAGCCACGAUAAACUAGAGCAAAACUUGCAAUGCUCCAUCUGAGAAGACAACGCCAUUUUUGGCAUCAAACUCACGACCCAGUGUCGCCUGCAAUCAGCCAUGACCUCUAUGCCGUCUUCCCUGGGAAAUCACAACCUGUAAUCCUAUUUUUGGGACCCAACCAUAGUCGGUAAUAAUGGGUUUCUUGAAUAAUCCGACGAACAUAGUUGAAUUUUCGAAGGAUUCUUUAAAUCCUCACAGCUUCUCAGACCCCCAGACGUCAAAACUUAGUUUUCCGUCCAAAAUUAGGGUUACAGUCGGACCCCUGUGCUUCGUCGUGCCGUGACCGACUAAGGGAAGUCGCCUAAAGCGGAGCCGAAGAUUUUUCCAAUUUGAAUCCCACACCUAGCGCCACUGGGUUGUUCUGGGUUUCUAGACUCGAGCUCUAGUGGGCCUCUGACCUUUUGUCCUGCUUUACAUAAACUCAAAUAACCCAUUAUACUGAAUUGGACUGUCAGCCUGCAAACGACACCAGCCUGUAAGUCUAUGGUGUCCUUGCACCCGUAUUACACAGAAUCCCAGCCCAUGCAUUGGUCCAUUCGUGUCCUCGCCCGCACCCGCACCUGAUCCUAGCCCGUACCCAAUCCCAACCCGCAACUAGAGUACUGGUGCACCACACAGUGUAGCACCAAAUGAAAGCCCAUGUGGGCCUUUAUUUUGGGUCUAGUUCUGCACCCUAUCCUUUGACCUUAGGCCAUCAACCCUAGGCUUGCUACUUGAGCUUACUCUAGCCUAAUUUUGCCCUGGACCAUGUGACAUAUAUUUUCUAAGCCCACAUGUGGGCUUUGGUCCAUGUUUUUGGGCCCCGAGCUUAAUUGUUUAUUCUUUUUAGAUAAUUAAGGUUUUAUAAUUUUUCACCCACACUUUAAUUUUGGCCCUAAGUCCAAAUAAUUAACUCAAUUAUAAUUCUAGACCUAAAGAUCUAUUUACAUAUAUGUGUAUAGAUAUUUGUGUUUGUCUACAAGAACAUAUGAACCUCAAGUUCAUAAUUCUUUCGAAACCCGAAAUUUCUAGAAACAUGCCUUGUUUGAAAACCUGAAGUUUUCAUUACAAACAUUACCCAUGAAAACCUGAAGUUUUUUUCAUGUAAAUUUAAACCAAUAAAUGUCUAUUAGAACCUGAAUGGUCUACUCCUAUGUGAAUGGAUGAAUUUUUUUCUAUUACACUAACCACAUUCUUGUCCAUUUAUUUUGGCAUAAGAACAUGUCAAAUUUGAAUAAAGUCGACUUCACCACUUUAGAGGUCUCUGGAAGAAGCUACCUCAAGUGGGUCCAAGAUGUAAAGCUCCACCUCACCGUAAAGAAUUUGCUUUCCACCAUUAAAGAUGAGAUAGACAACUUGGUUGGUGAAGCUGAAAAAGCCACUACCAUGAUCUUCAUCCGAAGACACAGUCAUGAUGGAUUGUAAACCGAGUAACUUGCCGUAGAAAAUCCACUAGCACUUUGGGUCCCUUUGGCUGAUCACUUUGAUCUCCAAAAGGAUAUCUUCUUGACUGAAGCAAGACAUGACUUGCAGCAUCUGCACAUCCAAGACUUUAAGUCUUGAAUAUAAUUCUGAAGUUUGUCGAAUCUGAACACUUCUAAAGUUUUGUAACGAGAACUUGACUGAAGAUGAUCUCUUGGAGAAUACCUAUUCGACCUUACCUGCUACCAAUAUUGUCCUACAACAACAAUAUAAGGCUCAAAAGUUCACUAAGUUUUCGAAUUUAACCUCUACGUUACUUCUCAUUGAAAAGCAGAAUCAGUUGUUGAUGAAAAAUCAAUAAGCUCGACCUACUGGGGCAACUGUUGUGCCUAAAGCACACUACACCACAAACCAAUGCCCCAAACACCAACAUAGGCAUGGUAGGGGGGACUAGAAGCCACCCCGUCAAGGUCAACAAAGCCAAGGCCCAUCUAAGGGAAGAAGAUGAGCCUAGAAGUGCUCUAACCUCGCUCCUAAGGCCCCAAACUUCAAGAAUAAAGGCAAACCACCUAACACCAUGGAUGCAAACAUGUGCUACCAUUGUGGUUCAAAUGACCAUUGGUCUCAUAUUUUCCGUGCUCCCUAAAAGUUGUAGCUAAAGAUCAUACUCAUUGUAAGAAGUUUGAAUCAAACUUUUUACAAGUGGAUGAACCAGAGAGUACCAAAAUGGAGGUUUCUGACUUUCACGAGGCUAUUACCCCUAUGGAAGAUUAGAAUCUUAGACAUGAACGAUUUUUAGUUCAUUUGAGAACCUUGGGGGCUGAAUUCCACCUAAUGGCCAAAGCUUCCCUUGUUUUAUUGUUUAAGUUUGAACAACGUUUCCUUUAGGUUUGCAUUAUUUGUUGGUGAUUUCAUUUUGGAUAUUAAGUUUUUAAAUACCAACCUUGAAUACUUAAAUUAUUCUGAAUGGAUAUUUGUUUUUAGAACUUUUAUGCAUGUGAUCGAUUCAAAUUAAUUUUUAUUUCUUGGUAUGAAUAGUGGGAAAGUUAGUUGUCUGGCAGAUAGUGUAACCACACACACCAUUUUGCGUGAACACAUCUAUUUCACUAACUUCGUACCUAAGAAUGCACCUCUGACAAACCUUUCAGGCCCAUCCAACCUAGUCGAAGGAUACGGUAAAGCACGUACAAUGUUAUCCAUUGGUACAAUCUUGACCAUUGAUGAGGCACUUUAUUCUCCACGUUCCGGAAGAACGUUGUUGAGUUUCAAGGGCAUUAGAGAUAAUAAAUACCAUGUUGAAACCUAUGUAGAAAAUGAAAUUGAAUUUAUGUGCAUCAUUUCCUACGAAUAUAUCCAAAAGCCUAUUCUAGAGAAGAUGGUGCUUAUCCCGAGUGGCCUGUAUACUACAACCAUACACCUUGUGGAGAACCACUAUGUGGCUGGUCCUACCUCAGGGACCACGCACAAAAUUACACUUUGGCAUGAUCAUCUGGGACACCCUUGACAAAUAGCAAUGCGUUGUUUCCCCAAAUCAUUAUACGGGCAUCCACUAACCCGAAGUUUAGGUUCGAUUCAAGGAAUCGCAUGUCAAACUUGCUCCAUGGGAAAGCUUAUUAUUAAAUCUUCUUAUGACAAGAUUCAUUCAAAUCUUCCUACUUUUCUACAAAAGAUUCAAUGGAAAUUCAUGGACCGAUUCACCCUCUUUGUAGACCAUUUAGAUAUUUUAUUGUAUUGGUUGACGCUUCCACAUGUUGGUCACACAUGUGCUUAUUGUCCAUAAGGAACGCUGCAUUCUCCAAAAUGUUGGCUCAAGUUAUCAAGCUCAAGGUUCACCACCUUGAUUAUCAGAUCAUAUUUAUUCGAUUGGAUAAUGUUGGAAAAUUAUUCACAUCUAAAAUUUUUUAUGACGGUUGGGGUUAAAGUUGAACAUCACGUACCCAUGUUCGCACCCAGAACGGCCUGGCAGAGGCAUUAAUUAAGUGCUUACAAAUGAUUGGUCGAUCGUUGGACAUAUGUAUCGAGCUCUCGAUCGCUGCUUGGGGUCAUGCAAUAUUGCAUGUAGCCACGUUGAUCCGCCAGAGGCAUGUUGCAACCUAACCAUAUAGCGCCCUUUAGUUGGUUACUGGAUACAAACUCGACAUAUCACAUCUGCAAGUUUUUAAUUGUGCGAUGUAUGUGCCAAUUUCGCCGCCCUUACUUACAAAAAUGGGGCUUUAACAAAGGAUAUGUUGGAUAUGAUUCUCCUUCAAUUAUUUGUUACUUAGAACCCUUGAUAGACGAUCGAUUUAUUGCUCAUUUCAUGGAUUAUCACUUUUAUGAGAUCGUCUUCCCGUCGUUAGGGGGCGAUAAUAACGUCACUGUUCUUGACGAAUGAUACUAAUUAUCGUGAACGACUCCCACUUUGUCUUAUUUAGUUCCCUGCACUUCUCAGUCUGAAACUGAAGUGCAUGGCAUACUAGAUCUCCAUAGUGUAGCUCAAAGCCUGCCAGAUGGUUUCACAGAUUUAGCGCGAGUGACAAGAUCAUAUAUUCCAGCUGCGAAUGUGCCUACAAAGAUGAAUGUACCAAAUGCACGACAAACUUCCCUCCUGGAGACCCAAGACUCCAAUUGGGUUGAUCCACGUACAUUAGCAACUAGCCAAUCCUCUGCCCCUACACAAAAGCGUGGCAGACUACUUGGUUCAAAGGAUUCACACCCCAAGAAAAGCAAACCCACGGUACAGGCCUCUGUCAAGCCUACAAUGAAUUCGACUGUUGCCUACUCAUUCUAUUCAACUCAUGGGAAAAUUAUAGAUUACUGAAGUGUCAUUGAAGAGACGAAUUGACCUCCUGAGAAUCGUGAGAUAUUGGUCCAUUAUGCUAGAUUGGAUGAUGUUUGGUGAAAAAAUGAGAUGAUCAUUAAUGAUGCAUUAGCAUAUGCAAUAGCUGCUAAGAUCAUGUUGAGCAAUGACAUUAAACCCCAUUUUGUUAAUGAAUGUUGACUUUGAACUAAUUGGUCAAGUUGGAAACAUGCAAUCCAAGUCGAACUUGAUUCACAAUGCGAAAUGUAAGGUGUUUAGACCUUUAGCUCCUACUUCUCCACAUGUGAAACCCGUUGGCUACAAGUAGAUUUUCGUUCGGAAGCAUAAUGAGAAGAUUGCAAUUGUGCGUUACAAACUCGUCUUGUUGCACAAGGCUUCACACAACACCCCAGGAUUGACUAACAAAACUUAUUCAUCCGCUAUGGAUGUGAUUAUUUUUCGCUACAUCAUCAGUUUGGUUGUUUUUCGAAAAAUUGAGCAUGUAACUGAUGGACGUAGUUACUGGGUAUCUCUAUAUUGAUCUUGAUACGAAAAUUUAUAUCAAAGUUCCCGAAUGACUUACAUUGAUUGGAUCAAAUAUUUUAAAACCCCGGACUUACAUUGAUUGGAUCAAAUAUUUUAAAACCCCGAACCACUCUCUUAAUUUGGCUAAGGCGUUCACUUUACGGUUUUAAGCAAUUUGAAAGAAUGUGGUAUAACCGUCUAAGUGAGUAUUUGACUAUCAGGGAUAUGUGAACAACGAACUAUGCCAUUGCAUGUUCAUUAAGAAGUCACAUUUCGGUUUUACGAGUGUUGCAGUUUAUGUCGACGACAUGAAUCUCAUCGGAACUCCUAAAGAGCUUAAGAGAACUGUCACACACCUUAAGUUAGAAUUUGAGAUGAAAGAUCUAGGAAAUAUUCGAUAAUGUCUCGGUCUUGAGAUAGAGCACCAUUCAGAUGGAAUCUUAGUACAUCAAUCAACAACACCCGGGUGUUAUGCCGCUUUAACGAGGAUAAAUUGAUGCCUUCGAGUACUCUUUUGGAACCCAAAGUUCCUUAUCCAAGUGCAGUAGGUGCUUUAUUAUACUUAGCUCAAUGCACUAGACCCGACAUCUCCUUCGUUGUUAAUGUUUGACGAAAUACAGUAAUGCACCGACGUGAUGACACUGGACUGGUGUUAAAGACAUUUUAUGUUACCUUAAGGGUAAUAUGGAUCUCAGCCUAUUCUAUCCCUAUAGAUCCUCGAGUGAUGCCGCACCCCCUUACCACGAGUCAAUUCCAGCCGUGUUCAUUAUGGUGACGCAUGAUACUUAUAUGAUCCGCACAAGGCACGCUCUCAAAUAGGUUACGUCUUUACCAUUGAAGGCACCACAAUAUCUUGUAGGGAAACUAAACAAACCUUAGUUGCCACUUUGUCUAACCAUGCUGAAAUUCUCACCUUACACAAAGCAACUAAGGAAUGCUUCUAGCUGAGAGCAAUUGUGGGCCAUAUUUGAAGCUCAUGCGAUCUUUACACUGUUGUUGACAUCUCGACAUCGAUCUAUGAAGAUAACGUAGCAUGUAUUGAACAACUCAACAAGGGUUACAUCAAAGGAGACAACACCAAGCACAUUGCGCUAAAGUUCUUCUUUUCAUGUCAACAACAAGAACAUCAAAAGAUUAAAGUCAUGCAAUCCGUUCACAAGAUAAUAUGGUCGAUCUCUUCACCAAAUCACUACUGAAGGUGACGUUUCAGGAGCUUGUUCAAGGAAUAGGUAUGCGUAAGUUGUAACAUUGUUAGUUCUUUUUGAAAUUAUGUGAAACUCAACGGAAGUAUCCUGAGUAUACCUGCUUAAUCUUAAUGUACUCUUUUUCUCUAUGAUUAAGAGCAUUUUUUUUCCUUUUGGUUUUUGCUGCCUAACAAGGUUUUGAUGAGGCACCCACCUUGGAUUGAUAAUAUCCCUGAUAACGUCCUAUAAACAUUUCAUUUGACUUUGCAUUUCUCACACAUUUUUCCUUAGACUAAGGGUUUUGUCCUUAAUUGGGUUUUACCAUAGCCAUUGGUUUUUUUGUGAGACUUAGUUCCAUUUGCAAGUUCUUACUUUACUUUGGGUCUAGCGUGUUUCCAGAAUUAGUGUCGACAAGUCGACUUCCUUAAGUCUAUAUGAUGCCAAAUCUACUUAAGUAUUGAUGAAGCAAUGAUGGCUAGUUCAUUUAUGGAUCAUUGAGAUAAAUUGAAUGCUUAACAAUAUUAAGUAAAACUUAAUAAACUUAAAAUCUAUAAUAGCUUGGGGCGUUUUUUUGGCUGCUCAUAACUGCCAGGACUUUUGAAUUCUAAAUGUAAGUUACAAAUUAGUGAUAAAACCCACUUCUUGCUAGAAGGUUGGUGAGUUGAACAUUGUUAUUGAUGAUUGAAAUAUUCAGAGAAGUUUCUCAAUUUGUGCCUUUCUCUUUGUGAGAUUUUUUUUUUGUUCUUCUAGUUGUCUGUGUUAUAGGCUGGUACUAGAGACGGGGCUUUAGGGUUUUCAGGUCUCUCCUCACACUAGGAGAUAGUGGACCCUAUCUAUUAGUUUUCUUUCUUCAUUUUAUUUUUAUUUUUUCUAGCUGCUGCACCCUGCAUCAAUUGGUUAUCAGAGCUCAGUUUACGUUCUUCAGGAUGUUUCCAAGGCGAAAUGUUCAUUCCCAAGGAGAUGAAAUGGAAUAAAUCAAGCAAUCUUUGGCUCGACAUGACAAUCAGUUUGCAGAAAUGAUGCAUACGAUGGAGGAAAUCAGACUUCGACUUCCUGAUAAUCUGCCACCAAAUCGUUGAGAAAGACAAAAACAUUCCACCACCACCAGAGGGUUACGAGGAAGAUUAUGAAGAAGAACUUCGAAAUGUUAAUCCAUUUGCAGGUUUUAGGGCACGAAGGAGACCAUAUAUUCCCCACAGAGCAGCUGCUUAGGUGAUUCAAAAUAACAAUAAUCGCUGGGAUUCAGGGUUCAAAUUUGAAAUCCUCGAGUUUUAUGGUGGGAUGCAACGGAUGAUCUCUUAGAUUGGUUAACAACAGUAGAGGAUAUCUUUGAUUUCAGGUAGGUUCCAGAAGACAAAAAGGUGGGAUUGGUAGCCACUCGUUUACGAGGAAGAGCAUCAGCUUGGUGGCAACAAGUUAAGGCCUUCCAGAUUCAAAAGGGAAAUAAUGUUUGAAACAUGGGAAAAGAUGAAGAAAUACAUGUGUACUGAAUUUUUGCCUCACAAUUACGCUAGAUCUUUGUAUAUGCAGUUACAAAAUGUUUAGUAAGGCAAUAAGUCAGGAGUUCUUAUACAGAGGAAUUUUACAAUCUGCUUGCAUGAAAUGACUUGGAUGAGAUCGGUGACCAAUUGGUGGCACGUUACAUUGGUGGAUUGUGCCAAAUAUUUAGGAGACACUUAAUCUGUAUGAUCCUUAUAGUGUAUCUGAAGCAUAUCAAAAGGUUCUCUAAAUUGAGAAACAAACUAGUCGACGGAGUGCUUCUUCAUAGGGUUCUACAAUAACAGGCCCUCCAACAGCUUCCAAGCCUAUUGUCCCAGUACCUACUGCCCCAAAAGUCACUUUUAGUGCAAGCUUCAAUUCCAAGAAUGCUCUUACUUUUUGUGGAAGGUGUAAUAAGUGUGGUGAACUUGGUCACAAGUCCAGUGAAUGUCGAAAAUCUAAUCGUUCAGGUAAAAACUUAUUUGUGGAAAGCAAAGACACAAAUGAUGAUUUUCAUGAUUUCUCACAAGAAGCAAUAUAUGACGGUGAUGAAAAUAAAAACCUGGAAGAGAUAUUACAUGGGGACCAAUGGGAGGCUCUUCUAGUUAAAAGAGUUUGUUUUACUCCACACAAUGAGGAUGGUCAUUGGUUGCGUAGCAACAUUUUUCAUUCAACCUGCAUAAUUGGAGGGAAGGUUUGUAAGCUUAUUAUUAAUGGUGGGAGCUGUGAGAACGUAGUGGCAAAGGAGGCAGUGCAAAAGGUUAAGCUUGAAACAAAACCACAUCCAAAUCCUUAUUAGCUUUCUUGGUUAAAUCGUGGCAAUGAAGUAAAGGUUUCCAAACGUUGUCUGAUCCAUUUCUCUAUUACUAACAAGUAUAGAGACAAGGUUUGGUGUGAUGUGAUUAACAUGGAUGCUUGACAUCUUCUUUUAGGGAAACCAUGGCAAUAUGAUCGAAAUGUUUCCUAUGAUGCGCGGAACAAUACCUACAAUUUUUCGUGGGAUAAUAAGUGUAUUGUGCUUGCUCCUUCUAAGGAUUUUGAGCCGAAGCAAUCUGAUGAGGGUUCUAAUUUCCUUACUAAUCAUAAUUUCAUAACUGAAAUGAAGCAAAGUGAUGUGGUUUAUGUGCUGGUUGGCAAAGAGAAAGGGCAGAUUGAUAAUCCAGUUCCAGAAUUGGCUAAGCCAUUGUUAAAAGAAUUUGUAGAUGUGAUUCUGGAAGAUAUUCGAGAUGUUUUACCACUAUUGCGAACGAUUCAGCACCAAAUUGACUUGGUACCCAGAUCGAGCCUUCCAAACAAAGCACACUACCGGAUGAGCCCUACUGAACAUGAGGAGUUGACAUGAUAAGUGGAGGAGUUGCUCACAAAGGGUUUUAUUCGGGAAAGCUUAAGCCCUUCUGCGAUUCCUGCCUUGUUGAUGCCAAAGACUAAUAAGACAUAGAAGAUGUGCAUUGAUAGUCGAGUGAUCAACAAAAUCACAAUUACGUAUCGAUUUCUGAUGCCAAGAUUUGAUGAUCUUCUUGACCAAUUGUGCGGUGCCAUCGUAUUCAGUAAAAUUGAUUUGAAAAGUAGGUAUCAUCAGAUACGCAUUAGAGAGGGCAAUGAAUGGAAAACAGCUUUUAAGUCCUAAGAAUGCUUAUAUAAAUGGUUGGUCAUGCCAUUCGGGUUGACUAAUGCUCCGAGUACUUUCAUGCAAGUUAUGAAUCAGGUACUUCGGCUUUUUAUUGGAACUUAUGUGAUGGUAUAUUUUGAUGACAUUCUUGUCUACAGCACAUGUCAUGCCUUACAUGUUCAACACUUGCGGGAGGUGUUGUUUGCAUUGCGAAAGGAGAAAUUUUAUGCAAAUUCAAAGAAGUGUUCAUUUAUGACUGAUUACGUGCUGUUCCUUGCAUAUAUUGUAUCUAAAGAUGGAAUUUCUAUGGAUAAUAAAAAGGUUGAAGCGGUCACCAUAUGGCCUACACAACAAUCCAUACAUGAUGUAUGAAGUUUUCAUGGAUUUGCCUCAUUUUACAGGAGGUUUAUUCCACACUUUAGCAUAAUUAUGGCUCCAAUCACCGAUUAUAUGAAAGGUGGAAAGUUCUCUUGGAAUGGAGAAGCAGUAGUUGCCUUCAAUCAAAUCAAGAAAAAGUUGAGUUUGGCUUCAUUGCUCGUGUUACCUGACUUCUUAAAAGUUUUUGAGCUAUCUUGCAAUGCAUCCAAGAUUGGGAUUAGAGCUGUUCUAAGUCAAGAAGGGAUGCCUAUUGCUUAUUUCAGUGAAAAACUGAGUAGUUCAAGAUUCAAUUAUUCCACAUACGACUUGGAAUUCUAUGCCAUUGUUCAAGAAUUGAAAUAUUAUAGGCACUAUCUAAUCUACAAAGAGUUUGUUAUGUUCUCUGAUCAUGACUCUCUGAAGCAUAUAAACAGUCAGGAAAAAUUGUAAGCAAGGCAUGCUAAGUAGGCAGUAUACUACAAGAAUUUACAUCCGUCUUCAAGGACAAAGUCGGUGUGCAAAAUUAGGUUGCAGAUGCCUUGAGUUGGAGGAGAUAUUUACUUGGUUCGAUCAGAAUUCAAGUAUUGGGGUUAGUCUCUUUGAAGGAUUUAUUGAAAACUGAUCCUUUCUUCUCUACAAUUGUAGAAAAUGUUAAGGAUGGAACUAGAGCAAAUUAUGUUUUGCAUGAAGGGUUUCUCUUUAAAGGAAAUCAACUUUGCAUCCCAGAGUCUGGUUUGAGAUUGAGGAUCAUACAAGAGUUACAUAAUGAAGGCCACGUUGGAAGGGACAAGACCUUUGAGCUUGUUUCUUUCUCUUAUUUUUGGCUUACCAUGCACAAAGAAGUAUAUUAUUUUGUGGAACGAUGCCGAAUCUGUCAAGUUUCCAAGGGCAAGGUGACUAACACUAGAUUGUACAUGCCAUUACCCAUUCCAUCACAACCAUGGGUGGAUAUAAGCAUGGAUUUUGUUUUCGGUUUGCCUCGUACUCAGCGUGGUGUAGACCCUAUUUUUGUUGUGGUGGAUCAAUUUUCUAAAAUGGCUCACUUUAUUGCCUGCAAGAAGACAACAGAUGCAUUGAAAGUUGUUGAUCUAUUCUUUUGUGAUGUAUACCGAAUUCAUGGGUUUCCAAGUUCAAUUGUCUCUGAUCGGGACACCAAAUUUCUUAGUCAUAUUUGGAGGAGCCUGUGGAAAUUAGCUAAUACACAAUUGAAUUUCAGCAGCGCCUAUCAUCCUCAAACUGAUAGGCAAACGGAAGUUAUGAAUCGCUUAUUGAGGGAUCUUUUGCGAUGCUUAGUUCGUGAACAUCGGAAGUCAUGAGACCAAAAGUUAUGUAUUGCAGAGUUCACCUACAAUUGUUCUGUCAAUCGUAGCACUGGAAUGUAUCCACUGAAAGUACUAACUACAUGCACUUUAAAUAGCUCCAUUUCUUUCAAAGCUUCCAUAGAGUAAAAGAAAAACAGUGCAUUUAAUUUUAAAAGAAAAGAAACAAUGGCAGAUCAAUUGACAGAUGAUCAACUGAACAUGCUGAAGGCUAAAUUCAAUACCUUCAACCCGGAUGGCACUAGUUAGAUCCCUCUUUCCAUAUGUACAUGUAUAUGAUGUGUGUGUGUGUGUGUAUCAUGUCAAGUACGUUCUGCCAGGGAUGAAGGAAAAAUUUCAAACCUGACUGGGCUGAACUUAUCUUGUGAUCUAAUUUUUCAAUUGAGUACACAUAAGCUUAGCCAACACCAAGGUGAAAGAUGAUUAGCAAUCCCACACAUUCUUACCUUAUUAUGUUAAUGUUGUUUAUUGUAAAUAAUGGUAUAGGUAACAGAUGAUAAAUCUCCAUGACUAAACUUAGCCCCGAACUAUUAUGUUCAGGGACGAAGCCAAAUAUCUAUAUGGAUGUGGGCAUCCUCAAACAACAAAGUCAAAAAUUGAAAAGCUCAAGAAUUUAUUGAACAAACACUUAUGUACUAACCGAUAAGGUUUUUUUUUGUACAAUAUAUUACAAUAUCACUCGACACGCGCAUUUCCUUAAUUACCAAUACCAUUAAAUAUCUCUUUAUAAAAAUAAUUUAUUAUUACUCAUCCAUUGAUCUCCGAACCAAUUUUUCAUUCAAUUUUUCAAAAAUUUUAUAGCUGAAACUGCUCUAUAACAUGAGAUUCCUAUAUGCAUUAUGUGUUAUUUCCCACCCAAAAUAAUGAGUGGAGUCUGAACCCAAGGUGGCUCCGUACAUGAUUAUGUUAAUGUUGUUUAUUUUAUUCAGUGUUCUAAAAAUCAGCCUAAGCGCUGGGCGGCGGAGCUCCGACCCGAUUUAGACCAAAACGUUCAGUUAGGCGGGGAGGACUUCGACGGCCGCCUAGGCGCUCGCUAGGCACCUUAGGCUGGCUAGGCGACAGUCUAGGUGAUGUGAAUCUCGCUGCAAAUCCCAAACUCGCUACAAUUUUGCAGAGACCAGGUGAAUUUUUGCAGCUUCUCUAUGAAGAUGAGGGAAGAGAAAGUGCGAAGAGAAAGAGAGAGAGAGACUAUUAAACAUUUAAUUCUGUGGUGGCGCAAGUUGGAUUUGAGAUCCAAUUUUGAGGUUCUGAUUUUUCUGAAAGGGCGAAGAAAAAGAACGAAGAUGAGGGAAAAGAGUGCGAAUAGAGAGAGAGAGACAGAGGGACUAAAAGAUCCAAUUUUUGAAAAGGCAAGGAAGAAGAAAUGAAUAAAUUAUAGACAUUUCACUUUCCAAGGUAAAAAGCUGGUGAUGACUUGGGUGAUGUGAAAUAGGGUGGAGAGCUGCUACUUGGGUGAUCAGAUGGUUUUAAUUAUGAAAACCACCCACUUGCGUGGGCUUUUAAAUGUUAUGUGUCAUCAUCCACUUACAAGUUUGGGAUAUAUAUUAUAUAUAAGUGUUAAAUUAUUUAGAUAAUAUUUUGUUUUUUUUUCCUAGGCAAGCAUAUUAUAUAUGUACAUAAAACAUUCACAUAUGUAUGUUCUUCUAUAAGAAAUAACAUAUUAUUCAAUAAUUAUUUACAUCUGAUAUAGUAAAUUUAAUUAAUUCAUAUAAUAUAUAAGAAAUUUACCUAAAUCCGCCUAGGCGCCCGCCUAGACCCUGCCUAGCCGCCUAGGCGCUAGGUGCUAGCCCACCACCGAACUAGCGCCUAGCGUUUUUUAGAACCUUAAUUUUAUUCUACUAUGUUCGGGUUUGAAUUUGAUUCAAGUUAGCACAUAUAAGAAGAGAUUGAUUCAUCUUACUAUUUAAUAAAUUGUCAAUGUUUUUUUCUUCAGGCAUAAUCACUAGGGAUCAGCUGGCCGAUGUGUUGAGAUCGUUAGGGCAAGAUCCCACCGAGGAGGAGUUGGAUCAAUUUGUGCAGCAGCUAGGCGGAGAGGAUGGGAAUAUUCACUGGGAUAAAUUCGUCGAACUCAUGGCCCA